rnacentral:lncRNA from 1 species
GGGAGGUGCUAACGGAAGCAAAAUUUUGGUAACCACACGUAGCAGGAAGGUUGCUUCAAUCAUGGGCACGAGGGGAGGUACUACUGGCUACAACUUACAAGGUCUACCAUUCGAGGAUUGCUUGUCUUUGUUUAUGAAAUGUGCAUUUAAAGAAGAGCGAGAUAAACAUCCAAACCUCAUAAAAAUCGGGGAAGAAAUUGUGAAAAAAUGUGGAGGAAUUCCUCUGGCAGUCAGAUCACUAGGAAGUCUACUAUAUGACUCAACGGAUGAACAUUUUUGGGAAUAUGUGAGGGAUAAUGAGAUAUGGCAGUUAGAGCAAAAGGAAAGUGGUAUUUUACCUGCUCUGAGGUUAAGCUACGAUCAAUUGCCGCCUCACCUGAAACGAUGUGUUGCUUAUUGUUCAAUCUUUCCCAAGGAUUAUCAAUUUUAUGGUGAUUCUUUGGUUCAAUUUUGGAUGGCUCAUGGUCUUCUCCAAUCGCAUAAUAAGAAAGAAGAGUUAGAAGAUAUUGGUAUGCGGUACUUGAAGGAAUUACUAUCAAGAUCUUUCUUCCAAGAUUGGACUUUUGGGAUUUCAGGAAUGGAGUCGUUCACUUUCAAAAUGCACGACCUUAUGCAUGAUCUUGCCCUGCUAGUGGCCAAAGAUGAAUUCCUAGUAGUGAACUCUGAUCGUCAAUCUAUUCCCAAAAGUGUCCGUCAUUUGUCAUUUGCUGCUGCUACUGCAUCAAGAAAUGACUUUUCAAGCCUUUUGUCUGAUCUAGGUCGUGUGAGAACCAUUUUCUUUUCAACUGAUGAUGAGAAGACAAGCCAAUCAUUUGUUGAAUCAUGCAUCUCAAAGUCGCAGUUCCUGAGAGUGCUAAAUUUAAGUGAAUCUUCUAUUGAGGUUUGUUCCAGGAAGAUGGGAAAUUUGAAGCACAUGAGGUAUCUUGAUCUGUCGAGAAAUUAUAAAAUCAAGAAACUUCCAAAAUCCAUUUGCAAGCUACAGAGUUUACAAACACUGGAUCUUGAAGGAUGUCUGGAGCUAGAAGAGUUGCCUAAAGACAUAAGGUACCUUGUCAGUCUCAGAGUGUUAGUGCUAACCACAAAACAGAAGUCUUUGCAAGAGAUUGGAAUAAGGAGCUUGGGUUCUCUUCGUUGUUUGACAAUUUCUGGUUGUAGGGAUUUAGAACAUUUGUUCGAGGAGAUAGAUCAAUUAAGUGUCCUUCGAACAUUAGUAAUUGUUAGUUGUCCUAGUCUAAUCUCAUUGCCACCUGCUAUCAAAUAUCUCAGCUCAUUAGAGACUCUGAUUUUGUCGGAUUGUGAAAGCCUUGAUCUUAAUCUGAACGUGGAAAUGGAAGGUGAAGGAAGUCAUCAUGAUCGCAAAAACACAAGGCCUCACAUUCGGAGGGUUUUCAUCGGGGAAAUAACACAGUUAUUAGAACUGCCACAAUGGCUUCUUCAAUGUUGUACUGAUUCUUUACAGAGCUUGUUAAUUUCUGAUUGUCCCAACUUCUUGGCACUACCAGGGUCUCUAAAAGAUCUCGAAGCUCUUGAAACUCUUGUCAUCGGGAAUUGUCCAAAAUUGUCAUCGCUGCCGGAGGGUAUGCAUCACGUCACAACUCUGAAAUCAUUGACCAUUAUAGGAUGUCCUGCACUGAGUGAACGAUGCGAACCGCCAACAGGUGAAGAUUGGCCCAAGAUUGCACAUAUCACUCAGAUUGAUAUGGAUGGUUCCCCAGUUUCAGUGCGUUGAAGACGAGAUAAUCAAAUCAAGAGAUAUUUAGGUAUGGAUUUUUUUUUUCAAUAAGCAUACCACUCUGUUAUAUUUCCUCUUUUCAUGCAGCUUUGUAAUUUUUAAUUUCUCAUACAGCUAUACCGUUUAUAGUUUAAUGUUUUGUUAUGUUUACCAAACGAAAACUGGACUUUGAACGUUAGUUAGUUCAAUCAAACUUGUACUAAUUUAUUUUCUUCUAAUAGAUAAGUAGUUUGUCAGUACAAAACACAAAAAUAAAAUUUUGGAAACCGCACUGUUCUAGGGGUCAGAUCUGUUUCUAAAUUCAAACAGUUCAGGAUUUUUCAAAAUGGAACUUAUAAUGAGAUUUUUUUUUUAAUUAUCUAGUUAUCUUCAUAUGGAAUUUCAAUCUUUGUUAAUACUUUAACUUGCGCCGAAACAUCUAACAAUUCUUCCUCUUAUCCUUUUUUUUUCCCAAAUAUUGCAGCUUUCUUGGGAGAGGUUCAACCAAACUGCAGGGACAGUGAAAAUAUUACUCUAACGUUUUUCAGAACAGAGCUUCAAAGGUUUUAAUGUUGAUAAACAAGUACAUUGAGUGAGGUAUAUGUGUGUGCCUGUGUGGUCAUCACAAACAGUGAAAAAGUCAUUUUAUCAAAUGAUUUGGUGAAAUUUCAAGUACUUUCAGCUUGGUUUUUGCAGUUAAUAGGAAGUAGUUUGGUCUUGGGAUGUGGUAUAUGUAUCAAGUUCUUAUUGCUGGUGAACAUUACUGGUUUAGUGUGUGAUCAUUUACUAUCACUGCAUGCAUUAUCAGUUUAUUUUAUUAAACUAUCCCAAAUCAGUAACGAAUCCUCAAUUCCCUCUGUUUUCUUUGGAUCCUAGUAGUGUUUGGCAUGCAUCAACUAGUGUUCAUGCAUGUGUCGGUUCAUCAUAGACAACUUCAGCACACAUACAACGGCCCUCAUUUCUCCUUGCUCCAAUCAAUCGAUGGCAGAAUCAUCACAGACACCUUGAGCUCUGUCGAAUCAUCAUAGACAAUUUGUGAUUAGUGGGAGCAUUACAAGAAAGUUACGACUACUUCAAACUGUUAGAUUUGUUAAUAUGAUUCGGCUAUAGUUCUAUAAUUGGUGAGUUUUUGUGGGUUUGUUUGAUAUUUUUUUGUGGGUUUGUUUCUUAUAAUCUUUAUCCAGUCAAAGCAAACGUUCGCCUCUCACAUUGACGGUUAGGCUAGAUGUUUGACCCUGAAUAAGAUGAUUGAGUUUAUUAUAGUCUUCUUAUAUUGUCGGUUCAAUAUCAUUUUGAAAUAUCACAUCAAUUUCACUUUUGGAGUUUUAAUCCAUGCCCAGUUACACCUUUAUUUUACUUUUAAGCUGCAACAUUGAGUCACAUUCUUUUUCUGUUAUUAUUACGAUUAGCGACUGGUACAGUGGUAUUUGAACUGCAUAGCGUGUCAACAUUCACUCUAAAUGUCUUAGAAACUCUGUCUAUCACUAAUUUCCUAGAACAGGCCUCGUUGACAGUCAAAGAUUUGAGGCGUCUUUGUCAUCGUAGUUAUAAUUGAUUGUGGAGAGUGAAAACGCACUGUGAUGAAUGAAUGCAAAAGCUAUGUAAUUAAGACUACAUUUCUUAGGUUGGUGACCACAAAUAAUCGGAAGGAUAUUCACAAUAGUGUUAUUGAAGCUCUAUAUGGAAUAAGGAGACCAAACCUGUAUGUGAUAAGAGUUGUAUGAAUACCAAAUGAAUUGUAAGAGGAUAUGGUUACUUUAGAUUGCAAUUUAAGAAUGCUUGAGUUCUAAAAGCACAGAAAUGGGAUCAGUCUCUUGCUCGAGGGUAAACUCCUUCGUCAGUUAGUGAACUGUCCAUCAAAAGUAAAUAUUUAUGUGAUUGAGAGAAAUUUUGGAUUUUUGAUGAAAACAAAAAUCCUGUAUGCAUUUGCUUGCCCCCAAGGAGCUGAAGAUUCUCAAAUUGUUUGUAGACGUAAUAGUUCUUCUGAUAUCAUUUGGCUUGCUAAUCUUUCUUGCUCGAAAAUUUGCCCGUUGUGUGGUCUUGAUGGUGGGUGAAAUUGAUGUGUGGUUUCAGAUGAAGACGGCAGCAGAUAUGUGUGUGCCAUAUGACAUCGAGAAAAAGCAAAAGCCUUAAAGAGUUCAUCAACAUUUUCCAUUCAGAAGAAUCUGUUUUGUGGUUUUCAUGCUCGAGUGCCUACUUUUCAGUAUGCAAGCAGAGGAUUUGGCAUUAAUUUGGGGAAGCCUUUUUUUUGGGUAUAUGAGUGUGUGCAUUCCUUCAAUCACGUAGCUUUGUGCCAUUAACAUAAUGGCAAUUCCACAAUUGUGAUAAUGAGAAUUUUAUGAUUGGGGCAUAUUGUUAGGAACUCUUUACUGGUUUUUCUUUCCCCAUCUGGAUCUAUGAUUAAGGUUGUUUAAGGUGUUAUGGCUUUUAAUCUGCAAUCAUUGCGAAAGGGACUCACUAGCCGGCAAAUAAUAAAACAUGGUGCUGUCAAAUUUUAUAAGGAUUAUAUAUACAUACUCUUUCGUCUUCAAUGCACUGAAACUGGGGAACCAUCUAUAUGAUUUUCAUUCAGAAAAACCGGCGGGAACUAAUGACUUUCAUGAUUAAAAGUAGGAUUAUCGGAUUAUGGAGCAUUGUUAUGUAACGUUUUAUGGUUAUCUUAAGGAAAAAGUUGGCUUGGAAAUUAACUGAAAGGCAAUAUUCAUUCUAUCAUAAAACAAGUGUUUUUUUCACAAGGGGAGAAGGUUCCCUUUAUAAUUUACUAAUUUAUGCAACCGUUAAUAUUAAAAGAAAUUUUUUUUUAUAUUAAGGAUGAUGAUUCUUUUUCCCUUAGUAAAGUCUGUAUAUAACAUAUGAUGUGGUAAGCAAGGAAUCAAUUUAUCCCCUAUUUUGUUUUUCUUACUUUUUUUUCCCAAAAUAUUGCAACUUUCUUUGAAGAGGUUCGGCCAAACUGCUGAGACCGUCAGUACAGAGGUUCAACGGUUUUUUAAUACUGCAUUUUAAAAUUACAUGUAUUAUAUAUUCAUUACUUGUGAUUAUGUAAUUUUCUGAUGAUAAGUACAUUGAGUAAUGUAUAUAUGUGUGGCUGUGUGAUCAUUACUGAUAAUCUUAAUCAUAUAUUUCAAUACCAAUAAUGUUUCAGAAUUUCUCAAAUUCUCAGAAUAUACUCUCAAAUUCAUGUUUAUACUCUGUUCUUUCUCUUUCUCCUUCCUGGGUAAAUAUAAUUCAUUUGAUCGGGCUCUAAAUCCAUUUGAUCAGCAAUUAUUCUUUACGAGUUUGGCAAUCGAGCAAACUGAUUAUCAGUUGGCAAACUAAUUAGAUAUUGCAUUUUGGCCUUGAAGUGAAAUUAGUGAACAUGUUUCUUGAGGGCUCUUUUUAUAAGACACUUGAAGAAGAAAAUUCAUAUUUUUGCAAUGCUUCUUUCUCAAUAUAAAAUGAGUAAUUCGAAAGAAAAUUUAUUAUAGUAGAAACUACAACAAAAAGUUUUAAGUAUUGUUAAUCACAUCAUCAUAUUACGGUAUUACCAUUUAAUUUUUUAUUUUUAUCUAGUUUAAAUGAAAAAUUAAAGAAGCUUGGAACUUGGAGGGUAAUUUGAAUUCCGAAACGGCACCGUUUCACCUCGACCCACUAGAUACAAACUGAUUAUGAGUGAUACCAACGAUUGACCACUGUGACAGAGAGCCUCUCUCGGCGACGCCGACGGCCAGCUUUCACGCUCAUCUGCCGUCAUAUUCGCCAGCCGCCUGCUGUCACUCCGUCUUUGUUGUUGCGCCGGUGAAGGUGAGUACCGAGUUGCCAGUUGAGUUCAAUGGUUGUAUUUUGUAAUAGCAAUUAUAAUUAUCGGGUUUAAUUUGGGACAAUUUUGAUCAUCAAACUUUGCCAUGUUUCGUAUGACUCUGUUCUGUCUCACAUAGCAGGUUCUUGGUAGUUCGUACUCAUCAAUGUAUCCUGAUCGUGGUAUGGGAGGCAGCAGUUACAUGGGUAGUGGUGGUUCCGGAUCAUACUAGUGCUACGGUAAAAAUUGAAUUGUAAGUGAAAUUUUCUUUUAUGUAAAAUUACAAUGAUAUGAUUUUCUUGGUGUAUCAUAAACUGAGGUAUAAUGGUUCACCGAAGACUUUGGCAUCUCUCCAGUUUGCUAAGACGUAUGGCUCACAACGAAGGAAUCUACGGUAACAAGUGAAUAUUCUAUGGAACAGACUUGAGAUGAUGACAAAGAGGGUGCUGUAAGUGUAGGGUGUGGACUAUAUGAAGCUUCUCACACUAGGAUGCUUGCUACUUUGGAGAGGAUCAAGUUGCUGAGCCUAACAGCCUCCAUAUGUCACGGGAAGGGCUGCACUGGUUUAGGCCAUUCUUGGUUCUACAGACUGAUUACUUUGUCAAGUCUUAAUGCUGCAAGGAAACUCCCCUCAGUGUGUGAUAUGUACGAAUUGCUUCUUUACUUUUCUGUAUAAGAACUCCACUCGAUGGACAGUGUGGAGGCAUCUGUAUAAAUCUGUUUAUUGGAACCGACCCUGUCUUGAUCCGAAUUUUAAAACCUAAUCGAAUUUUAAUAUCGAACCCAACCGGAUAUCUCGAUUCGAUUCGGUUUGGUUUUAAACUCGGUUCUAUUUUUUAGGAACCGCCAGCUUGGGUACGGAACCGAACCAAACCAAACCGUACACUGUGUGCCUCGGUAAAGAGUUUGAUUUCUCUAUUUUAACCUUAAUUAAAUAUUGAUUUCCAAUUUUACCCUUUAACAAAACUAAAUUAAAUAACAAUAAUUUUCACUUCCUUUUUUGAUUUCAUUUUACGGCUCAACAAAACGGGGUUUUUAAUUAAAUAUGCCUUAAAAGUACGGUAUUUAGUUAAAUAUACCUCAUGCUUGAAAAUUAUCUAAAUAUGCCUUUUUAUGUGGUACAUUGUCUAAAAUGUCCCUAAAGAAAAAUAUAAAACACACACAACUCACAACACUCUUUACUUCACUCUUUAACUCCACACAACAAAAACUCACACUACACUCAAAAUCACUCACAAACAGAUAAUGCACUGAGAUUUUUAUUUGCAGCUGGGUGUAUUAUUCAUCCCAUGAAUAAGGUAUUUGAAACUUUUUAUUUUUUAUUUUGGGCUAUCUAUUCAAUUUGUUGACAUUAUAUUAUUUUUAGGGUUUUGUUUGGUUUGUGAUAAACACUAAAGCAACUCUUAUUUUUAUUACAUUUGCAUCAUAUGAUUGUUAUUUGAUGGAUUUUAUAACUACAUUCGUUAAAACCUGAAGUUGUUGUCAAAUUUUUUUUCUGCACCCGACAUACACGACAGUAGUCGUGUAUGUAUGUAUUUACACGACUGUAGUCGUGAAAAUGUGCAAAAAAAAAUCAAUUAUUAUGACACCUUAUCAUUCUAUUGGUUCAAAAAAUAUAUUUUUUUCACUAUAUUUAUCAUUUUACUAUUACUGCACUAUAGUCGUGUGUGUUAAUAAGUUACACGACUACUAGCAUGUACGUAUAAACUUACAUACUAUAAUUGUGUAUAUAUGUAAAAUGUUCCAAUUGGUAUGAGAUCCCAACAUUUUUUUAAGAAGAAAUGUCCUUUGAUUAUUUACUGAGUCAUGUAUUUUUGCAACUUACACGACUUCUGUCAUGUAUGUAUGAAUUUACACGACAACAAUCGUACAAGUUUGAAAGAUAUAGUAGUUGUUAUGACACCUAACAUUCUGUUAGUACAAAGAUUAUGGUUAUAUUUUAUUAAAUAUAUCAUCUGACUGUUUACAGAACUAUAGUUGUGUAUUUUAGCAAGUUACACAACUAUUAUCGUGUAAACUAUCAAUUACACGACGUCAAUCGUGUAAAUAGGCAGACAAAUCCACACUUCAUUUUAAGUCUUGUGAACAUGCAUUAGCUGUUUGUAGGUAUCGAGAAACAUUGUCUGUAUAUGACAUGUGUUCUCGUUACUAUUCCAGUGAAGCAUGGGUUGUAGCAUACGCAGAAACAAUAUAUCCUGUUGGCAUAGAAGAAGAAAUUAGAGGUUUCAGAAAAAGUGCAAAGUAAUGAGGUGUUGCCCCCUGUGGAAAAGUGGAAAAGGGGUCGGCCACAACAAAUUAGGAUACCAUCACAAGGCGACGAAAAGUUACGCCGUAAGUGUGGUAGGUGUGGUUCUCGAGGACAUAAUCGACUAACUUGCAGUGCACCAAUCCCACUGUCUAACAAUGAGCCCGUAGUUAAAUCGAAUGAAACAUAAACAAGCACAUGUACUACUAUGAACCUUAUAUACUUGUUAUUUUUUGUUGUUUUAAUUUUUUUAAUAUCUUUCAUAUUUAGUGAUAAAUUUCUACCUUUUGUUUCACAGAUGAAUAACUGUGUUUGUGUGGCUUUCUAAGAAUAAGUAUUGAAGGGAGGCGACUAGAGGCUUAUAAAAUAUGGACCGAGUGUUUGGGUUGAAUAUGCCAAAAAUUUAUGAUGAAUGUUAAACAACUUCUAUUGUAUUACGACUUAUUUACGAUUUCAAUAAGUAUUGAAUUUAUGUUAUUUAAUAAGCAACCGGACUAUAGUUAAUUUCAUUUAUUUGAAGUUUGAUAUGUUUAAAAUCUAUAUUGAUUGUGUCAUCAAUAUAAUGAAUGAUUGAAAAGAGUUUUUAUUCUGUGCACAUACCCGAGUACAAUCGUGUAUUUUGGCUGUUACAGAACUACUCAUGUUUAUUUCUAAAUACUCGACUACAGUCGUGUAUCUGUGCAAAUACCCGACUGUCACAGAGAGCUUGUCAUGUUUAUUUCUAAAUACUCGACCAUAGUUGUGUAUCUGUGCAAAUACCUGACUGCAGUCGAGUAUUUUGUCACAGAGAGCUUAUUAUGUUUAUUUCUAAAUACCCGACUGCAGUCGUGUAUCUGUGCAAAUACCCGACUGCAGUCGAGUAUUUUGUCACAGAGAGCUUAUUAUGUUUAUUUCCAAAUACCCGACUGCAGUCGAGUAUUUUGUCACAGAGAGUUUGUCAUGUUUAUUUCUAAAUACCUGACUGUAGUCGUGUAUCUGUGCAAAAACCCGACUGCAAUCGUGUAUUUUCUUACAGUGUAUUCCCUGUGCAUAUAUGGCAAUCCUGUUAUAUCACAUAGAUUGUACAAACUAUCUUAUCUAUCAUUAAUAUAAUUAACAAAGAAAUAAAUUAUAUUAAUGUUGUCAAUUUUCUUUAAUGACAUCAAAUAUCAACAACAUCCUCAUCAUAACUAUUACAUCUCAUAGUCCAAAAAAUGACACUACAAAGUUUUUUUUCAUGACCUAUGCCUAAAUAAUUUUACAGCCAAGGCUUGUCGAAAUUGUGUAACAUGAUCUUGUUGGCAAUAUAAAUUGACAUCAAGUCCAUGGGCUAGGACCUUUAAGUACCGCAACAAAAAUGCUCCACAAUCACCACUAAAAAAAUUCAUAUAAAUCAAUUGUUAAAAAUCAUCAUUUUAUGUGAUUUCAGCAUUGAAGUAUUUGCAGGUACUAUACAAAGGCAUUAUAGUUCCCAAUCAAGAAUAUGGAAUUUGUCUCGACAACUUGAAUAACAAAUCUCUGUACUUCCCAGUUUCAAAGUACUGGUAACAGAAACACAUUUUGGCAGUAACACAUUUUUCCAGUUUUUCCAUAGUUCUCAUCACCUUGUGACAAAUUUGUAAAUCACAAGUUAUUCCUCUUUUUCUCUUUUAUAAUAUAACAUUAUUAAUCAAAUAAAAUGCAAUUAAUUUGUUCAAUGACUUUAUCACAACUUCAUGAACUAAUUUCAAGACAACUCCUAGUCUUAGUUCUCAACUGCAAGUAUUGAAGUUGGGUUGAUUAUUUCUUGAUAGAAGUGACACCAAAAUCGAAAUUGAUGUGCAUUUUAUAUGUGUAAUUUGCCCAAAAAGAAUUAAAGAUUCAAGAACCUUGCAAGGAGAGAAAGUUGCCAUGUGUGCAAAUGUGGUCCACUUAAAUAAAAAUGAAAUUCUGGAGACAAACAAAACAACAAAAUGUACACGUUGCCAUCUGCAUUCACUCAAAACUCAAUUCGCUUAACCGGGCCAUAUACUCCUCAUGGAUGGAAAGUAAAAUCCUAGUCUCACCUAACAUUUUCACAGAUAUUAAAUUGAUAAAUUACCUUCAAUUUUUCGUUUUACUUGUUUUGGCGCGUUUCAACGAGAGUGUAGAAGAGUUGUUGUAAAAUGGCAGGGAUUUGUAAAAUGGAAGAUGAGACGCUGAAGGAGAGUGGGGGAAUUGCAGCUACUGGUUUGCACAGAAGCGGCGUCGUUUUACUUGUUUUGCUGCGUUUCGGCUAGAGUGUGUAGAAGAAUUGUUGUAAAAUUGCAGGGAUUUGUAAAAUGGAGGAGGAGAAAUCAGAAGAAGGGGCUGAAGGAGACGCUGCUCAUGAGAGAAUUGGGGGUUUUGUUAAUUGGUUGUGGUAGUUUGGUUGAUUUAGGUUUUUCAUUAGGUUAAUUUCGUAACUGCACAUUAGAAAAAGUAUAUACAGUGAAUUUUUGAGUAUGAGGGUGUUUUUAGAUAAAUACCCUAUUUUUAGGGUAUACCACGGACAAAUCCCUGCAACGGAAUCUCUCAAAACCGUUGUUCUGAACUUCCGGCGGCUUUCAGUACCGGCGAAGGCUGAAGAUUCAAGCAAUAGAGCUGCUCAUGAUGAGGGGAAGGAGAAGAAGACUUAGCGAGUUCGCAAGAACGUAUAUAGAGGAAUAAGGGAGAGGCCGUGGGAAAAAUGGGCAGUUGAAAUUAGAGACCCUUUCAAGGGCGUCCGCGUUUGGCUCGGCACACUUUCAACACAGCCGAAGCCACCAAGCGUAUCCGCGGCAACAAGGCCUAGCUCAACUUUGCUCUGCCGCCGCCGGCGCCAAUAACUCCACCUCUAGCUAAGAAACGCUGCACGCUAUCUCCUGCUAUCCCCUGAGUUACUCAGCCGAGUUUUGAAGAUUACUUUUUUUUUUCUUUUGGGCUUUCAUUGGUUUAUCAUUUGAGUCUACAAACAAAUUGUAUUCUUUUUCCCUAAAUUGUGAACACUUGGGGUUUUUAUUGUUGAAAUGCUUUAUUAUUUUUCGAUGACCAAGUAAUGUGAAUCAAUGUUCUCUUUAAAUAAUUUUCCCCUGUCCUUGCAUGUUCUACCGGUCAUUAUUUUUUAUUUGAAUUUGAAGAAACUUUCUAAGUGCAUACACCCAUAUGAAGUCGAAGAUCUUCCAGACAAGGUGGCAUCCAUCAAGAUCAAGAAAUUUUACUGCUUAGCAUGUGUUAUAUUUAUGGAUUGGCUAUUGAAAAAAUAAUGUUUGUACUGAUGCAGAUGCAGGAACUUUACACAUCUUAAGUUUACGUGAUAUUUUUUUCUUUUUUGACUCUGUUAGAUAGUUGUCAGUUAGUUAACCAAUUUAUGUUACUCUUCCUUGGCUAGCCAAUUAAGAACUCAUGUUUGCUGGAUUGUAAAGCCUACAUCUGGAAGCCACAGGUGAUUUUAUUUGAAGGCAAUUUGUUCUAGGCUAUAUGCGGAUUUCUAUCAUGAUUUCUGUAAGCUUGAAGGAGAUUUUUUUUAUGCGUGAGAGCUUGAAAAUUAUAUAUGUACAUGUUGAAACUAUUGGAUAUAUGUUAAGAAUCAAGCAUAAUUGUGUCGAGAUGAAACCAUAAUUUGGGUGCUGUUUUAUGAGUAAACUAUCUGCAAUUUGGGUGCAGUAAACCUAGGUUGAAUACCGGGACAUGGUAUAAAAGUGAAAUCACACAUUGAGUCUCGCAUAAAGAUUUUAAAGAUGCAAAUUCGAAUUGUACAUGAGAUGUUAUCUUGAUCGAAUUGCAGCGGCUUUGUUUUGGAUCCAGAAAACAAAAUUGUAAGCACAGAGAAGUCUCUAUGGGAUGCUUAUAUUAAGGUGCAUAAUGGCCUCAUUGAGUUUUGUGUUGUUGUUCUACGUUGUUUGAGUUUUGUGCUUCUGUUCUUUGUUGCUGCUUUUGCUACCGAUUUUGGCUAUUUUCUGCCACUCUGUUAUUUGCUAUUUUUUACUACUUUGGCUGCUGAUUUUUGCUGUUUUCGCUGCUUUAGCUGUUGUUUUGUCUGCUUUUUUUUUUUUUUUUUACUGCUCUUAUUGUUGAUUUUUGCUGUUCUCUAUCGUGUUUUACCCACUGGUUGUCGCAUGUUUAUUAAUACUGUUUGCUGCUGUUUUUUGCUGCUAAUUUUUUUUUUUUUUUUUCUGUUUUCUGCGGUUAUUUGCUGCCGUUGCUGUUUUACUCGCCAGUUGAUGAUGUUUUGUGGUUCUCCUCCUCCUCGAGUGCCUACUUUUUCCAGUGUGCAAGCAUAUCUGUUGAGAGUGGCUGAUGAAAUCACUAAACUGUUACAGUUGAUCUCAUGCUUCUCUAGAGAAGGAAUUAGACUUAUUUUGGUGAAGGGGUUUUUUCUGGUUUUUAUAUCAGUGUGUGCGUUUCUUCAAUCAUGUAGCUUUGUGGCAUUACGAUCGAUAAUGUAAUUUGCUGAUGAUAAGUACACUGAGUGAUGUAUAUAUGUGUGGCUGUGUGAUCAUUACUGAUAAAUUCAUUUGAUCAGCAAUUAUUCUUUACGAGUUUGGUAAUCGAGCAAACUGAUUAUCAGUUGGCAAACUAAUUAGAUAUUGCAUUUUGGCCUUGAAGUGAAAUUAGUGAACAUGUUUCUUGAGGGCUUCUUUUAUAAGACACUUGAAGAAGAAAAUUCAUGUUUUUGCAAAACUUCUUUCUCAAUAUAAAAUGAUAAUUCGAAAGAAUAUUUAUUAAAGAAGCUUGGAACUUGGAGGGCAAUUUGAAUUCUGAAACGGCACCGUUUCACCUCGACCCACUAGAUACAAACUGAUUAUGAGUGACACCAACGAUUGACCGCUGAGACAGAGAACCUCUCUCGGUGACGCCGACGGCCAGCUUUCACGCUCAUCUGCCGUCAUAUUCGGCAGCCGCCUGCCGUCACUCCGUCUUUGUUGUUGCGCCGGUGAAGGUGAGUACCGAGUUGUCAGUUGAGUUCAAUAGUUGUAUUUUGUAAUAGCAAUUACAAUUAUCGGGUUUAAUUUGGGACAAUUUUGAUCAUCAAUCUUUGCCAUGUUUCGUAUGACUCUGUUCUGUCUCACAUAGCAGGUUCUUGGUAGCUCGUACUCAUCAAUGUAUCCUGAUCGUGGUAUGGGAGGCAGCAGUUACAUGGGUAGUGGUGGUUCCGGAUCAUACUAGUGAUGUGGUAAAAAUUGAAUUGUAAGUGAAAUUUUCUUUUAUGUAAAAUUACAAUGAUCUAAUUUUCUUGGUGCAUUAUAAACUGAGACAUAAUGGUUCACCGAAGACUUUGGCAUCUCUCAAGUUAGCUAAGACGCAUGGUUCACGACAAAGGAAUCUACGGUAACAAGUGAAUUUUCUAUGGAACAGACUUGAGAUGAUGACAAAGAGGCUGCUGUAGGGUGUGGACUAUAUGAAGCUUCUCGCAUUAGGAUGCUUGCUACUUUGGAGAGGAUCAAGUUGCUGAGCCUAACAGCCUCCAUAUGUCAUGGGAAGGGCUGCACUGGUUUAGGCCAUUCUUGGUUCUACAGACUGAUUACUUUGUCAAGUCUUAAUGCUGCAAGGAAACUCCCCUCAGUGUGUGAUAUGUACGAAUUGCUUCUUUACUUUUCUGUAUAAGAACUCCACUUGAUGGACAGUGUGGAGGCAUCUGCAUAAAUCUGUUUAUUGGAAUCAACCCUGUCUGAUCCGAAUUUUAAAACCGAAUCGAAUUUUAAUAUCGAACCCAACCGGAUAUCUUGGUUCGAUUCGGUUUGAUUUUAAGCUCGGUUCUAUUUUUUAGGAACCGCCAGCUUGGGUACGGAACCGAACCAAACCAAACCAAACCGUACACUGUGUGCCUCAGUAAAGAGUUUGAUUUCUCUAUUUUAACCUUAAUUAAAUAUUGAUUUCCAAUUUUACCCUUUAACAAAACUAAAUUAAAUAACAAUAAUUUUCACUUGCUUUUUCGAUUUCAUUUUACGGCUCAACAAAAUCUCUCAAAACCGUUGUUCUGAACUUCCGGCGGCUUUCAGUACCGGCGAAGGCUGAAGAUUCAAGCAAUAGAGCUGCUCAUGAUGAGGGGAAGGAGAAGAAGACUUAGCCGAGUUUUGAAGAUUACUUUUUUUUUUUCUUUUGGGUUUUCAUUGGUUUAUCAUUUGAGUCUACAAACAAAUGGUAUUCUUUUUCCCUAAAUUGUGAACACUUGGGGUUUUUAUUGUUGAAAUGCUUUAUUAUUUUUCGAUGACCAAGUAAUGUGAAUCAAUGUUCUCUUUAAAUAAUUUUCCCCUGUCCUUGCAUGUUCUACCGGUCAUUAUUUUUUAUUUGAAUUUGAAGAAACUUUCUAAGUGCAUACACCCAUAUGAAGUCGAAGAUCUUCCAGACAAGGUGGCAUCCAUCAAGAUCAAGAAAUUUUACUGCUUAGCAUGUGUUAUAUUUAUGGAUUGGCUAUUGAAAAAAUAAUGUUUGUACUGAUGCAGAUGCAGGAACUUUACACAUCUUAAGUUUACGUGAUAUUUUUUUCUUUUUUGACUCUGUUAGAUAGUUGUCAGUUAGUUAACCAAUUUAUGUUACUCUUCCUUGGCUAGCCAAUUAAGAACUCAUGUUUGCUGGAUUGUAAAGCCUACAUCUGGAAGCCACAGGUGAUUUUAUUUGAAGGCAAUUUGUUCUAGGCUAUAUGCGGAUUUCUAUCAUGAUUUCUGUAAGCUUGAAGGAGAUUUUUUUUAUGCGUGAGAGCUUGAAAUUAUAUAUGUACAUGUUGAAACUAUUGGAUAUAUGUUAAGAAUCAAGCAUAAUUGUGUCGAGAUGAAACCAUAAUUUGGGUGCUGUUUUAUGAGUAAACUAUCUGCAAUUUGGGUGCAGUAAACCUAGGUUGAAUACCGGGACAUGGUAUAAAAGUGAAAUCACACAUUGAGUCUCGCAUAAAGAUUUUAAAGAUGCAAAUUCGAAUUGUACAUGAGAUGUUAUCUUGAUCGAAUUGCAGCGGCUUUGUUUUGGAUCCAGAAAACAAAAUUGUAAGCACAGAGAAGUCUCUAUGGGAUGCUUAUAUUAAGGUGCAUAAUGGCCUCAUUGAGUUUUGUGUUGUUGUUCUACGUUGUUUGAGUUUUGUGCUUCUGUUCUUUGUUGCUGCUUUUGCUACCGAUUUUGGCUAUUUUCUGCCACUCUGUUAUUUGCUAUUUUUUACUACUUUGGCUGCUGAUUUUUGCUGUUUUCGCUGCUUUAGCUGUUGUUUUGUCUGCUUUUUUUUUUUUUUUUUUACUGCUCUUAUUGUUGAUUUUUGCUGUUCUCUAUCGUGUUUUACCCACUGGUUGUCGCAUGUUUAUUAAUACUGUUUGCUGCUGUUUUUUGCUGCUAAUUUUUUUUUUUUUUUUUCUGUUUUCUGCGGUUAUUUGCUGCCGUUGCUGUUUUACUCGCCAGUUGAUGAUGUUUUGUGGUUCUCCUCCUCCUCGAGUGCCUACUUUUUCCAGUGUGCAAGCAUAUCUGUUGAGAGUGGCUGAUGAAAUCACUAAACUGUUACAGUUGAUCUCAUGCUUCUCUAGAGAAGGAAUUAGACUUAUUUUGGUGAAGGGGUUUUUUCUGGUUUUUAUAUCAGUGUGUGCGUUUCUUCAAUCAUGUAGCUUUGUGGCAUUACGAUCGAUAAUGGCAACUCCACAAUGAUGAUAAUGAUAAUUUUGUGAUUCAGACACGUUGUUAGGAAUUCUGUACUGGUUUUUCUCUCGCCUUCGGUGUCUACGAUGAAGCAUAUAAUGGCUUUUAAUCUGCAACUGCUGCAAAAUGGACUCACUAGCUAGCAAAUAAUAAUAUAUAGUGCUGUCAAAUUUAUAAAGAUUAUAUAUACACACACUUUCGUGUUCAAUGCACCGACACUGGAUGUAUAUUGGCAUUUAGAAAAGUUGGCGAUAACUAAUGACUUUCAAGAUUAAUUAAAUGACAAUAUUCAGUCUAUCAUAAAACAAGUUUUCAACAAGUGAAGAGGAGGUACUCUUUAUAAUUGGAUAAUUAAUGCAAACUUCAAUAUUUUCAACCAAAAGAAAACAAUGAUAUUUGAUAUGUAUUCAACAUUAGGGAAAAACCACCCAUAUCGAAGGUUUGCUUAAAUGAUCAAAUAAAUCCACUUAGUUUCUUAAAUGGUUAUACAUAUCCUCUUUUUGACUAUUUAUUGGGUUAUGUUUGAGAGUUAGGACUAAGUGUGGGAUUAUACUAACUUUGAGAUUAAAUAUUAUUCCAUAUUUAGCAAUUUUCCUUGGAUUGGAUUAUGAGAGACUAAAUUCUAAGUUAGUUGUUAAAUAAAGGGGAUUGGCAAUACCAAUUUAUAAAUAGAUUUAAAUGGGAUUAGAAUAAGAGGAAAAAAUGUUCAUUUGUAAUAUUUCUUUCAUAUAUAACACCAUCUUUUAUUUAUUACUUAAAAUUUAAUUAAUGAAUUAAUUAUUCUAUUCAUGAUUUACUUGAAAUAUAUUUUUUAUUUUGUUUUUAUAUUCUAAUUAAAUUGGUACUUUAAUUUAAUAAUUUGUUACAUUAAUUGAUUGUACUAAAUUUAAUAAUCACCAAUGUAAUAUUAAAAUAUAAUUAUGAAAAUUAAUAAUACUAGUAAUUAAUUGAUUUUAUAUAUUAUUUGUUAAUUUUUGGAUAAAAUAAAAUAUAUAUCUAAAAUAUCUAAAUAAUCAAAAACUUUUAUUAAUUUAUAUUUUUUAUUACAAUUAUGACUACCCAUAAGUAAUUUAUUGUAUAUUUAAUGUUCUUAUUAAUUAUAUUUAAAUUAGUCUUAAUUAUUAUUCUUAAAUAUUCAUAAAUAGUUUUUUAUUUAAAUAUAAUUUAACAUUGUCUAAUCUAAUGUUGUACCAAACAUAAGACAAUACUGUAUAAUCCCACAUAAUACUUAGUCCAAUUUAGUCUUGCAUGCCAAAUGUAAUCUUAUACACUUUCAUUACAACAAGCCAAUAAUUGACUUAAAUAAACUUCUAUAACAAUUAUAAGUUAAAAUUAAAAUAAUAUGAUAUAUAAAAUAAGAUAAAAUUUAUAAAUUAUUUUGAAUAUUAGACAAAUGAUUUUAACAUUAUUAAUUUGUCAUAUUCUUUUACUACUAAUAAAAUAUGUUUGACAAAUUAAUAAUAUUAAAAUAAUUAUACCUAACAUUCACAAUAAUUUAUAAAAUUUAUAUAUUUUGUUUGCAAUUUUUUUUAAUUAUGUCUAUAUUAAUAUAAAUCUUAAAGUCAAUUUUUGGAUUAAUAGAUUUUAGUAUAUAUAAUAAUAACUUAAUAUUAAAAAUAAUUUUCAUUACAUACGUUAUUCUAUUAAUUAUCUUAUUGUAAUAUUUUAUUUGUAUCAUAUGAUAUUUAUUAAUUAUUAUUUUUAUCUUAUUACUAUAUUUAUAUUUAUUUGUGUUGUUGUAAUCAAAGGGUAUAGUAACUAAAAAUGUGUUUAUGUGACUAUUUAACCUAAAGGGUCUUUGUGACCAUUUAAGUAAACCUUGGAAAUGUGCGACAAUAGUCAUUCUAAUGACUUUCAAGAUUGAAAGUGAGUCGGAUUAUCAAAUUAUGAAGCAUUAAUACGUAAUGUUUUAUGGUUAUUUUAAGGUUGAAGUUGGUUUAUUCAUUAAACAAGCUUUUAACAAGAGGAGAAGGUUCCCUUUAUAAUUUAAUAAUUAAUACAACCUUCAAUAACAAAAAAAUCAUAUAAUAAGGAUGAUGAUUCUUGCUCACUUGGAUAAGAUAUAUAUAUAUAUAAAACCUAUGAUGUGGUAAGCAAGGAAUCAAUUAUGUAUUUCUUAAUCAAUUCAAUUUCUCUAUUACAUUUUCAUGGCGAAUGUCCCUUACUUCCAUUACCUUGGGAUUGUAAAAUGAUGCUUAAUGCUGCUUUCAAAAAAUUAACAUACACAUCCUUUUAUUCUAAUGGAUCAUAGCACGCAAUGCAUUACCAAUAGGGAUGACUAAAAUCUCCGCAGAGACGGGUACCUUCGUAGAUUUUUCUAAGUAAGACUUGUGUCGUCUUGUCCUCUGGCAAGUUUUGUUUUGUCUUGUCCUACUGACAAGUUUGCUUGAUAUAUUUUAAGGAUUGGUCGUCAACUUCUUCUUUUACUUGUUUUGGGGUGGACUCAUUCUGUUAAUCACAAGUGGUAUGGCAUCUAAUAGCAAUUCAAUGGAGCCUGAGAUGACUGCUGCAUAUGAUUCGUUCUCCAUAGGUGAGGACGAGGAGGAUGGCCUUGUCUUCCAGAGUGAUGAUAUGGCAACGGGGCAGGAAGGUUUGAAUGAUGUUAGAUUCUGUUUGGUGGGGCGGUUUUUAACGGAUAAAGUGAUUAAUUUCCCAGCUAUGAAGAAUACAAUGGCAGCAUUAUGGCGGCCAGGAAAGGGCGUAUGCAUUAAAGAUUUAUCAUCCACCCUUUUCUUGUUUCAAUUUUUUCAUGAGAUUGAUCUGCAACUUGUCAUUGAUUCGGGCCCAUGGACAUUCGAUCAACAUAUUCUAAUUCUACAGAGAUUGGGGGAGCAUGAUCAGCCACAUAGGGUCCCUUUAUAUCAUACUUUCUUUUGGAUUCAAGUGUAUAACUUACCCAUUGGAUUCCAAUCGGAGAAGGUGUUGACAAACAUUGGUAACUAUAUUGGUGAGUUCCAAGCUUCGGAUCCUAACAAUCUCAUGGGAGUAAGAGUCUCAAUAGAUGUCCGGAAGCCUUUGAAGAAAAGAUUGCGUCUGAAGAAGGAGGGGGGGGGGAGUGGUUUUGGGUUGAUUUUAAAUAUGAAAGGUUGAAUGUUUUCUGUUUCAUCUGUGGGCUGCUUGGGCACACCGAAAAACUAUGUCCGAAGCUGUAUGAAUGUGUGGCUACUGAUAUGGUUAGGCUGUAUGGACCAGAGAUGAAUGCUCCAACUCGUCGGAAUGCAAUGUCUUCCGGUGAUCGGUGGCUACGUUCAGUACCUCCGGACGAAGGUGGGUUCAUGUUUGGUAAGUCCACGGAAUUCGUAAGUGGUGCAGAGAUUAAGGAUAUGAAUGCCACAAAAUUGGGAGUUACCACUAAUAGGAAGAUGCCUCACAGUUUAGGAAGGGAUGGGUAUGAGAAUAUGGAAAUCAUGGAGAUAUCAAAGGGAUUGGCAGUUGUCAAAGCACGUGAGAGUCAAAGGAAUGAUAAGGGGAAAGGGGUGGAUUGGCUUGCUAAUGGGAUGGAUCUUGUUCACACGGCUGAUAGCUGUAGAGAGAAAGGAAUCGUUCUAAAGGAAGCUAAACGGAGACGGGCCGAGAUUGAUUUGGAUGGGCUUGGGCAAUCAGAGGAAGAUGAGCAAUCUAUGGUCAUGGAUCCAAAAAACGGACUAGCGGUGGGACUUGGUUUUCAGGCCCACCGAGACCAAUGAGUACCUUGAGCUGGAACUGCCGUGGUUUGGGCCAGCCACGGACAGUUCGAAUGUUAACAGAACUGGUUCGUAGGAAAAAACCUUCUUUUAUAUUCCUUAUAGAAACGUUAUGUAGUAAAAGUAAACUAGAAAGUAUUAAAAGACAGUUGGGCUAUGACGGGCUUUUUGUUGUGGACCGAGUGGGCCGAAGUGGAGGACUUGCGCUUCUUUGGCAGGCAACUAGUUCUGUGAAGCUUCUGAAGUAUGCUACCAAUUUUAUAGAUGCUGAAAUUGAAGAUCAGGAGGUAGGAAAGUGGAGGCUGACUGGCUUUUAUGGCUAUCCUGAGACUAGCAGGAGGCGGGAAUCGUGGGACUUGCUCCGCUUACUUUCUACUUCAUCCUCUCUUCCUUGGCUAUGCAUAGGGGAUUUUAAUGAUCUUUUGGCGGCAAAUGAGAAGAGGGGCAAAAUUGUUCAUCAUAAUUGGAAGUUAGUGGGCUUUCAAAAAGCUAUUGCAGAUUGCAAUCUGCUUGAUCUUGGUGUCGAGGGAUAUCAGUAUACUUGGGAGAGGGCUAGGGGAACUGAUCGGUGGGUUGAGGAAAGACUUGACAGGGCCUUUGCUUCUGAGGCGUGGCUGCAGCGUUUCACCAGAGCAAAGGUAUAUAGUUUAGAAUCUUCUUGUUCUGAUCACCUCCCUAUAUUUUUGGAUCCUAGCCCAGCUCAGUAUGUUACGAGGAAUAGGCGUUUUCGGUUUGAAAAUAUAUGGAUGCGUGAGGCGGACUGCAGUGAGGUUAUUCGGGAAAGUUGGUAUUCUCACCCAAGGAAUUCUAUCCAACGUAAAAUUUUGGCUUGUGGGUCUGCUUUAACGGAGUGGGGGGGUCAUUUAGGCCGAAACUUUCGUAAGCGUAUUAUGGACUGCAAGAACCGAAUGACUUCUUUAAGAGGGCGUCGUGAUAGAAAAGGUGUGACUGAGUUUACGGAGGCUCGAAAUCGUUAUAAUGAGUUGCUGCAUAGUCAUGAGGUGUUCUGGAAACAGCGGGCAAAAUCGCUUUGGCUAAAAGAAGGAGAUAAGAACACUCGUUACUUUCAUGCUUCGGCUUCAGCACGGAAAAGGCAAAAUUCCUUGGGGAAUCUUCGUAAUGAUCAAGGAGAAUGGUGCGCCAAUUCUGUUGAGGUGGAUGCAUUGAUAGUUGAUUACUUUACGAGCUUGUUUACAGCUGGAGGAGUCCAAACUGCCGAAGUUAUUCAGUGUGUGGAUACUAAAGUUACAAGUGAACAUAAUUCAAUGUUGUUAGCUCCAUUUUCUGCCAUUGAAGUGAAAUAAGCAGUAUUUGGUAUGCACCCGGAUAAGUCUCCAGGUCCUGAUGGGAUGAACCCGGCCUUCUACCAAAAGUUCUGGCAUAUCGUGGGUGAGGAUGUGGUUAUGGCUUGCCUCAAUCUUCUUCAGGAUGCUUCCUUUCCGGUAGGCUUGAAUGAUACUUCCAUUGUUUUAAUUCCGAAUAAGCAAAGGCCUGAAUUUUUAUCAGAUAUGCGACCUAUUGCAUUAUGCAAUGUUCUUUAUAAGAUAAUUUCUAAAAUGUUAGCUAACCGUAUGAAAUUAGUGCUUGAGUUGGCUAUUUCAGAUUCCCAAAGCGCCUUUGUGCCGGGACGAGCUAUCACUGAUAACAUAAUCAUAUCGGCUGAGAUUAUGCACUUCUUGAAGCGAAAACGGCAAGGAAAAAAUGGGGUAGCUGCAUUGAAAAUUGAUAUGUCUAAGGCGUAUGAUAGGAUCGAGUGGAAUUUUCUUCAAGAUAUGAUGCUCAAGAUGGGGUUUGCUGCCAAGUGGGUGGAAUUAAUGAUGCUCUGCGUUUCUACUGUCCGAUACCGCGUGCUCCGUGAGGGUAAGGAGAUUGGUCCGAUUGUUCCCUGCAGAGGCCUUCGCCAAGGGGAUCCUUUAUCCCCGUACUUAUUUAUUAUAUGUGCAGAGGGGUUAAGUUCAUUGAUUCGCAGGCAAGAGAGUAAUGGAUUGCUUCACGGAGUUAGAAUUGCGAGAGGAGCUCCAACAGUGUCUCAUUUGUUUUUUGCGGAUGAUAGUUUCCUGUUCUUUCGGGCAAACAACAAUGAAGCUUACUUAAUCAAGCACUUGCUGGCCAUAUAUGGACGAGCCUCUGGCCAAGUUGUUAACUUCAGUAAAUCUGCAAUCUCAUUUAGUGCUAAUGUAGUUGAAAGCGUAACUCGGGAGGUCUGUGCUAUUCUUGCGGUUAAUUCCACUGCUAAUCACGGGACUUAUCUUGGACUGCCAUCAGCCAUUGGUAGGAAAAAGAAAGAAGUGUUCCAAUAUAUUAGAGACAAGUUAUGGCAAAGACUUCAAGGUUGGGGGUCGCGGAUGCUUUCUCGGGCUGGAAAGGAGAUUUUGUUAAAAACAGUGGCCCUUGCUAUGCCUAAUUAUGUUAUGAGUAUUUAUUUGCUGCCCAAAGAGCUAUGUAGAGAGCUAGAAGUGUUGAUGAAUUCUUUCUGGUGGCGUAAUAAUCACAGUGGUGGGACAGGAAUUAAUUGGGUUAAGUGGAAAUACUUGUGCAAACCAAAGGGGUGUGGUGGACUUGGGUUCAAGCAAUUUUAUUUAUUUAACAUUGCGAUGUUAGGAAGGCAGAUGUGGAAGUUAUUAACCUGCCCUGAUUCUCUAAUGGCGAGAAUUCUUAAAGCUCGGUACUAUCCGCGAACUUCUGUAGUUCGAGCUUCGUUGGGGCAUAAUCCCAGCUAUGUAUGGCGUUCCAUUCUGGCUGCAAAGGAAGUGGUGGUCCAAGGGAGUAGAGUGCAGGUUGGCAGUGGUCGUUCGAUAUCCAUUGGUAAAGAUCCUUGGCUUCCAGACCUCCAAGAUGGGUGUGUUUCUACAAAUCUUAAUGAGGAGCUAGCUACAGCUCCUGUCAGCAGCUUAAUGAUGCCUCACCAACGAGCUUGGGACUAUAAUGCUGUUUCGGACAUCUUCAAUUCAAGAGAUAAGGAGUUGAUUCUGAAGAUUCCUCUUAGUUCCCGCCGCGAAGAUGAUGUGUGGUAUUGGAUGGCGGAUUCCCGGGGAUGUUAUUCAGUUCGCAGCUGCUAUAAGGUUUUAAAUCCUAUCACUCCCGGUUCCUUAGCGGAUGUGUGGAGGAAAUUGUGGAACUCGAAAGUGCCGAACAAGGUUAAGAAUUUUAUUUGGAGAGCUGCACACAACGUGUUGCCUACAGCACUCAAUUUAAUUUCCAAAAGGGUGGAUGUUCCAGCUAUGUGUUCUGUAUGCAAUGCCUACGAAGAAACAGUUUUACACUCCUUGGUUGCCUGCAGUUUUGCUAAGUCUUGUUGGACUUCUUCAUCGGUGGGUUUUGUUGGCUAUUGCUCUAAUUUUUUGGACUGGCUCGCUCACGUUUUUACAAGGUGCAGUAAAGAUGAGUGUAAUAUUGCUAUGAUGAUUUGUUGGCGGAUUUGGGUAAAUCGAAACAACAAAGUUUGGAACAACACUACCAGCUCAGUUUGUCAAAUUCUCAACUCUGCUGGACAGUUUCUCUAUCAGUGGCAAGCGGCAAAACAGCAAGUAUUUGAUGUUAAUGAUGAUACUCACAGAUUGGUUCAUGGGGCAUUGUGUUGGGAGCAACCUAAGUUUGGGUGGGUAAAGUGCAAUGUGAAUGCAGCUGUGUUUGAGUCUCAAGGGAAGAUUGGGAUCGGUUGUGUGAUUCGUAAUUCACAAGGAGGUUUUGUGGCAGCAAGGUGUGUGAGUGUGGCAGGAAUUUUUGGAGCAAGGGAGGCUGAAGCUCUUGGCAUAAGAGAGGCUCUUAGUUGGAUGAAAGAACUGCAGAUUCCAUGUGUUAUCAUAGAGAUGGACUGCCUACAAGUGUUCCGAGCUUUGGUUGAACAGUUUUCAAGUCCAAAUGGGUUUGGUUUGAUUAUUGAAGACUGUCAAGCUUUAGUUAAGUUUAUCGGAGAAGUGCAAUUCUCCUUUGUGCGUCGAUCUGCGAAUCUUGCUGCUCACUCCGUUGCGAGGGCAACAGGUUCUUUGUCAGGUCCCCAGGAGUGGAAUGUUGUUCCACCUCUGUGGUUGUUAAACAGUUUGUAAGUUUUGCUUAAUGAAAUUUCUUCCUUUCAAAAAAAAAAAUAAAAAUGAAUAAUCCUUUAACGAAGGUUAUAAUCAAUUGCAGGUUUCUAGUUUGGCUGCUUAGUUUUAGGACUACGAAUAUUACAAUAUCAUAAUUAAAGGAAAGAAUAUAUGCGGUAGUCUUUGCCUGAUCUACUUUCUUCUUCUUAAUAAACCACGUAAAAGGAAAGAAUAUUGUAUACGCAGCACACUAUAAUACUCUAAUUACCAAUUCUUUAUCUUAUAAUAUAAGUUCAUAGUGAUUAAUUUGUCCUUCUUCAGCAAAAAACAAAUCACAUUUCAGCACAUCUACAAGAGCCCUCAUUUCUCUUUGCUCCAGCCAAUUGAUAGCAGAAUCAUCACAGACACCUUGAGCUCCGUCAAUCAUCAUAGACAAUUGGUGACUAGUGGGAGCAUUUCAAGGAAGGUACGACGAGUACAAACUGAUAGAUUUGUUUAUAUGAUUCGGCUGUAGUUUUUAUAUAUGGUUAAAUUAUGACAAUAAUCAAGAGAUAAUCAUGUACCUCAUUAGUUUCAUAAAUGUACAUACUAAUUUAUUCCCCUGCUUGCCAGAAUCAAACAUGUAGAAUAAGAUAAAUUUUAAGAUUUAAAAUUUUCAAUUCAUUAAAAAUCUAGUGGGAUAUUAAUCGGUAAAACCACUUAGGGGUAGUACAAGAGGUUUGUGGUGCUAACCAAUUUAUGUGAGUGGAGAAAGAAUUAGGCUUUUUUAAUAAAAAUUAAUAAUCAUAUUAAUAAAAUGACAUAAAUUUCAAGAUUUAAAACUUUAGACAUCAUUAGAAGUAAGAGGGGGAUCGUAAAAACUUUGAAUGUAACUUAUCGGUAGUGGAAUGGAUUUUUUUUUUUUUUUUUUGGUUGAAGCUAUUUACACACCUUUGAACACAUGUUAGGGUGAGGGUAUUUCAGUAUUUUACCCACAUCUCAAUAAAAUAUUUUGAGGUGAUGCUACCACUAAACAACUCAUUAAAGCCAUUUACUUAAUAAACACACUUCUAAAUUUUAAAAUGCACAAUUUUAUUUUACAAACCCAUUAAUACCUAAAAUACCCUUAUUAAGUUAAAUUAUCACAAUUUCUCUUAUCAUUUUCUUUUCCCAUCAUUUCUCCGUUUCUUCACCCUUUUCUUCUUCAUUUUUGGAGCUUUACCCAUAGCUUUUUUAUUCCAAAUUCUCAAACUUUUUAUUUUAUUUUUUAAUAGCUAUUUUUCCCGUUGAUAUUUCAUGUGUUUAUAUGAUUCAGCUAUAGUUUUAACUUUUAUAUAUGGUCAAGUUAUAACAGUAAUCAAGAGAUAAUCAUGUUCAUCAUAAGUUGCAUAAAUAUACAUACUAAUUUAUUCCUCUACUUGCCAGAACCAUACAUAUAAAAUUAGAUACAUUUUAAGGUUUAAUCUUAGGGUUGGCAAUAAGCUCCGGAUCCGCAACAAUCCAGAAGAUCCAGAUCUGGAAAAAUCCGGAUCCGCAUGCUAAAAAAUGUGAAUCCAGAUCUUAAAAAUCACAAUCCGUGCAGAUCCGGAUGUAAGUGCAUCCAAAAAACCGAAUAUCUGGAUCCACAAUUUUUUAUAAUUAAAUUAUUUAUUUAAUUAAAUUUCAAUUGAAAAAUAGAUAAAUUAAAUUAUUUAUUUAAAUGUAUAAGCAUAAUUAACUCUCUAAUCUUCAUUAACUUUAAAAAAUAUGUUAAUAAACUAAUAAUAAUAAUAAUUAGAGAAUAUUGUAAUAAAUCGGUUUACCUUACAUUUUUUUUUAUGUUUGAUUUAUAUUGUGAAAUUAUUGUUUGUGAAUUUAUGGUGUUGUUGUAUGUUAUUUAUGUUUAGGGUUGGCAAUGGGAUGGGAUGGGACGGGAUUUGUCAAUCCCAGUCCUGUCCCGUAUAUUGAAUUGGGACUAAAAAAAGUCUCAUUCCCGUCCCUUUAUUUUUUUUUGGGACAAAAAUUUAUCCCAAUCCUGUCCCAUUAAAUAUCUCGUCCCAUCCCAUUAUCCCGAAUAGUCCCGAAUGUAAAUAAAUAAAUUUUAAUUUUUUCUUUUACGGAUUGUCAUAAAUCAAUAUAUAGCAAAUAAAGAAACAAAAAAUUCAAAGUUCCGAAGCUAAUCCAAAUCAAUCUAAGUUCCAAAGUUCAAGCAAAAGUUAAAAAUUAACAUAAUCUUCCAAAAGUUGACUUCAAUUCCAGUUCCCACUUCAUUAGACAAAAAAACUUCAUACUCUAACCACACUUUCAAGACCGCACUUUCAAAUUUCUGUAUAAACCUACAAGAAUUUAAUAAAGAGAGGUUAGAGUAAGACUAAUAUUUUGAUAAUUACAUAAUAAUUAAUCAUUAACGUUCAAAAUUAUUAAUAAAAUCGGUUACCUCUUCAAUCUCUGCAUCAACUUUUUCUUCAUCUGCAAAUGUAGGAUUUUCACUAGAAGUUGUAUGCCCAUUGUCUUAGAAAACAAAAAAAAAAAUUAAAAACUAGAAAAGAAAAUAAAAAAGUUUGAAGAUUUAAAAUAUGCAUAAAUUACAAUAAAAUAAAUUACCUCUUGUGUAAGCAUUCAACCAACUUUGAGUGCACAUCAAUGCCUCCACUAUUUGAGAGUGUAGUCUAUUACAAUGUGGGCUAACUACUCUACCACCUGUGCUAAAAGCUGACUCGGAAGCAACUAUUGAUACUGGGAUUGCUAGUGUAUCCCUAGCAAUAGUAGAUAACAAAGGAUAUUGUAUUGCAUUUAUUUUCCACCACCCCAAAAUAUCAAAAUUUUUGUCCUUGGUAAUCAACACAUAUUCACCUAAAUAUGACUCAAGCUCAGUCUUACGGUUCUCAACCAUAUUGGCUUUCAAAAAAUCAUCAUACCUACUUGAAAGUUGUUCCUCAACAUGGGACAUAACGACUGAGGACUCUCCUAUACUAGAACUAAAAGCACCCGCGCUAGGACCGCUUACAGAUAAUUUGGCCUUAAAUUCAUACUCCUUUAUUAAUUCCUUAAAAAGCAUCUGAACUCUCUCAAUAUGAAUAUUUGAUUCAUCACCAUAUAACAAUGGAAAGUAGAACUCAAUCAAUUUCAUUUUAUAUCUAGGAUCCAACACUGUUGCCACGGUUAAUACCCCAUUAACAUCUUUCCAAUAUUUUUCAAAUUUGCCAAUCAUGUUAAUUGCCAUUUGUCUAACUUCAUCAUGCUCACAUGUAAGCCAACUACCUAAUGAUAAUCUAAUCUCACAAAUAUGAAUGAAAAACAAAUUGGAUGUGGGGUACUUAGUUCCAGAAAAUACCUCAGUCACAUUAUAAAACGAUUUCAAAUUAUUUGACAAUAUACGAGCUAACUCCCAUUCACUUUCACUUGGCAAACACCUAUAUUGUGCCUCCAAUUGAUGCAAUCUAUAAAAGACAUUUUUAUACUCCAGGGCAACAGAAAUUAUGAGAUAAGUAGAGUUCCAUCUAGUGAUGCAAUCAAGAACUAACUCCUUACUACAUGGAAUAUUCAACCUACGAGAAAUCUCUUUAAAUUUUUCCCUUCUUUGAGGGGUAACUGUCCAAAAUGCAACACUAGCACGAAUUUUAGCAACACCCUCACUAAUUACACUUAACCCCUCUUUGACAAUCAAGUUUAAAAUGUGAGCAGUACAUCGUAUAUGAAACAACUUGCCACCCAUAAGUAAAUCAUUUUUAUCAAGUUUAUCUAGUAGAAGUUGAAUCAUUCGAUCAUUAGUAGUGCAAUUAUCAACAGUUAAUGCAGAUAACUUACGCUCAAGAUUAAGAUCCAUUAAACAUCUCAAUAGUACAUCACAAAGUACUUGAGAAGUAUGUCGAGCUUGCACAUGAAUAAACCUACAUAGAAAAAAUACAAUUAAUUACAAACAUAUUCAAUAAAUAAAUAUAAUGCACUAAAUAUUUCAAUGUUAAUUAGAAUUAAACAUAGUACCUCAAAAUUUGACUCCGUAAGGUCCAAGAAUCAUCAAUAAAGUGUGCUGUAAUAGCCAUGUACCCUUUUGUUUGGGAGCCACAAGUCCACAUGUCGGUUGUGAUUGCAACUUUACUACUGUUACUCUCUAUUAAACUCACAACCUUAGCCUUUUCCAUCUAAUAUAGCUCCAUAAUAUCACUUUUCAUAGUAUUGCGAGAUAUGUUUUUCCACAUUGGGUUUAAAGAAGACAACACUUUUCUAAACCAUUCAUGCUCAACGCAACUUAAUGGGUACUCAUGCAUAAUGAUCAUACGUGCAAUCAAUCCCCUAGUGACAUCAGGAUCAAAAGAAUAAGUCUCUACCUUCACAUUUCCCUGAUCAUCCUCAAUUGUUUUUAACUUCUUUGAAUAAUGUGUUAUCUCAAUUUGAUUACGCCGAGGGCAUAUUUUCAUGUGAUCGUUCAAGUGUCUUGUUCCAUCUCUAGGACCUCCAACAUAGUCUUUAUUGCAGUGCUUACAAAAGGCUCUUAUUUUUCCAUUUUUUAUCUUUCUUUCAAAAUGUUUCUAGACCACUGAUCUUAAUCUUGAUGUUAAAUCAUUGUCUUUGGCAUUUUCUUCAACAACAUGCACAUCAUCAUUAUCUAAACUUUCAUUGUCCACUACUGGAGGAGAAGCCAUCCUUUAAAGCAAAAAGAAAAAAACAAUCCACAACUCAAAUAAAUGAAUUAAAUAUAAAUUAACCUUUUAAAAACAUCAAACCAUAUAAAACAAAAGUAAUAAUAAUAUGGGACCACAAGAACCUUUAUUUUAAAACUCAAUACUACUUAAACAGAUAUAAUAAUCAUUAUAAUAUAACAACUUCAACUAGAUUGCCGUAUAUAAUAUAAUAAUAUUUAACAAAUAUCAAUUAUAUGGAAAGAGCACAAAACUGUAAACAAUAAAAACAAAAAAAGCCAAAUUAUGAAUGUUAACUUACGGUGUGGAGGCUGAAAAGUGAGAAUUUUGUGGAUGAAUUGCUAGCAGAGACGUAGUGGGCAAGUCGUGGGUGGCUGCUUGGGAACUUUUGUGGCGGAGUAAAAUUUUUUGUGGUGAGGGCAAGGGGCGUUGGGCGGUCAACACUUAGGGUGCAGUGUUAAUUUAGGAAAUUGGUUGAGUUUUGAAGGGUAAUUAUUGCUAUAAAUUAUUAAUUUUAUUUGUGACUUUUUCACUUUUUAUUUUAAAUUAUAAUGUUAACGGGAUAUACAGGACAGGACGGGAUUUUAUAAUUGGUUCUCCUCCCGUCCCAUAAAUAAAAGCGGGAUUUAUUUUGAUCCUUAUCCCAUCCCAUUUUAAUUUGGGAUGAAAAAAUAUGUCCCAAUCCCAUCCUAAACGGGACGGGAUCCCGCAGGAUCCCGUCCCAACGGGAAAAAUUGUCAUCCCUAUUUAUGUUGAAUUGAAGUUAAAUUGUUGAUUCUUAAAUUAUAAUUGAAUUUUAUUUAAUAUUAUUAUGUAAAUUAUUAAAUUUAAAAUUAUAUUUAAAUUUAUUAUUAUGCGGAUCCGAAUAUCCAGAAUAUCCGUCCGCAAUCCGUGCAGAUGUUAUCCGCAUCCGGAUCCGUAUUUUUUUUUGCGGAUCCGGAUGUCAAAAGUUUAAUCCGGAUUUUGAUGCACUAACAUCCGAAUCCAGAUCCAAAUUUUGCCAUCCCUAGUUUAAAACUUUGCAAUUCGUUAAAAAUCUUGCGGGAUAUUAACCGGUAAAACCACUUAGGGAUAGUACAAGAGGUUUAUGAUUUCUCAACCCAUUUAUGUGGGUGGAGAGAGAAUCAAGUGUUUUUUUAAAUAAAGAAUAAUUAAUAAUUAAUAAUCAAAUUAAUAAAAAUAAAUAAAUUGUAAGGGGGAUCGUAAAAGUUUUGUAUAUAACAUAUCGGUAGUGGAAAGAAAUUUUUUUAGAGAGGCUAUUUGGCUUGGAACAUAUAUUACAAUACUCUCUUCAUCCACUUCUCAAUAAAAUAUUUUAUUACAAAAUUUUCCUUAAUUAAAUUAUUGUUUUAGCCAUAUAUUAUGUUCGUUUAUCUCCCUAAAGUUUUUAUUCUUUCACCCUUUUUUCUCUUUUCCUUUGUGUCUCCCCAAUUUUUUUCCAGUCCUAUGGGGUUCUUAUUAAAGCUUCUAUUGAGUAAAAUCUUUAUUAAAAUUGCUUAUAAAAAAAAAAGAAAAAAAGAAUGGGUCUCUUUUAAAAUUUGUCUUUCCUUCCUUUACCCUUGAGUUACUAUUAGAUGUAUAAGCUCAAGAUGAGACUAGUAAUUGGAUUUCCAUUAAAAGUUUUAAUUUCAAAAAAUCAAAAGAUCACCAUACAAAUAUCAAAAGAUCACUAACUUAAUUAUACUGGUAAUAAUUAAGAUAAGUAAAAGACCUACUAUUUCUGUUUGAUGUUAUUAUGAUAAAGAAAAAAAAAAAAGAAAUAGCAAGUUGCUGCAGUUGCAACAAUUGAGGAUAUGCUAAUAAAAGUGUUACAGAGAUAGAUUUAAUUGAUAAAAAUAAGAUUUUAAUAAAAAGUAUUGAGAGAAACAAUUAAUAAAAACUAAUGAUAUUUAUUAAGGGUAUAUUAUGAAUAUUUGUGGCCUUUUUUGAGGUAACUAAAUAAAUUUUAAGUUCUGAUAAUGUGUUUAUUACAUAAGUGGAUUUAUUCAGUAUUCUAGUGGAUUUAAAGAGUUUCAACUCUCAUAUUAUAAUAAAUUUUUAUAUUGCUACAAUUGCCCUAAUAUAGUGGACAAUAUUAUAUUGUACACAUAAGAAUACUCUAGCACGGUAGCACCCAAUUAAAAUUUUUAGUAAAACAUAUAAGACCUCUAAAUGUAAAGAGAAUUCCGUCAAGGUAUUGCAGUAGUAUUUAAUGCUCUUGGCUAGUGUAAACUAUUGUGCCACAUGUAGUAUUUCGAUCCUGACAAGUGCAUUACAAAUAAUGACUCUUAUUUCAGGUCUUUUAGGUACUUUAGAGAUAUAUUAGCUCUGGAGCUAGUAUUAGGUCAUAACGUGCUUCUUUUAAUGAAAGAUGUGGUUCAUUUUUCCCUACACCAAAGCAUUUUCUGUGGAAUAACCGUGUCAAAUGCUCAUUUAUCAAGGGCACGUGUGGUGUUGUCAGUAUGAUAUGCUAACCCACGUGCACUUAUGGAAAAUCAAAUGAGAAAAAUGAAUUAAAAAAUGCAAAAGCUAAUUAAUAAUGUUCGAGUUUGAGAUGAAGAAUAUUUAAUUUUAUGGAUAUAAAGAUAAGAAAGAUUUAAUGAGAACUAUCCUAAUAUUAAAAUACUAUUUAAAAUAAAUUUUAUUUGACGUAAUAGUAUGUCUCAUAAUAAGACUCGUAGUGGUCAGAAUCGUACAUGUAAAAUGAGAUAAAUUUUAAGGUUUAAAACUUUGCAAUUCAUUAAAAAAUCUAGUGCGAUAUUAAUUGGUAAAACCUCUUAGGGGUAGUACAAGAGGUUUAUAAUUCCCUAAUCCAUUUAUGUGGGUGGAGAGGGAAUUAAGAGUUUUUUAAUAAAGAAUUAAUAAAAAUUAAUAAUCAUGUUAAUAACUUAUUGGUAGUAGAAUGGAAUUUUAUUUGGAGAGGCAAUUUGGCUCAGAACAUAUAUUAAAAUGAGGAUAUUUGAACCCGCCACAAUACUCUCUACAUCCACUUUUCAAUAAAAAAUUUAUUACAAAAUUUUCCUUAAUUAAAUUACUAUUUUAGCCAAAUAUUACGUUCAUUUAUCUCCCUAAAGUUUUUAAUUUUUAACCCUUUUUUCUCUUUUCCUGUUUGUCUCCCCAAUUUGUUUCUAGUCCUAUGUGGUUCUUAUAUUUUAAAGCUUCUAUUGGAGUAAAAUCUCUACUAAAAUUGCUUAUCAAAAAAAAAAUCUCUUUUAAAUUUUGCCUUUUCUUUACCCCCAAGUUACUAUUAGAUGUAUAUGUUCACCGUGAAAGUUUAGAUCUCAAACCUUUUCUGUAUCUUAAAUGGAUUGUCGUGGAUAUGCCUAAGAUGAGCAUUUUCUUCCUCUUCACUUCAUCAUCUUUGAUAUAGUAAUUAUAAUUGAUUGAGGAGUGUUAAAACGCAUUGUGAUGAAUGAAUGCACAAGCUAUGUGAUUAAGACUGCAUUUAUCAGCUGGUUGGCGACCGCAAAUAUUAGGCAGGUUAUUCACAAUAGUGCUACUGAAGCUUUAUAUGGAAUAAGGAGACCAAACCUCUAUAUGAUAAGAGUUGUAUGAAUACCAAAUGAAUUGUAAGAGGAUAUGGUUAAUUUAGAUUGCAAUUUAAGAAAGCUUGAGUUCUAAGAGCACAGAAAUGGGAUCAGUCUUGCUCAAGUGUAAACUCCAUCAGUUAGGAAGCUGUCCAUAAAAUGUAAAUAUUUAUGUGAUUGAGAGAAAUUUUGGACUUUUGAUGAAAACAAAAUCCUGUAUGCAUUUGCUUGUCCCCAAGGAGCUGAAAGUUCUCAAAUUGUUUGUAGACGUAAUAGUUCUCCUGAUGUCAUUUGGCUUGCUAAUCUUUUUUUGCUCGAAAAUUUGCCUAUUGUGUGGUCUUGACGGUGGGUGAAAUUGAUUCGUGGUCUCAGAUGAAGACAGCAGCAGAUGUGUGUGUGCUAUAUGACAUCGAGAAAAAGCAAAAGCCUUAAAGAGUUCAUCCACAUUUUCCAUUUCAGAAGAAUCUGUUUGUGGUUCUCCUGCUCGAGUGCCAACUUUUCAGUGUGCAAGCAUAUAUGUUGAGACCGGCAGAUGAAAUCACUAAACUUUUACAGUUGAUCUGAGGCUCCUCUAAAGAAGGAUUUGGAUUUUGGAAUUAAUUUGGGGAAAGGGUUUUUUUCUGGUAUAUGAGUGUAAGCAUUCCUUCAAUCACGUAGCUUUGUGCCAUUAACAUAAUGGCAAUUCCACAAUGGGGAUAAUGAUAAUUUUGUGAUUGGGAACUCUUUACUGGUUUUUCUUUCGCCAUCUGUGUCUAUGAUUAAGGUUGUUUAAAGUGUUAUGGCUUUUAAUCUACAACCAUUGCGAAAUGGACUCACUAGCUGGCAAAUAAUAAAACAUAGUGCUGUCAAAUUUUGUAAGGAUUAUGCAUACACACUCUUUCGUCUUCAAUGCCCUGAAACUGGGUAACUACAUGUAUGAUUUUCAUUCAGAAAAACUGGCGAGAACUAAUGACUUUGCAGAUUAAAAAAUAAGUAGGAUUAUCAGAUUAUGUAGCAUUGUUAUGUAUUGUCUUGUGUAUUUUUUAAGGUUAAAGUUGGUUUGGAAAUUAAUUAAAAGACGAUAUUCAUUCUAUCACCGGACGAGUUUUUAACACGAGGAGAAGGUUCCUUUUGUAAUUUACUAAUUUAUACAACCUUUAAUAUUAAAACAAAAUUUUAUGUAUUAAGGACGAUGAUUCUUGCUCACUUAGUAAGAUAUGUACAUAACAUAGGUUUGUUAAGCAAGGAAUCAAUUAUGUAUUUCUUGUAUCUGAAAAAAUGAAUCAUCCUUUAACGAGGGUUAUCAUCAAUUGCAGGUUUCUAGUUUGGUUGCUUGGUUUGAGGACUAUGAAUAUUACAUUGUCAUAACUAAAGGAAAGAAUAUUGUAUACACAGCACACUAUAAUUACCAAUUCUUUAUCUUAUAAUAUAAGUUCAUAGUGAUUAAUUUGUCCGUCUUCAGCCAAAAAAAAAAAAAAGUCCCAUUUCAGCACAAAUACAAGAGCUCUCAUUUUUCUUUGCUCCAGCCAUUUUAUAGCAGUGUCAUCACAGACACCUCAAGCUCUGCCGAAUCAUCAUAGACAAUUCGUGAUUGGUGGGAGCAUUACAAGAAAGGUACGACUACUUCAAACUGAUAGAUUUGUUUAUAUGAUUUAGCUAUAGUUUUAACUUUUAACAAUAAACAAGAGACAAUCAUGUACAUCGUUAGUUACAUAAAUGUAGAUACUAAUUUAUUCCUGUACUUGCCAGAUCCAUACAUAUAAAAAUGAGAUAAAUUUUAAGGUUUAAAAAAUUUCAAUUCAUCAAAAAUCUAGUGCUAUAUUAAGCGGUAAAAUCACUUAGGGUUAGUACAAGAGGUUUAUGAUUCCCCGACCCGUUUAUAUGUAUGGGUGGAGAAGGUAUUAGGCAAUAAAGAAUUAGUAAAAAUUAACAAACAUAUUAUAAAAGGAAAUAAAUUUCAAGAGGGAACGUAAAAGAUUGUAUGUAACUUAUCGUUAGUGGAAUGGAAUUUUUUUGGAGAGGCUAUAUUUGGCUUGGAACAUAUAUUAGAACAAGGUUAUUUGAACCCACCGCACUCUCCAAAAUCCACUUCUCAAUAAAAAAUUUCAUUAGAAAUUUUUUCUUAAUUAAAUUACUAUUUUAACCAAAUAUUAUGUUAAUUUAUCUCCCUAAAACUUUUAUUUUUUUCACCCUUUUUUCUCUUUUCCUCUCCAUCUCCCCAAUUUUUUUUCUAGUCCUGUGUGGUUCUUAUACUUUAAGGCUUCUAUUGGAGUAAAAUCUCUAUUCAAAUUGCUUAUCCAAAAAAAAAAAAAUCUUUUAAAAUUUGCCUUUCCUUUACCCUCGAGUCACUAUUAGAUGUAUAUGCUCGUGAUGAAACUUUAGUAAUUGGAUUUCUAUUAAAUAUUUUAAUUUAAAAAAAUGAGAAGAUCACUAUAAAAAUAUCAAAAGAUCACCAACUUAAUUAUAGCAAUAAUUAAGGGAGUUAAAAAACUUACUAUUUCUGUUUGAAGUUAUUAUUAUAAAGAAAGAAAGGAAAAAAAAAGUCGCUGCAAUUGCAUCAAUUGAGGACAUGUUAUGAAAAGUAUCAUAGAAAGUAGUGAGAGAAACAACUAAUGAAAAUUAAUGAUACUUAUUGAGGGUAUAUUGGGAAUAUUUGUGGGUUUUUUGAAUGAAAAAAUAAAAUUUUAAGUUGUGAUAAUGUGUUUAUUAUAUAAAUGGGUUUAUUCAGCAUUACAAUGGGUUUAAAUGGCUUUAUCCUUCAUAUUAUAAUAAAUUUUUAUAUUACUAUAAUAGCCGUAAUAUAGAGGACAAUGUAAUGAAAAUAUUGUUACUGUUAUACUUAUUAAAGAAACAAUAUUAUCUUGUACAAACAAGAACACUCCAGUGCUGUAAUAUAAUCUAAUGCUUUUUGGUAGUGUAAACUAUGUGUGCCACGUGUAGUAUUUCAAUCUUCACAAGUGGCAUUGUAAAUAGUGGCUCUUAUUUCAGUUCCUCAUAGGCACUCUAGAGACACGUUAGCUUCGAAGCUAGUAUUUGGUCAUCACGUGCUUCUUUUAAUGAAACAUGUGGUUCAUUUUAUCCUUAUACGAGAGCAUUUUGUGCGGAAUAACCAUGUCAAAUGCUCAUUUAUCAAGGACACGUGUCGUGUUCUCAGAACAUAGUAAAAAUAUGAUACGCUAACCCAUGUACGUUUAUGGAAAAUCAAAUGAAAACAAAGAACUAAAAAAAACGUACAAAGGCUAAUUAAUAAUGUUUGAGUUUGAGAUGAUUAAUAUUUAAUUUUAUGGUUGUAAAGAUAAGAAUAAAAGUAGGUCUAGUGAGGACUAUCCUCAUAUUAUAACACUAUUUAAAGUAAAUUUUGUUAUAAAAGAUUUUAUUCAAUUAGGUACAGAGACCAUUCAAACUAUAUUUUAGUAUGUCUCAUAAUAGGACUAACAUUGGUCAAAUCAACCUAUUUCGAUAAGAUCCAUCGAAAUUAAUAUUUAAAAGAUUUAUCAUCUCAUUAUACAAUACACAGCUUUGCCAUCUAGUAGAGAAUGAUUGGUUGGCACACCAUAGUUUACAUAAAUAUUUCUAAUAUUUGAAUCAUUUGUUAGGAAAUUUUAACCCUACCAAGAUCUUGUAAGUAAACAUAUCAAAUAAAUAGUAAAUAGAUAAUAUAUAGAGAAUAAAACCAAUCAUACAACACAAUAAUUUACCGGAGAAAAAUUCCUAUACUGGAGAAAAACCGCGGCCGCCAAAGAUGACGAAAGAAAAACCCACUAUGUAAAGAUCAUUACAAUCAUUCUAGUAUUUUCCAAAUAUACAAAACCCCAAUAACAAAUAAUCUCUCAUUCUAGAAACUGUCUACUUGUAUAGAACUGAUCAUUAUGUUAUGCAAACAAGUGAAUCUAACCUUCUUAUAUAUUGUGAUUGUUUCAUAUAAGAGAAGUAUUUAUUUCCUUAUAUAAGUUGUAUUCCUCCUUUAAUAAGUUCUUUGGAAUUACUUAUUCCUUAAACACGAACCCCCCAAACAAAAAAAAUUACUAAAUAAAAAAAUUCUAGAAAAUAUUCUAAUUUAGGAUUUACAAAUCCUCAUUGAAAAAGGAGAUAUGUUUCUUAAAAAUCUCCACUUUGGCGAGUUUUUUAAUUAAACGACAACAUAUGAUCCGCCAUACAUCUAUGCAACCAUGUCGUCUCCACCUUCUUUAGUCUUACCAAAACCACACUGACAUUGGACUAAUGAGAAUCACUCCACCAUGAGUAAAAUCUUGUCCUCUAUCCAGCAACCAUAAUUUUCUACAUCGAGAAUCAUCAUACUUCACAUUAUCUAGAGUACACAUGUUUGGCAUAUGUCGAUCACAUUUAUGAAAUUACCCACUCUCAUGUUUGGCUUCUUUGAGAGUCCUCAACGAUCAACAUAAAAAGUCCACCACAUACCUUGCAUAAAUACUAAACUACAUGUUGUGUGCACAUCUUGUGGACCCAUUAACAAUAACACAUCCUCUUCCACGACACACCAAUAGAUAACAUAAUUAGUAUCUCCUUCUAUUAAUUUACAACUACUUUCCAAAUUUUAUAUAUUCUAACAAUCUCUUUUAAGAUAUUUUGAUUACCUACACUCCUCUAGGGGUUUCUACUAGUGGAAUAGGCCUGACAUUGCUCUUUGCUUUACUUGUAUAGACAGAUUGAACAAUAUGUUAUUGACUUGAUCUUCCCAAAAGGCAAAAUUAAUUAUUCCGUCAAACGUUUCUGUUUCUAUCUUCAUAGGUUUUGAAAACCUCCUUGUUGACGUAUUUGCUCUACAUUGCAGCCUUAACUCUAUUAUCACCUGCUAAGAAAUAAUUAAUCUCACCUAAGAUUCGCAAGAAAAAAUAUGAAAUAAAUAGUAAAUAGAAAAUAGGUGGAGAAUAAAGCUAAUAAAAUAAUACAAAAAUUUACAUGAAAAAUUUCUAUAUUGGAGAAAAAUUAUAAUAGCUAAGGACGAUAAGAGAAAAAUUUAUUAUGUAAAUAUUAUUAUAAUUACUCUAGGGUUUUUCUCACACCUAAAACACCAAAAGCACCUAAUUUUAAUAGAACUACUUUUCUCUCACACUGAAAACUAUUUACUUACAAAUAACUGAUUAUUGAAUUAUGCAAAGAAGUAAACUCAAUCUCCAUAUAUAUAUGUAGUGAUUAUUUCAUAUAGAAGUUGUAUUCCUUUCCUUAUAUGAUUUGUAUUCCUCCUUGAAUAAGUUAAGUUAUAAAGAGAAAAUUACUUAUUUCUUAAAUAUGAAUUAUCUUCAAUAAGAAAACUAAAAAGUGUAGAAAAUUCCUAAUUUAAGACUUAAAAAUCUUCUUUGAAAAAAGAGACAUCUCCCAAUGUCCUCAAAUCCUCCUUACAAUGCCACCAAUCUCUUUUGUGACUAGCCCAAUUGAAACUUUUAAUGGAUGGGCUGUAAUUGCCAAUAUCCAAAUAAAACAAAUUUCCAUAGAUAUAUUGGUAGAUUGAAGGACAACUAACAACACAUGAUUUGAUUAACUUACUUCCAAAAAAAAAGAAAAAAAAAAGAUACAAUGGAUUAACAUAAGACUCUUGUGCCAACUCAUGGAAUUCAUCAAUAAGGCCUUGGCUGAUCCACCUCAUGAUUAGUAGGGUUCAAACCCUUGCUAAAUGAUAAGAAAAAUAUUUGGAUUACUAAUUACUGUUUCUGAAGUCUAUUUAAACUUUAACUUUUAGAAUUUUGAACGUCUACACUUUAAUUAAAACAAUACAAGCCCACCCGUUUGUAUUUAAAAUUUUGUUUGAAUUUAUUCACAAGCAACAAGAAUAGUAUAAAUGGAAAAAAAAAAGUACCAUCAAAUAAUAUUCCAUGACUUUGUUUCUUCAAUUUCAGGAGCAAUGGUGGAAUCAUUCUUUCCGAUUGAAAAACUUUUGGAAAAAUUAGGGAGCUCUGCUCAUGAAGAACUUUUAUUGUUCUGCGGUGUCAAAAAUGACUUACAAAAGUUAAAGGAGACGUUAACCACUGUCAAAAGUGUGGUUUUGGAUGCUGAGGAAAAGCAAAUCCAUAAUCACCGGUUAAGCGAUUGGCUGGGAAAGCUUAAGGAUGCUUGUUAUGAUGCAGAAGAUGUGUUGGAUGAAUUUGAGGUGGAAGAUCUACGAAGGCAAGUCAUGAAGCAAAGAAGCAUCGGAAGAAAGUUUCGUAACUUUUUUGGAAGCUCAAAUCCGAUAGCUUUUCGUUUUAGAAUGGGUCAUCAAAUCAAGAAAAUUCGAGAGAGGUUUGAUGAGAUUGCAAAAUUGAGGGGUGAGUUUAAUCCCAUUGAACGACUUGACGAUCAUCGGCGAGUUGUGCACAAAGAAAGGGAACCCACUCACUCGUUUGUGCUUUCAUCAGAUAUUAUUGGAAGAGAUAAAGAUAGAGAAAAGAUUAUUGAACUAUUGAUGCAAACAAGUGGCGGCGAAAGUGAAACUGUGCCUGUGGUUCCUAUUGUGGGACUUGGAGGUUUGGGCAAGACUGCACUUGCAAAAUUGGUGUACAAUGAUCAAAGGGUAGAAGAGCAUUUUGAGUUGAAAAUCUGGAUAUGUGUUUCUGAGGAUUUUGAUGAGAGACAAAUUAUGACAAAGAUUAUCAAGUCGAUAACUGGUCAAAACCAAGGUGACUUGGAUACAGACCAAUUGCAACGAAUCUUGCGAGAUCGUUUGAAUAGUAAGAGAUACUUGCUUGUUAUGGAUGAUGUAUGGAACGAAGAUCCUGAAGCAUGGCGUAAAUUAAAAAGCUUAUUGUUGGGAGGUGCUAACGGAAGCAAAAUUUUGGUAACCACACGUAGCAGGAAGGUUGCUUCAAUCAUGGGCACGAGGGGAGGUACUACUGGCUACAACUUACAAGGUCUACCAUUCGAGGAUUGCUUGUCUUUGUUUAUGAAAUGUGCAUUUAAAGAAGAGCGAGAUAAACAUCCAAACCUCAUAAAAAUCGGGGAAGAAAUUGUGAAAAAAUGUGGGGGAAUUCCUCUGGUAGUCAGAGCACUAGGAAGUCUAUUAUAUUGCUCAACGGAUGAACAUGAUUGGGAAUAUGUGAGGGAUAAUGAGAUAUGGCAGUUAGAGCAAAAGGAAAGUGGCAUUUUACCUGCUCUGAGGUUAAGCUACGAUCAAUUGCCGCCUCACCUGAAACAAUGUAUUGCUUAUUGUUCAAUCUUUCCCAAGGAUUAUCAAUUUUAUGGUGAGUCUUUGGUUCAAUUUUGGAUGGCUCAUGGUCUUCUCCAAUCCCAUAAUAAGAAUAAGGAGUUAGAAGAUAUUGGUAUGCGGUACUUGAAGGAAUUACUGUCAAGAUCUUUCUUCCAAGAUUUGAUUUUUGGGAUUUCAGGAAUGGAGACUCUCUCUUUCAAAAUGCAUGACCUUAUGCAUGAUCUUGCCCUGCUAGUGGCCAAAGAUGAAUUCCUAGUAGUGAACUCUGAUUGUCAAUCUAUUCCCAAAAGAGUCCGCCAUUUGUCAUUUGCUGCUGCUAAUGCAUCAAGGAAUGACUUUUCAAGCCUUUUAUCUGAUCUAGGUCGCUUGAGAACCAUUUUCUUUUCAACUGAUGAUGAGAAGGCAAGCCAAUCAUUUGUUGAAUCAUGCAUCUCAAAGUUGUAGUUCCUGAGAGUGCUAAAUUUAAGUGAAUCUGCUCUUGAGGUUUGUCCCAGGAAGAUGGGAAAUUGGAAGCACAUGAGGUAUCUUGAUCUGUCGUGAAAUUAUAAAAUCAAGAAACUUCCAAAAUCCAUUUGCGAGCUACAGAGUUUACAAACACUGGAUCUUGAAGGAUGUCUGGAGCUAGAAGAGUUGCCUAAAGACAUAAGGUACCUUGUCAGUCUCAGAGUGUUAGUGCUAACCACAAAACAGAAGUCUUUGCAAGAGAGUGGAAUAAGGAGCUUGGGUUCUCUUCGUUGUUUGACAAUUUCUCGUUGUAGGGAUUUAGAACAUUUGUUCGAGGAGAUAGAUCAAUUAAGUCUCCUUCGAACAUUAUUUAUUGGUGAUUGUCCUCGUCUAAUCUCAUUGCCACCUUCUAUCAAAUAUCUCAGCUGAUUAGAGACUCUGAUUUUGUCGGAUUGUGAAAGCCUUGAUCUUAAUCUGAACGUGGAAAUGGAAGGUGAAGGAAGUCAUCAUGAUCGCAAAAACACAAGGCCUCACCUUCGGAGGGUUUUCAUCGGGGAAAUAACACAGUUAUUAGAACUGCCACAAUGGCUUCUUCAAUGUUGUACUGAUUCUUUACAGAGCUUGGUUAUUGGAGAUUGUCCCAACUUCAUGGGACUACCAAGGUCUCUAAAAGAUCUCGAAGCUCUUGAAACUCUUGUGAUUGCAGAAUGUCCAAAAUUGUCAUCGUUGCCGGAGGAUAUGCAUCACCUCACUACUCUGAAAUUAUUGACCAUUGCAGAAUGUCCUGCACUGAGUGAAAGAUGCAAACCGCCAACAGGUGAAGAUUGGCCCAAGAUUUCACAUAUCCCCCAGAUUGGUCUUGAUCACGAGAUGAUUAAGUCAAGUGAUAAUUAGGUAUGGAUUAAUAUCUCGUCCUUUUAAUUUCCUCUUUUCAUGCAGCUUUCUAAUUUUUAAUUUCUCAUACAGCUAUUCCGUUUAUAGUUUAAUGUUUUGUUAUGUUUACCAAACGAAAACUUGACUUUGAACGUUAGUUAGUUCAAUCAAAUUUGUACUAAUUUAUUUUCUUCUAAUACACAAUUAGUUUGUCAGUACGAAACACAAAAAUAAUAUUUUGGAAACCGCACUGUUCUAGGGGUCAGAUCUGUUUCUAAAUUCAAACAGUUCAGGAUUUUUCAAAAUGGAACUUGCGCCGAAACAUCUAACUAUUCUUCCUCUUAUCCUUUUUUUUUCCCAAAUAUUGCAGCUUUCUUGGGAGAGGUUCAACCAAACUGCAGGGACAGUGAAAAUAUUACUCUAACGUGGUUCAGAACAGAGCUUCAACGGUUUUAAUGUUGUGUUUUAAAGUUACAAGUAUUAUAUAUUUGUUACGUGUGGUAACCUUUUUGUGACAUGAUUUUUGUGGAGGUUUUUGUUUUUGUUUUUUAUUCCUCCAUAUAAAAUGACUAAUUCGAAAGAAUAUGUAUUGUAAUAGAACCUAGAACUUCUAUGUAUUUUAGGAUGAAAAUUCUGUACAAUAGAAAAUAUUAAAACGAAAAUUAAAGUUGAUAUGAGAAAAUUAAAGAAGCUUGCAACUUGGAACAGGUAAGAGAUAGAGAGAGACUCUCGGACUCUUUACAAGGAGCAAAAAUGGAAUGAAACUCUGUUUUGAUUAAAAUUCAAUGACUUUCUUCGUAUUAAUCAAAUUAAUUAAUUAAUUAUUUUGGUAAAAAGAAUUUGCCAAUUGUGUGACGGUCUUGGAGACCCUUGACGGUGGUGAAAUUGAUUCACGGUUUCAAAUGAAGACAUGCAGCGGAUGCGUUCGUGCCGUAUGACAUCGAUGAAAAAGUAAAGAGUUUGAUUUCUCUAUUUUGCCCUUAAUUAAUCGUUGACAUCUAAUUUUACACUCCCAACAAAUUUGAAUGAAACAAUCCUAAUGUUUAGAACGUGUACAUUAACAAAAACGAGAUGCUCCUGAUGAGGGGAAGGAGAAAAAGACACAACGAGUUCGCAAGAACGUGUACAGAGGAAUAAGGCAGAGGCCAUGGGAGAAAUGGGUAGCUGAAAUUAGAGACCCUUACAAGGGCGUCCGCGUUUGGCUCGGCACAGCCGAAAAAGCUGCAAGAGUUUAUGCUGACGUCGCCAAGAAUAUCCGUGGCAACAAGGCCUAGCUCGACUUUGCUCACCGGCCGCCAGUAACUCCACCUCCAGGUAAGAAACGCUUCGUGCUAUCUCGUGAGUUGACUCAGUCGAGUUUCGGAGAUUACUUUUUUAUUGGUUUUCAUUGAUUUCUUUUCCUGCCCUUAUCUACGAGGUUGUGCUCUCCCUUGGAUGCCCUUUAAUAAACAGCUUUCCUAAUAACAACUGAAGCGAAAAGUCAUUUUAUCAAAUGAUUUGGUGAAAUUUCAAGUACUUUCAUCUUGGGAUGUGGUAUAUGUAUCAAGUUCUUAUUGCUGGUGAACAUUACUGGUUUAGUGUGCGAUCGUUUACUAUCACUGCAUGCAUUAUCAGUUUAUUUUAUUGAACUAUCCCAAAUCAGUAACGAAUCCUCAAUUCCCUCUGUUUUCUUUGGAUCCUAGUAGUGUUUGGCAUGCAUCAACUAGUGUUCAUGCAUGUGUCGGUUCAUCAUAGACAACUUCAGCACACAUACAACAGCCCUCAUUUCUCCUUGCUCCAACCAAUCGAUGGCAGAAUCAUCACAGACACCUUGAGCUCUGUCGAAUCAUCAUAGACAAUUUGUGAUUAGUGGGAGCAUUACAAGAAAGUUACGACUACUUCAAACUGUUAGAUUUGUUAAUAUGAUUUGGCUAUAGUUCUAUACAUGGUUAAGUUAUAACAGUAGUCAAGAGAUAAUCAUGUACAUCAGUAGUUAAAUAAAUGCAUACUAAUCUAUACCUCUACUUGCCGGAAUCCUAUAUGUAAAACAAGAUAAAUUUUAAUGUUUAAAACUUUGUAAUUCAUUAAAAAAUUAUUCGUCUACCUUUACAUUCCAAAUAUAAUUGGUGAGUUUUUGUGGGUCUGUUUGAUAUUUUAUGAUUACUAACUUCAUGGGUUUGAUGGAAUUUUUCAUUUUUAUGUUGUGAAUGUUAGGGUAUGCGAGAGUGCUCUUCAAUUGCAUUGCCUUUGCUUUAUGUUUCUCUGACAAAAGGGUUUGCUUGUUCUUUACUUUAUCAGCUGAGAAUAUAUUUUACAAGUUUACUUUGAUUUCUGGCUUUAUGGCCUCUGUUUGAUGUGUGUAGUAUUUGACUGUAAUGCGAGUAUUGUGUGUUUUCAGCUUUGCAUGUGAUGCGGUAGAUAGUUAGUGUGCUGGUAAAUUCAAUCAAGGUAUGAUUCAUAUGAAGUGAUCUGCUAUCUAUCUUUUGGCAAAUUAAGCGUCGAUGAUUUAUGCUAAUUGAGCCGCUAAAAGUUGUCUUUGUGUGUGAUUGAGUACAUGUUAGUGUGAAUUCUCGUAAUGUUCAUCCAGUCAAAGCAAACGUUCGUCUUUCACAUUGACUAUUAGGCAAGAUGUUUGAUAGUGAAUUAGAUGAUUCAGUUUAUUAUAGUCUUCUUAUAUUGUCGGUUCAAUAUCAUUUUGAAAAAUCAUAUCAAAACUGCUUUUGGAGUUUUAAUCCAGCACAGUUACACCUAUAUUGUACUUUUGAUCUGCAACCUUGAGUCACUGUCAUUUUGCUGUUAGUAUUUCGAUUAGCAACUUGUACAGUGGUAUUUGAACUGCAUGGUGAGAGGAAAAUGCAAGUACUUGGAAGAAAUUGGAAUUGUAUUAUAUAUUCGAAUAAUUUACAAUGAGACAUAUUGAGGUCCUUAUAUAGUACAAAUUAUAGCCGUUCGAGAAUUAAAGAGCAUUCUUAAAGUAUAAUAGAAUUAACCACAAUUGAGGAAAUCGUGAUUGCUAUUGACAUAGGAAAUCUCGGCUUUAUUAGCUUGCAGUCAAGGCUGAUCUUUUGGCUGGUUUUCUUGAUUCCUUUCCUUGAUUCCUGACUCAUUGAUUGCUAUUUCUACAGCCUGACACUUUCCUUUAACAUCCCCCCUCAAACUUGGUCGUGGUAGAGUCCAAAUACCAAGUUUGGUGCAUAAAUUAUGAAAGGCAGUGCUGGAGAGAGGCUUUGUAAAUAUAUCAGCUAGUUGAUCUUUGGAACUCACAAACUGGGUGAUUAGUUUCCCUUGAGCCACUUUCUCGCGGACAAAGUGAUAAUCAAUCUCAAUAAGUUUUGUGCGAGCAUGAAGAACGGGAUUGACUGUUAAAUGAAGAGCUGACAUGUUAUCACUAAAUAGUGUUGGAGGUUGAGGAAGCUGAAAGCCAAUGUCACUAAGAAGAUAGGUGAUCCAUGUGAGUUCUGCAGCAGCUGAAGCCAUAGCACGAUACUCAGCUUCCGUACUUGAUCGAGCAACAGUAGGUUGUUUCUUGGCUGACCAGGAUACACAAUUGGGACCUAAAAAAGUGCAAAAUCCUGUGGUGGAUCUUCUUGUUAGAGGACAACCACCCCAAUUUGAAUCUGAAAAUGCAUACAAAUUAGUUAUAGUGUGAGAAAGUAAUCGAAUACCAUGAUCUAAAGUUCCUUGGACAUAUCAUAGAAUUCUUUUGACUAAUUGAAAAUGAAAAUUGCUCGGUUGAUGCAUAUGUUGGCAAACAAAAUUAACACUGUAAGCAAUGUCUGGCAUAGUGAAUGUCAAGUAUUGUAAUCCACCUACAAUGCUUCUAUAGAAGGUAGGAUCAGAAAAUAAACUUGUAUCAAUGGGGUGAUUGUGAGGCACCAUAGGAGUAGAUAAUGGUUUACUAGUAUGCAUUUUUGCUCUUUUAAGCAAAUCGGCAGCAUAUUUUCUUUGAUGCAAGAUAAGACCAUGAGAAAAUUUAGCUACUUCUACACCUAAAAAGUAAUGAAUGUAACCAAGAUCUUUCAUAGCAAACUCCUUUCCAAGUGAGCAGAGAAAUUGAUUUAGAAGAAUAUGGUUGCUUCCUGUUAAAAUUAAAUCAUCAACAUAAACAAGUAAAAAUAUAACGCCAUGAUUUUUUCGAAAAAUAAACAAUGAAGAGUCAACAGUGCUACAGACAAAUCCAUAAGCUAAGAGGAACAUACUGAACCUAUCAAACCAUGCUCUCGGUGCUUGUUUUAGCCCAUAUAAAGCUUUGUCAAGUUUACAAACAUGGUGCGGAUAUUUUUCAUCAAUAAAUCCAGGGGGUUGCUCCAUGAAAACUGGUUUAUCGAGCUUGCCAUGUAAAAAUGCAUUUUUGACAUCUAAUUGUCGAAUGUCCCAAUUGUGGGAUAGUGCAAUUGAUAAGACUAUCCUGAUGGUUGCAGGUUUUACAACGGGUGAAAAUGUUUCUAGGAAGUCAAUUCCUGGAAUUUGAUUAAAGCCUUUGGCCACUAGCCUAGCUUUUAGUCUUUCUAGAGUGCCAUCAGCUUUAAGUUUUGUUUUGUAUACCCACUUACAGCCUAUGACAUUCAUGUCAUUGGAUCUUGGAAUUAAUAUCCAUGUCUUAUUUUGAUGCAGGGCAACAAUUUCCUCUUUCAUAGCAUGCAACCAUCCUGGAUGAUAUAAAGCAUCUUUAAUGCCUUUAGGCUCUGUUGGCACAUUAUAACUAAGUAAUGCAAAUUCAGUAGGGCUAUACCUGGUGCUGCGUUUAUAUAUACCUGCUUUGCCACGUGUUGUCAUGUUGUGAGAUGGUUGUAUACUUACAGUGGAAUCAAGAGUAGGUUUUUGUCUCGUGUCUUGAUCUGUUUGAUUCUGAAUCUUUGUUAGGCUGAAUGCUAGUUAGAUCCAACUCAUGGGAAACUUCAGUCUCUUAUUCAGGAGCCAUUGUGUCUUGAUCAGAGUCAUGUUGAGGUGCUGAAAUGUUUGUAGCCUCAAAAUCUUUGCUAGUUGGAUCAAGUUCGUGAGGGGUCUGUAACAUGUUUAUAUUGCUAUAUUCUUGGCCUCCACUUCCUUCAUUGUUUGUGGUAGAGAUAUCAAGGUUAGUAUUUUCAUUUUGGUUGAUAUCCGCUACCCUGUGGCUAUUUUCUGUUAUAGGUACUGCCAUGUUUGUUCGAGGAGAUAGUUGGUUAUAGUUGUUUCCAAUUCCUGCAGUAGUAAAAGUUCCUGCAAUCCACUCAUUGAAACUUGUUAGAUUUGUGUGUUCACCACAACUACUAUAAAGUAUACCUGGCUUCAUGAAGGGGAAAGUCUUUUCAUCAAAGAAAACAUCUCUUGACAAAUAUACUUUUCCAGUAGGUGGGUGAAAACAUCUAUAACCUUUAUAAAAUUCACUAUAUCCAAGGAACACACAAGGAAGAGAUUUUGGAUCAAAUUUAUUUUGAUUUAUUCUUCUAAGACAUGGAAAACAUCUAGAGCCAAACACUCUUAAGGAAGAGUAGUCAGGUUUCUUACCGGUUAACUUCUCAAUGGGACUUUUCAUGGCAUGUAUGGCUGAAGGUAACCUAUUGAUUAGCCAUGUUGCAGUAGAAAAUGCUUCCACCCAGAAGCGUUUAGGAACUCCAGCAUGAAACAACAUAGUAAGUCCAAGCUCAGUGAUAUUCUUAUGCUUUCUCUCAGCAACACCGUUUUGCUGAGGUGUUCCUGGGCAUGAUUUCUGUGACUUGAUUCCAUGAUUUAAAAGGUAUUCUUGAAAUUCUUUGCUUCCAAACUCACCUCCUCCAUCCGAUUGAAAAACUUUGAUGUUUUUCUCAAACUGAUUUUUCAAAAAUUUAUGAAAAGAAAUAAAGCAAUUAAAGAAAUUAGAUUUUUUUCGUAAAGGAAAAAACCAAGUAAACCGAGUGAAUUCAUCAACAAAUAUAACAUAAAAUUUAAAAUUUUGAAAUGAUUUAGCUGGAGCAGGACCCCAUAAGUCACAAUGAAUUUUACCAAAAGGUUCCGAACAAUGUUCAUCAAUAUUAAGAAAAGGGAGUCUACAAGAUUUGCCUAAUUGGCAACUUUCACAUAAAAAAUUUUCCCCGUCAUGCUCAUUUACAGAAAUGAGCUUAUUAUGCUUUAAAUAACUAAUUAUUUUCAUAUGUGGAUGCCCAAGCCGUUGAUGCCAUGUGGUAUCACUAGUUGCUUGAAACCUUGAUGAGUAGAAUGUCAUGUUUUGAUUUGGUUCCAAGCUAUAGAGGCCACCAUUCCUAGUUCCUGUUGUGAUCACUUUCCCUGUUUCCCUGUUCUUAAUCACAAAAUUAUUUGCAGUGAAUUCAAACAUGUAAGGAAAAUAAGUGGUUAAUUGACUUACAGAGAGAAGAUUCUUUUUAAUCUCAGGAACAACUAAAACAUUUUUUAAUUUGACAGAGUUUUUAUCUGUGUGCAAAACAGUAUCUCCUAUAUGAGUAAUUUUCAAUUUAUGUCCAUUACCUACCAUUAUCUUAUCUGAUCCAUGAUAUAGUUGACAGUGAAUUAACUUACCAUUAUCUGAAGUCAUAUGUUGAGUAGCUCCUGUAUCAGGAAACCAUGCAUCAGUCUCAUUUUCUGAUAUUGCCAUAGCGGCAAGAGCUUGUGCUGCAUUAUUAGGCUGAUAGCCUUGUUUGAAUCUAUGCCAACAUUCAAAGGCAGAGUGUCGAGGCUUAAGACAAAUCUGACAAAUUAAAUCAUCUUUGUCUUGCUCAUUUUGAGAAGGAUUCUGAUUAUUCCUUUGUGGUGCUUCCGAAGGUUUUUGUACUGCUUGAGGGAAGCCUCUUCCUUUUGAGUUGAAGGAAUUUUGCCCUUGUCUGUUAAGGGGAUUUUGUCCCUGCAUGUUAAAAGGAACUUGUCCCUGGCUAUUGUUUCUAAAGUGUUUUCCAUUGUUUUUAUUUUGAGCAAAAAAGGCAGAGUGUUCAUCAGUAGCACUUGCAGAGCAAUGAAAAGAUUUCAUGUUCUCAUGACUUUGAAGUAAUUGAAUGACAUCAUUAUAUGAAGGUAUUGGAGGUUUCAUCAUAGAUGUAACAAAAGAUCUAUAACCCUUACCUAAUCCUUUGAGAAGACCAAAAACCUUUUGUUGAUCUUCCAUCGAUUUGCUAAUGGCAUCAAGUUCAUCACAUAUCUCUUUGAAGCCUCUGAUGUAGUCAUUGAUAGUUUUGUAAUUUUGCUUGCUGUGCAGAUGCAUCUUUUGCAUGAGAAAGAACUCUCUAUCUUUGGUGUUUCGAGCAAAGUAUUCUGAUAAGGCUUUCCAUACUGCUGCUGAUGUUUCUAUUCCCAUAGCAAGUCCAAGGACUUCCUCUGAUAGAGUCCCCACGAUCCAUCCGCGAAGAAGUCGAUCCGAUCUCCUCCACAUUAUGUAAUCAUAAUUCAUCACAUAUUCUUGUUUUGUUGUAGAUGCUUCAGCUUCUACAGUUGAUUUUAAGACAAAUUCUGCAGGUUCGGGAUAUGUUCCAUCUAGAAAACCUCCCAUAUCUUGGCUUUCAAUAAGCCCACUUAUUUGUGUUUUCCACAACAUGUAGUUGUUUUGGGUGAGUUUGAAAGAGACGAAGUUGCUUAUAUUCAAUGUCGAAGGAUAUGGAAAUGAAACGGUAGAUGUAGUUUUUGAAGACACAAGAGCCAUGGUUGACUAAUAAUAUUUAAUUAUUCUGCCAGGAGCUAUUGCUCUGAUACCAUGAGAGGAAAAUGCAAGUACUUGGAAGAAAUUGGAAUUGUAUUAUAUAUUCGAAUAAUUUACAAUGAGACAUAUUGAGGUCCUUAUAUAGUACAAAUUAUAGCCGUUCGAGAAUUAAAGAGCAUUCUUAAAGUAUAAUAGAAUUAACCACAAUUGAGGAAAUCGUGAUUGCUAUUAACAGAGGAAAUCUCGGCUUUAUUAGCUUGCAGUCAAGGCUGAUCUUUUGGCUGGUUUUCUUGAUUCCUUUCCUUGAUUCCUGACUCAUUGAUUGCUAUUUCUACAGCCUGACACUUUCCUUUAACACAUGGUAUGUCAACUUUCACUCUAUGUGUCUUAGAAACUCUGUAUAUCACUAAUUUCCUAGCACAGGCCUUGUUGACAGUCAAAGAUUUGAGGCAUAUUUCUGUAUUGAAGGCUUUUCUGUCGUCAAUUUGAUGAUGAGCGCAUGUAUUAUCCCCAAUAUUUUGAGCAGGAACUUGUAACUAGUAAUAACCAGUACCUAAGAUGUUGCAUUUGAUUGACUUCUCUUUCUCGUUUAGUUUCAGCCGUUGGAGCUGUUUCAGACAUGGUAACUGAUACGUAAUUUCUCUCUUUCCACCCCACAAUGUAUCAUUAGUCAUCAUUCGUUCUGGUUGGCGUGGAUACGCAUACUAAUUUGGAUUAUUGUCUGUGCCUUCGUCUUUUGUCAAUAAUCUUUUGCAUUUCAGGAUUAGUACAUCUUGUAUACUGGUAAUACUCUCUCAACUAUACAUGUAAGACUUUGUUAUGUUUUCUUGACCCGUAAUCUAAUGCUAUAAGAUGACGGCAUAAUUGAGCUAUUUUGCAUCUCCAUGCAGGCCUGAUUUGGUUUUUGUGUCACUACCUGCAUUAGAUAUUGGUAGUCAAUGGCUGCAGAUGUACAGGUGCCGUUUCGUUUCCCUGACAUAAUCUCAUGUAACAUGAAAUUGCUUGUGAAACUGGAAGAUAUUUGAUUCUUUUUUUUUUCAUUUUUGCUAAAGAAAAGUUUUACUUGCGUUGGGAAAUAUGCCUACCACUCUGGAUCUCCGUUGCAGUACAUUCUUGAGAGGAAAAUCUAGCCAUAAAAUGUAAAAGACAACACAAAUUGGCUUUUCAAAGCCUAUUAUGGGAACCGGAUGUUUAUGGGUUAUAGUUGUGUGGCAUGUGAGGUAAUUGUAGCUUUCCGUGUUAUUAUCCAUAUCAGGAUUUGCAAAUGUUAUCAGUGCUUUUUACCUGAUCCAACUGUUUCAACCCUGCAGCUUCUUUACCUAAUCAUAUUUCUUAUUGCGGAGACGCAGAGUGAAAGUUUGGUGGAUGUAGGAUCUCAUUUUCUUACUAUUAGAUUGUUCUGCAUAUAGAAAGAUUUCUCCUGUUUCUCGCUUUGCAAACAAUCUCUUCUUUCAGGUUGUGGUGAGUGCUGUGCGACAGGGCUCGCCUCUUUCCUUCCUAGUUGCAUUGAGUUUAUUCGGAUGGGCAAUCAAGCAAACGAUCAAUGUCAUACAGGUAACUUGCACUCCAUAUGAUCGUAAUGUUCGUUUAUUCUGAUACUUCUUCACAGUAAGUAAAUUUCUUGAUGUCUACAAAUUAAGGAGACUUUUGUAUGGGUAAAGUUGACAUUUUACAAUGGCAUUCUGGAUCCUGAAAUCGGUCAGUUUGAGAUUCACAUGCUGUGAUAUGCUCUAAUGUUAAAACUCAAACCUUUUCUGUAUCUUAAAUGGAUUGUCGUGGAUAUGCCUGGGAUGAUCAUUUUCUUCCUCUUCACUUCAUCAUCUUUGUCAUAGUAGUUAUAAUUGAUUGAGGAGUGUGAAAACGCAUUGUGAUGAAUGAAUGCACAAGCUAUGUGAUUAAGACUGCAUUUAUUAGGUUGGUGACGGCAAAUAUCAGGCAGGAUAUUCACAAUAGUGCUACUGAAGCUUUAUAUGGAAUAAGGAGACCAAACCUCUAUAUGAUAAGAGUUGUAUGAAUACCAAAUGAAUUGUAAGAGGAUAUGGUUAAUUUAGAUUGCAAUUUAAGAAAGCUUGAGUUCUAAGAGCACAGAAAUGGGAUCAGUCUUGCUCAAGUGUGAACUCCAUCAGUUAGGAAGCUGUCCAUCAAAUGGAAAUAUUUACGUGAUUCAGAGAAAUUUUGGACUUUUGAUGAAAACAAAAAUCAUGUAUGCAUUUGCUUGCCCCGAAGGAGCUGAAAGUUCUCAAAUUGUUUGUAGACGUCAUAGUUCUCCUGAUGUCAUUUGGCUUGGUAAUCUUUUUUGCUCGAAAAUUUUCCCAUUGUGUGGUCUUGACGGUGGGUGAAAUUGAUUUGUGGUUUCAGAUGAAGACAGCAGCAGAUGUGUGUGUGCUAUAGGACAUCGAGAAAAAGCAAAGGCCUGAAAGAGUUCAUCAACAUUUUCCAUUUCAGAAGAAUCUGUUUGUGGUUCUCCUGCUCAAGUGCCUACUUUUACAGUUGAGACCGGCAUAUGAAAUCACUAAACUUUUACAGUUGAUCCGAGGCUUCUCUAGCAAAGGAUUUGAAAUUAAUUUGGGGAAGGGGUGUUUUUUUGGGUAUAUGAGUGUGUGCAUUCCUUCAAUCACGUAGCUUCGUGCCAUUAACUUAUUGGUUUUUCUUUCGCAUCUGUGUCUAUGAUUAAGGUUGUUUAAGGUGGUAUAGAUUUCAGUACAUUGAACAAAAAAUUAUUUAUUUUUAUUCAAAUAAAAAUACCUAAAAAUCAAACCUUAGUUAAAAAAAAUAAAGUUUAAAAAAUUCUGAAAUUAAUCAAAUUUUAAAACUUGAGACUUUUAACAGAUUAAUCCAACCUUUGAAUAAAUAAACUAAAUGGGGGUCAAUUUUUCUCGUGUCAGCUUGUUCAAUCGACACUAUCUUUUCAACCUCUCACGAAUAAACAAAUCACUAAUGAUGUGUCCAUUUCUUCUACUUUAUAAUAAUUUUUAAUAAAAAGAUUAUUAAAGUGGUUCGGCUGUGGGAGCCACACGUGUCUGUGGCAGCGCACACCCAAGAGAAGCCAGUCUGGUUCCAAGAAGAAAGUGAACAUGUGAUGAUGAGAUGCCGUAUCAAAUGGGGCCACGUAGACAGAGGUGCUUCGAGGUGACAUGUCAGCAGAUACCUCCACCGACGAUCUUCAAAAUAAUUUGAACGGUUGGGAUUUUAUUUUCAACUUACCUGUGUCCAGGCUGUUGUUGAUUGUCGCUAUCGUGAAUUGUCCACUUCGAUUUUUUUUUUUAAUUUCUCCAACACUCUCCUAACUAAAGGAGUUAAUAAGAUUUCGAUAUUUUUUUCUUUAAAUGAUUUGAAAUAUCAAUAUUUUAUAAUUUUUUUUGGGUCCUAUUUUGUCCAUAAAAUGUUUAGCGAUCCUUUAGUUAAUUAGUUUCGUGGCUGUCUUAUCAAAUUAUUACAACGGUGAUAACGGUUACACACAAAAAUUAAGAAAAAAAAAGAUUAUAAUUAACGGGGUACGAUCCAUGUUGUCGAUACGCCGUUGGACAACUUUCAUUAGACUGAAGGAUUAUAAUUAACACACUCUUUCACCUUCAAUGCACUGAAACUGGGGAACUACAUGUAUGAUUUUCAUUCAGAAAAACCGAUGGGAACUAAUGACUUUCCAGAUUAAAAAAAAAAAAAGUAGGAUUAUCAAACUAUGUAGCAUUGUUAUGUAAAGUUUUAUGGUUAUUUUAAGGCUAAAAUUGGUUUAGAAAUUAAUUAAAAGACAAUAUUCAUUCUAACAUAAAACGAGUUUUUAACAAGAGGAGGAGGUUCCUUUUAUAAUUUACUAAUUUAUACAACCUUUAAUAUUAAAACAAUAUUUUAUAUAUUAAGGAUGAUGAUUCUUGCUCACUUAGUAAGAUAUGUAGACAUAACAUAGAUGUGGUGAGCAGGGAAUCAAUUAUGUAUUUCUUGUUUCUGAGAAAAUAUUUUAUCCUUUAACGAGGAUUAUCAUCAAUUGCAGGUUUCUAGUUUGGUUGCUUAGUUUGAGGAAAGAAUAUAUGCUAUGGAAUAUAUGCUAUGGUGUUUGGCUGGUCUGCAUUUUUCUUUUCAAUUAAUGUAAUAUUCUUAUGCUAUGGAAUUGAUUAUCAUAACUAAAGGAAAGAAUAUAUACUAUGGAAUAUAUGCUAUGGUCUUUGGCUGGUCUACUUUUUUCUUUUCAAUUAAUGUAUUAUUCAUAUGCUAUGGAAUAUGAAUAUUACAUUAAGGACGAUGAUUCUUGCUCACUUAGUAAGAUAUGUAGACAUAACAUAGAUGUGGUGAGCAGGGAAUCAAUUAUGUAUUUCUUGUUUCUGAGAAAAUAUUUUAUCCUUUAACGAGGAUUAUCAUCAAUUGCAGGUUUCUAGUUUGGUUGCUUAGUUUGAAGAAAGAAUAUAUGCUAUGCUAUGGAAUAUAUGCUAUGGUGUUUGGCUGGUCUGCUUUUUUCUUUUCAAUUAAUGUAUUAUUCAUAUGCUAUGGAAUAUGAAUAUUACAUUAAGGGAAAGAAUAUUUUUACACAGCACACUAUAAUACUCUAAUUACCAAUUUUUUAUCUUGUAAUACAAGUUCAUAGCGAUUAAUUUAUCCGUCUUCAGCAAAAAAAAAGUCCCAUUUCAGCACAUAUACAAGAGCCCUCAUUUUUCUUUGCUUCAGCCAUUUUAUAGCAGAAUCAUCACAGACACUUUGAGCUCUGCCGAAUCAUCAUAGACAAUUUGUGAUUGGUGGGAGCAUUACAAGAAAGGUACGACUACUUCGAACCGAUAGAUUUGUUUAUAUGAUUUAGCUAUCGUUUUAACUUUUAACAAUAAACAAGAGACAAUCAUGUACAUCAUUGGUUACAUAAAUAUUAAAAUGAGAUAAAUUUAUUCCUCUACUUGCCAGAUCCAUACAUAUUAAAAUGAGAUAAAUUUUAAGGUUUAAAAAUUUUCAAUUCAUCAAAAAUCUAGUGCGAUAUUAAGCGGUAAAAUCACUUAGGGUUAGUACAAGAGGUUUAUGAUUCCCUGACUCAUUUAUAUAGGUGGAGAGGGAAUUAGGCAAUAAAGAAUUGAUACAAUUAAUAAUUAUAUUAUAAAAAGAAAUAAAUUUCAAGAGAGAUCAUAAGUUCGUAGAAGAUUGUAUGUCAGUUAUUUGUAGUGGAAUGGAGUGUUUUUUUGGAGAGGCUAUUUGGCUUGGAAUAUAUAUUAGAAUGAGAUUAUUUGAACCCACCGCAAUACUCUCUAAAAUCCACUUUUCAAUAAAAAAUUUCAGUGCAAAAUUUUCCUUAAUUAAAUUACUAUUUUAGCCAAAUAUUAUGUUGAUUUAUCUCCCUAAAGUUUUUAUUUUUUUUCACCCUUUUUUCUCUUUUCCUCUCUGUUUCCCCAAUUUUUUUUUUUCCAGUCCUAUGUGGUUCUUAUAUUUUAAGGCUUCUAUUGGAGUAAGAUCUAUAUUCAAAUUGCUUAUCCAAAAAAAAAAAAAAAUCUUUUAAAAUUUGCCUUUCCUUUACCCUCGAGUCACUAUUAGAUGUAUAUGCUCCUCAAGAAACUUUAGUAAUUUGAUUUCUAUUAAAUAUUUUAAUUUCAAAAAAUGAGAAGGUCACUAUACAAAUAUCAAAAGAUCACCAACUUAAUUAUACUAGUUAUAAUUGAGGGAAAUAAAAGACUUACUAUUUCUGUUUGAAGUUAUUAUGAUGAACAAAGAAAAGAGGGGGGGGGGGGGGGGGAAAGUCGCUGCAAUUGCAUCAAUUGAGGACAUGUUAAGAAACGUAUCAUUGAGAUAAGAUUUAAUUGAUAAAAAUAAGAUUUACUAGAAAGUAGUGAGAGAAACAACUAACAAAAAUUCAUGAUACUUAUUGAGGGUAUAUUGAGAAUAUUUGUGGCUUUUUUGAGUAAAAAAAUAAAGUUUUAAGUUGUGAUAAUGUGUUUAUUACGUAAAUGAGUUUAUUUAAUAUUACAGUGGAUUUAAGUAGCCUUACCCUUCAUAUUAUAAUAAUUUUUUACAUUACUCUAUAAUAGCCCUACUAUAGAGGACCAUUUAAUGAAAAUAUUGUUACUCUUAUACCUAUUAAAAGAAACAAUAUUAUCUUGUACGUACAAGAACGUUCUAGUGCCCAAGUAAAAGUUUUAGUAAAACGUAUAAGAACUCUAAGUGUAAAGAGAAUUUCGUCAAGGUACUAUAGUAGUAUCUAAUGCUCUUUGCUAGUGUAAACUAUUUGUGCCACGUGUAGUAUUUCAAUCUUCACAAGUGGCAUUGCAUAUCGUGGCUCUUAUUUCAGUUCCUCAAAAGCACUCUAGAGGUAGGUUAGCUUAUAAGCUAGUAUUUGGUCAUCAUGUGCUUCUUUUAAUGAAACAUGUGGUUCAUUUUGUCCUUAUACGAGAGCAUUUUGUGUGGAAUAACCUUGUAAAAUGCUCAUUUAUCAAGGACACAUGUCGUGUUGUCAGAACAUAGUAAAAAUAUGAUACGCUAACCCAUGUGCAUUUAUGAAAAAUCAAAUGAAAACAAAGAACUAAAAAAAAUGCAAAGGCUAAUUCAUAAUGUUUGAGUUUGAGAUGAUUAAUAUUUAAUUUUAUGGUUGCAAAGAUAAGAAUAAAAGUAGGUCUAGUGAGAAAUACCCUCAUAUUAUAAUACUAUUUAAAAUAAAUUUUGUUAUAAAAGAUUUUAUUUAAUAAGGUAUGGAGACUGUUCAAAAUAUAUUUUACGUACAAACUCAUAUGUUUGACGUAAUAGUAUGUCUCAUGCUAGGACUAGCAAUGGUCAAAUCAACCUAUUUCGAUAAGAUCCAUCAAAAUUAAUAUUUAAAAAAUUUAUCAUCUCAUUAUACAAUACACAUCUUUGCCAUCACAGCUUUGCCAUCUAGUAGAGAAUGAUUGGUUGGCACACCAUAGUUUACACGAAUAUUUCUAAUAUUUGAAUCGUCUGUUAGAAAAUUUUAAUUCUAGCAAGAUCUUGUAAGUAAAAAUAUCAAAUAAAUAGUAAAUAGAAAAUAUACACAGAAUAAAACCAAUCAUACAAUACAAUAAUUUACGUGAAAAAUUCUUAUAUUGAAGAAAAACCGCAACCGCCAAAGAUGACAAAAGAAAAAUCUACUAUUUAAAGAUCAUUACAAUUACUUUAAUAUUUUCCUCACAUAAAAAACCCCAAUAACAAAUAAUCUCUCAUUUCAGAAACUGUCUACUUGUAUAGAACUGAUUGUUGUGUUAUUUAAACAAGUGAAUCUAACCUUUCGUAUAUAUUGUGAUUAUUUCAUAUUGGAGAAAUAUUUAUUUCCUUAUAGAAUUUGUAUUUCUCCUUUAAUAAGUUCUUUGGCAUUACUUAUUCCUUAAACAUGAACCCCCCCCCCCCCCCCGGAACAAGAAAAUUACUAAAUAAAAAAAUUCUAGGAAAUAUCCUAAUUUAGGAUUUACAAAUCUUCAUUGAAAAAGGAGAUAUGUUUCUUAAAAAUCUCCACUUUGGUGAGUUUUUCAAUUAAGUGACAAAAUAUAAUCCGCCAUACAUCUAUGCAACCAUGUCGUCUCCCCCUUAUUUAGUCUACCAAAACCACACUAACAUAAGACUAAUGAGAAUCACUCCACCAUGGGUAAAAUCUUGUCCUCUAUCCAGCAGCCAUAAUUUUCUACAUCGAGAAUCAUCAUACUCCACAUUAUCCAGAGUACACAUGUUUUGUAACACUCCAAAAAUUACCCACGAAAACACAAGGAUAAAAUUGGAAUGAAACUUUACAUCAUUUAUUCUUAUUAAUAAAUCUCAAGAUAGACAAUUAUUCAUACUCCAACUGAAUCCUUACAUAAAACAUCUGAAAUAAAGUCUAUAAAGAAAAGUCUCUAGUCCAAAAUAAAAAGUCUAGCCAAAUUCACUCUUGAAAGCAACUCCAAAGAUCCACUAAGAAAAAUUCUCCAUUUAAGCACCCAAGUCACAUUUCUAAUCAAUCUGCAAAAUAUUGGAGACGAGGGGUGAGCCGUCAACUCGGUAAGCAAAUCCAUGCACAAUAUUUGAAAACCUUGUAAGUUUACCUUUAAAUAUUUUAUAACAACAUCUUCAUUUAGCAUAAGGGGUGGAUUCAUAUAAAAGCAUUAAAAACAUUAAAACAUUCAUAAAAACGUUAAAACAUAAACAUUGGUAGCUCAUGCCUCGUAGUCAUCAUUAUUCAUCAUUCAUCAUUUAGGGUGUUAUACCCCGCAUUUUUCCUCAUUUAGGGUACUAUACCCCACGUUGUUCAUAAUAUCCUUGUGCACCAGAUCAUCAUCAUACCAGCAAGUUGGCCUUAGCAUUUCAUAACAUCAUAACAUUAACAUCAUAUACAUUACUACGGACUAUGAACCAAAACAUUUUUGAAUCCACCUUACAUCUUUUCAUAAAUAGCAUUUAAAGUCUUCUAAAACAUUUAAGAACUUUUCUUUUACACAUUUAAUUCUUUUAAAAAAUUCUUUAAGAAAACAUUUAAUUUUAAAAAAACUAAUUUCUUAAGAAAAAAUCAUUUUAAAAUACAUUUAUAUAAAUUCAUUUAGAAGCGUUUUUAUUUUACAAAAUUCAUUUAAAUAUUUUAGAAAUCAGUUUUGUAAAAAUCUCUAUUUAAACAUAAUUCUUAUAACAUAAUUCUCAUAACAUAAUUCGUAUUUAUUAUAAAGGACAUCAUGCAUGAAUCUACUUAUCUUGAUCCAUAGCAAUCAAUUCAAUACCUUAAGAAUAACCAACGAGGUCACCCAUGUCCUAUAAUCAUCAUAAAAAUAUUCUUAUCAAUAUCAUCUCUAACCUUAAACAUAAUCCCAGUCAUCCUUAAAUCAUAGGCACUUAUACUAGCUUAAUACUUAUACAUAUUCUAAACAUAUCCUAUACUUAUGAGUAUCCUGUACAUGCUGAUUUUUAAUAACCUAUACACAUGUCGGAAAACCAUGAAAAUUUACAGAGGCACUGUGAACAUGCAUAGCAUUGCAUACAAUAUUUCACAAAAAUCAGCACAAGUCAAAAUCGAGUCAGAAUAUUGACCUUUCACCAAAGUAACAAAAUUGUCCAGCACUGACCAAAACAGACAUUUUCCACUUAUAAAAUUCAUAAAAUUUUCUUUAGUACUCGAAAUAAUAUGUUUCUUUUUUUGAAUCACAGAAGAAACAUUCAGAAAGCACUAAUUAAAUUUCAUAAUUUUUGGACUCCUGAAACUAUUUUAAAACGUUUUAUUUCCGAGAACAUCUAACCCGUCCAGAAAAUCUCAGAGUUGAAAACAGAAUUUCAAACAUUCGUAUCUUUUAUUUUACAUGCCCAAAAAUCACGAUUCCAUUUUUUAAAGACAGAGGAAAGAUUGAAAUUUCAUUAUAAAAUCCUAACAUGACAUGUAAUAUUCAUAAACUAGCCCAACUGUUAUACGUUUCAGCUUCUGCAAUUCUGGAAAACAGUUUUCAGAUUUGCAGCAGCCACAUGUUACGGUUUUUAAUAAUUCAACCAUAAAGAAUAAAACUACGAAAUUACACAUGCAAGCAUAGGAGACAUAGAUCUGUUGAUACAAAAAUCGCCAUAAUUUUUAAGGAUGUGUAACCUUAUAGAAAAAUUUCCAGAAUUGAGAACCGCUGUUGAAAAUCGGAAUUUUCCAGCACCAGUAACCCAACUUCGAAAACCCAUAACAAUUUGCAUAAUCAGACGAUUUCAACACAAAACCUAUCAAUGGAAAGCUUAGGAUGUCUAGUUCCAUGAUAUGUAAGCAUAUUCAUGUGAUUCUAAAUAAAGAAAACGCUUUCAAGCAAGGAAUAGAGACUGUUCAUAUCAUCACAACAUUACAAACACGCAUAUAUUACCCAAAUCAUACUACAAGUAAUUAAAGGCAAACAAUUCAAAAAAAUAAAUCAUAUAAGUCUAAGAAAUAUUUAGUACCUUAAGGAAAACACUAAGGUGGCGUUUGUUUUUUAACUUAAUGACUUAAAGUGACUUAACUUAAUUAAUUAAGUUAAUUAGAGGUGUUUGUUUUUAUAACUUAAUGAGACUUUUUAGAUAAUUUUGACUUAAUAAAAUAAGCCAAUUUUUUUAGCUUUUUACUUAAUGGAGAAAUCUGAAUUAAGUCAAUUACUUACUAAUGUCAAAAAUAUCCUUGCUUUAUAAUUUAUUUUUCAUGUUUAUCCCAAACUCACCCAUAGACAUUUACCCUACAUAAAAAUAUCGAUGUUUUUCUUUCUUAUAUUAUAUACGAUAAAAUUUAAAAUUUAUGGUAUUUUAUCUAUUAAAAUUCCAAAAUAAUUAUGUAUUUACUUGAAUUUAGUUUUACUUAUAAAUGUAAAAUAUUGUGGCAUUUAAUAUAUUAUUUAUUUGAUAUUCAAAUUUAAUAAGGAUACAAAUGUAAAAGUACAUAUUUUUAACUUUUUAAGUUGAAAAAAACAAACAACUUAAUACUUAUUUUCUGAGAUUCAGAUGAAAAAACAAACAUAUUAUUCAGAUUCAGACAUUCAGAUCUAUUCAGAAUUCAGACUAAUUCAGGUAUAUUCAGAUUUUAGAUAAAAAAACAAACGCCACCUAAAAAAAGAAGUUAUAAAACUUUCUUUUCCUUCUCCAAAGACUUAUGUUUCUUUUUUUUCUUUCUAGAGUUUGUAACGGUGUAGAAAAUAAAAGACAGCUUCCUCUUAAAUACUUGUCAAUUAAUAAAUACUUUUUUAAAAAAAAUUUAAUAACUUACAUAAUUUAUUUAAAGCAAUUUGAUAAAUUUUACCCACACACAAACACUCAAUAAUAAUUAUCCUACUCAAUUUUGAUAAGGGUAAAAGUAGAAAAAUAAAUAAAUAAAUAAAUAAAUAAAAGUGGGCGUUACAUGUUUGGCAUAUGUCGAUGACAUUUCUAAAAUUACCCACUCUCAUGUUUGGCUUUUUUGAGAGUCCUCAUCAAUCAACAUAAAAAUUUCAUCUCAUACCUUGCAUAAAUACUAAACUAGGGGUUGUUUGCAUAUCUUGUGGACCAAUUAGCAAUAACACAUCCUCUUCACGAAACACCAAUAGAUGUCAUAAUUACUAUCUCUUUCUGUUGAUUUAAAACUACUUUCCAAAUUUGCUAUAUUCCAACAAUCUCUUUUAAGAUGUUUUGAUUACCUACACUCGUCCAAGGGUUUCUACUAGUGGAAUAGGCCUUACAUUGUUCUUUGCUUUACUUGUAUAGACAUAUUGAAUCAUUACGUUAUUGACUUGAGCUUCCCAUAAGCAAACAUUGAUUAUUCUGUCAAACUUUUUCGUUUCUAUCUUCAUAGGUUUUGAAAACCUCCUUGUUGCCAUAUUUGCUCUACAUUGCAACCUUAGCUACUAUCACCUACUAAGAAAUAAUUAAUCCCACUUAAGAUUCGUAAGAAAAAAAUAUCAAAUAAAUAGUAAAUAUAAAAUAGAUAGAAAAUAAAGCCAAUCAAAUAAUACAAAAUUUACAUGAAAACUUCUAUAUUGGAGAAAAACUAUAAUAGCCAUGGACGAUAAGAGAAAAAAUUAUUAUGUAAAAAUUAUUAUAAUUACUCUAGUAUUUUUUUAACACCUAAAACACCAAAAGCACCUAAUCUCUUAAUAGAACUAUCUUUUCUCUCGCAGUAAAAACUAUUUACUUACAGACAAUCGAUUGUUAUAUUAUGCAAAUAAGUAAACCUAAUCUCCAUAUAUGUGUGUGUGUGUGUGUGUGUGUGUGUGUGUGUGUGUGUGUAUGUAUGUAUGUGUAUGUAUGUGUAUAUAUAUAUAUAUACUCACACAUAUAUAGAUACCUACAUACAUACAUACAUAUUUAUAUGUACAUGUAUGUACAUACAUACAUAAAUACAUACAUAUAUACACACACACAUACAUGCAUACAUACAUACAUACAUACAUACAUAUACACACACACAUACAUGCAUACAUACAUACAUACAUACAUACAUACAUACAUAUAUGAUUUGUAUUCCUCUUUGAAUAAGUUAAGUUCUAAAGAGAAAAUUACUUAUUUGUUAAAUAUGAAUUAUCUUCAAUAAGAAAACUGAAAAGUGUAGAAAAUUCCUAAUUUAGGACUUAAAAAUCUUCUUUGAAAAAAGAGACAUCUCCCAAUAUCCUCAAAUCCUCUUUACAAUGCCACCAAAUCUCUUUUGUGACUAGCCCAGUUGAAACUUUUAAUUGAUGGGCUGUAAUUGCCAAUAUCCAAAAUAUCCAAAUAAAACAAAUUUCCAUAGGUAUAUUGGUAGAUUGAAUGACAACUAACAACACGUGAUUUGAUUAACUUAUUUCCAAAAAAAAAGAAAAAAAAAAGAUACAAUGGAUGAACAUAAGACUCUUGUGCCAACUCAUGGAAUUCAUCAAUAAGGCCUUGCCUGAUCCACCUCAUGACUAGUAGAGUUCAAACCCCCGCUAAAUACUAAAAAAAAUAUUUGGAUUAUUAAUUACUCUUUCUUAAGUCUAUUUAAACUUAACGUUGAGAAUUAUGAACGUCUACACUUUAAUUAAAACAAUACAAGCCCACCCGUUUGUAUUUAAAAUUUUGUUUGAAUUUAUUCACGAGCAACAAGAAUAGUAUAAAUGGAAAAAAAAACCAUCAAAUAAUAUCCCAUGACUUUGUUUCUUCAAUUUCAGGAGCAAUGGUGGAAUCAUAUUUUCCGAUUGAAAAACUUUUGGAAAAAUUAGUGAGCUCUACUUGUGAAGAACUUUUAUUGUUCUACGGUGUCAAAAAUGACUUACAAAAAUUAAAGGAGACGUUAACCACUGUCAAAAGUGUGGUUUUGGAUGCUGAGGAAAAGCAAAUCCAUAAUCACCGAUUAAGCGAUUGGCUGGGAAAGCUUAAAGAUGCUUGUUAUGAUGCAGAAGAUGUGUUGGAUGAAUUUGAGGUGGAAAAUCUACGAAGGCAAGUCAUGAAGCAAAGAAGCAUCGGAAGAAAGUUUCGUAACUUUUUUGGAAGCUCAAAUCCGAUAGCUUUUCGUUUUAGAAUGGGUCAUCAAAUCAAGAAAAUUCGAGAGAGAUUUGAUGAGAUUGCAAAAUUGAGGGGUGAGUUUAAUCUCAUUGAACGACUUGACGAUCAUCGGCGAGUUGUGCACAAAGAAAGGGAACCCACUCACUCGUUUGUGCUUUCAUCUGAUAUUAUUGGAAGAGAUAAAGAUAGAGAAAAGAUUAUUGAACUAUUGAUGCAAACAAGUGACGGCGAAAGUGAAACUGUGUCUGUGGUUCCUAUUGUGGGACUUGGAGGUUUGGGCAAGACUGCACUUGCAAAAUUGGUGUACAAUGAUCAAAGGGUAGAAGAGCAUUUUGAGUUGAAAAUCUGGAUAUGUGUUUCUGAGGAUUUUGAUGAGAAACAACUUAUGACAAAGAUUAUCAAGUCGAUAACUGGUCAAAACCAAGGUGACUUGGAUACAGACCAAUUGCAACGAACCUUGCGAGAUCGUUUGAAUAGUAAGAGAUACUUGCUUGUUAUGGAUGAUGUAUGGAACGAAGAUCCUGAAGCAUGGCGUAAAUUAAAAAGCUUAUUAUUGGGAGGUGCUAACGGAAGCAAAAUUUUGGUAACCGCACGUAGCAGGAAGGUUGCUUCAAUCAUGGGCACGAGGGGAGGUACUACUGGCUACAACUUACAAGGUCUACCAUUCGAGGAUUGCUUGUCUUUGUUUAUGAAAUGUGCAUUUAAAGAAGAGCGAGAUAAACAUCCAAACCUUGUUAAAAUCGGGGAAGAAAUUUUGAAAAAAUGUGGCGGAAUUCCUCUGGCAGUCAGAACACUAGGAUGUCUACUAUAUGACUCAACGGAUGAACAUUUUUGGGAAUAUGUGAGGGAUAAUGAGAUAUGGCAGUUAGAGCAAAAGGAAAGUGGUAUUUUACCUGCUCUGAGGUUAAGCUACGAUCAAUUGCCGCCUGACCUGAAACGAUGUGUUGCUUAUUGUUCAAUCUUUCCCAAGGAUUAUCAAUUUCAUGGUGAUUCUUUGGUUCAAUUUUGGAUGGCUCAUGGUCUUCUCCAAUCCCAUAAUAAGGAGUUAGAAGAUAUUGGUAUGCGGUACGUGAAGGAAUUACUAUCAAGAUCUUUCUUCCAAGAUUUGACUAUUGGGAUGUUAGGAAUGGAGACGUUCUCUUUCAAAAUGCACGACCUUAUGCAUGAUCUUGCUCAGCAAAUGGCCAAAGAUGAAUUCCUAGUAGUGAACUCUGAUUGUCAAUCUAUUCCCAAAAGUGUCCGUCAUUUGUCAUUUGCUACUGCUAAUGCAUCAAGAAAUGACUUUUCAAGCCUUUUAUCUGAUCUAAGUCGUGUGAGAACCAUUUUCUUUUCAACUGAUGAUGAGAAGACAAGCCAAUCAUUUGUUGAAUCAUGCAUCUCAAAGUCGCAGUUCCUGAGAGUGCUAGAUUUAAAUGGCUCUGCUAUUGAGGUUUGUCCCAGAAAGAUGGGUAAUUUGAAGCACAUGAGGCGUCUUGAUCUGGCGGGAAAUUCUAAAAUCAAGAAACUUCCAAAAUCCAUUUGCGAGCUACAGAGUUUACAAACACUGAAUCUUGAAGGAUGUCUGGAGCUAGAAGAGUUGCCUAAAGACAUAAGGUACCUUGUUAGUCUUAGAGUGUUAGGGCUAACCACAAAACAGAAGUCUUUGCAAGAGAGUGGAAUAAGGAGCUCGAGUUCUCUUCGUUGGUUCUCAAUUUCUAAAUGCAGGAAUUUAGAACAUUUGUUCGAGGAGAUAGAUCAAUUAAGUGUCCUUCGAACAUUAUUAAUUGCUAAUUGUCCUCGUCUAAUCUCAUUGCCACCUGCUAUCAAAUAUCUCAGCUCAUUAGAGACUCUGAUGUUGUGGAAGUGUGAAAGCCUUGAUCUUAAUCUGAACGUGGAAAUGGAAGGUGAAGGAAGUCAUCAUGAUUGCAAAAACACAAGGCCUCACCUUUGGAGGGUUUUCGUCGUGGAAAUAACACAGUUAUUAGAACUGCCGCAAUGGCUUCUUCAAUGUUGUACUGAUACUUUAUGGAACUUGGUUAUUGGAGAUUGUCCCAACUUCAUGGCACUGCCAGGGUCUCUAAAAGAUCUCAAAGCUCUUGAAACUCUUACCAUUCUAGGAUGUCCAAAAUUGUCAUCGUUGCCGGAGGAUAUGCAUGACGUCACAACUCUGAAAUGAUUGACCAUUGCAGGAUGUCCUGCACUGAGUGAAAGAUGCAAACCGCCAACAGGUGAAGAUUGGCCCAAGAUUGCACAUAUCCCUCAGGUUCAUCUUGAUGGCGAGAUGAUUGAAUCAAGUGAUAAUUAGGUAUGGAUUUUUUUUUUUUCAAUAAGCGUACCACUCUGUUAUAUUUCCUCUUUUCAUGCAGCUUUCUAAUUUUUAAUUUCUCAUACAGCUAUACCGUUUAUAGUUUAAUGUUUUGUUAUGUUUACCAAACGAAAACUUGACUUUGAACGUUAGUUAGUUCAAUCAAAUUUGUACUAAUUUAUUUUCUUCUAAUACAUAAUUAGUUUGUCAGUACGAAAAACAAAAAUAAUAUUUUGGAAACCGCACUGUUCUAGGGGUCAGAUCUGUUUCUAAAUUCAAACAGUUCAGGAUUUUUCAAAAUGGAACUUAUAAUGAGAUUUUUUUUUUUUAAUUAUCUAGUUAUCUUCAUAUGGAAUUUCAAUCUUUGUUAAUACUUUAACUUGCGCCGAAACAUCUGACUAUUCUUCCUCUUGUCCUUUUUUUUCCCAAAUAUUGCAGCUUUCUUGGGAGAGGUUCAACCAAACUGUAGGGACAGUGAAAAUAUUACUCUAAGUUACAAGUAUUAUAUAUUCGUUACUUGUGGUUAUGUAAUUUGCUGAUAAAUAAGUACAUUGAGUGAGGUAUAUGUGUGUGCCUGUGUGGUCAUUACUGAAUUUCUCAGUAAUAUAAUUUGCAUUGACUGCAGAUUUGUGAAGAACAUUGAUGUGUUGUGUAAUGGGAACGGUGGUGUCUGUAUUUUGUGCUUUGUGAUUGACGACUUACAUUUGCCCAGGAAGAAAUGAAAACAAAUCGGCUUCUUGAAAUUAACCAUUUAUUCUUUCGAAUGGUAACCUUUUUGUGACAUGAUUCGCAUAUUCAUCAAACGCAGUUGGCAAACUAAUUAGAUAUUGCAUCGUGAUUCGUGGCCUUGAAGUGAAAUGCACUUGUUUUGAUUAAAAUUCAAUGACUUUCUUCGUAUUAAUCAAAUUAAUUAAUUAAUUAUUUUGGUAAAAAGAAUUUGCCAAUUUUGUGGCGGUCUUGAGACCCUUGACGGUGGUGAAAUUGAUUCACGGUUUCAAAUGAAGACAUGCAGCGGAUGCGUGCGUGCCGUAUGACAUCGAUGAAAAAGUAAAGAGUUUGAUUUCUCUAUUUUACCCUUAAUUAAUCGUUGACAUCUAAUUUUACACUCCCAACAAAUUUGAAUGAAACAAUCCUAAUGUUCACUUUCUUCUUCGAUUUCAUUUUACGACUUAACAAAAUCUCACAAUGGAGAUGCUCCUGAUGAGGGGAAGGAGAAGAAGACACAGCGAGUUCGCAAGAACGUGUACAGAGGAAUAAGGCAGGGGCCAUGGGAGAAAUGGGCAGCUGAAAUUAGAGACCCUUACAAGGGCGUCCGCGUUUGGCUCGGCACAGCCGAAAAAGCUGCAAGAGUUUAUGCUGACGUCGCCAAGAAUAUCCGUGGCUCGACUUUGCUCACCAGCCUCCAGUAACUCCACCUCCAGGUAAGAAACGCUUCGUGCUAUCCCGUGAGUUGACUCACCCGAAUUUCGGAGAUUACUUUUUUAUUGGUUUUCAUUGAUUUCUUUUCCUGCUCUUAUCUACGAGGUUGUGCUUUCCCUUGGAUGCCCUUUAAUAAACAGCUUUCUUAAUAACAACUGAAGCGAAAAGUCAUUUUAUCAAAUGAUUUGGUGAAAUUUCAAGUACUUUCAUCUUGGUUUUUGCAGUUAAUAGGAAAUAGUUUGGUGUUGGGAUGUGUUAUAUGUAUCAAGUUCUUAUUGCUGGUGAACAUUACUGGUUUGUUUCUCAUAAUCGUUAUCCAGUCAAAGCAAACGUUCGCCUCUCACAUUGACGGUUAGGCUAGAUGUUUGACCCUGAAUAAGAUGAUUGAGUUUAUUAUAGUCUUCUUAUAUUGUCGGUUCAAUAUCAUUUUGAAAUAUCACAUCAAUUCCGCUUUUGGAGUUUUAAUCCAUGCCAAGUUACACCUUUAUUUUACUUUUAAGCUGCAACAUUGAGUCACAUUCUUUCUCUGUUAUUAUUACGAUUAGCGACUGGUACAGUGGUAUUUGAACUGCAUAGCGUGUCAACAUUCACUCUAAAUGUCUUAGAAACUCUGUCUAUCACUAAUUUCCUAGAACAGGCCUCGUUGACAGUCAAAGAUUUGAGGCGUAUUUCUGGACUGAAGGCUUUUCUCUAGUCAAUUUGAUGAUAAGCGCAUUUAUUAUCUCCAGCAUUAAGCAGUAAUUUGUAACUAGUAGUAGCCAGUACCUAAGAUGUUGCAUUUGACUGUCUUCUCUUUCUGGUUCAGUUUCGACCUUUGGAGCUGUUUUAGACAUGGUAAAGGAUAGGUAAUUUCUCUCUACCCCACCCCCCAAUGUAUCAUUAGUCAUCAUUCGUUCUGGUUGGUGGAGAUACACAUACUAAUUUGGAUUAUUGUCCGUGCCUUCGUCUUUUGUCAAUAAUCUUUUGCAUUUCAGGAUUAGUACAGCUUGUCUACUGGUAAUACUCUCUCAAGUAUACAGGGAAGACUUUGUUACGUUUUCUUGACCCGUAAUCUAAUGUUUUAAGAUGAAGGCAUAAUUGAGCUAUCUUGCAUCUCCAUGCAGGCCUGGUUUGGUUUUUGUGUCACUACCUGCAUUAGAUAUUGGUAGUCAAUGGCUGCAGAUGUACAGGUACCUUUUCGUUUCCCUGACAUAAUCUCAUGUUAGAUGAAAUUGCUCGUCGAACUGGGAGAUUUUGUAUUUUUUAUUUUUUCAUAAUUACUAAAGAAAAGUGUUACUUUCGUUGGGAAAAAUGCCUACCACUCUUUAUCUCUGUUGCAGUACAUUCUUAACAGGAAAAACUAGACAUAAAGAUGCAAAAGACAGCACAAAUUGGCUUUUCAAAGCCUAUUAUGGGAACCGGAUGUUUAUGGGUUAUUGUUGUGUGGCGUGUGAGGUAAUUGUAGCUUUCCGUGUUAUUAUACAUAUCAGGAUUUGCAAAUGUUAUCAGUACUUUUUACCUGAUCCAACUGUUUCAACCCUGCAGCUUCUUUACCUAAUCCUAUUUCUUAUUGCGGAGAAGCAGAGGGAAAGCUUGGUGGAUGUAGGCUCUCAUUUUCUUACUAUUAGAUUGUUCUGAAAAUAGAUAUAUUUCCCCUGUUUCUCGAUUUUCAAACAAUUUCUUCUUUCAGGUUGUGGCGAGUGCUGUGCAACAGGGUUCGCCUCUUUCCUUCCUAGUUGCAUCGAGUUUAUUCGCAUGGGCGCAAUCAAGCAAACGAUUAAUGUCGUACAGGUAACUUCAACCCCAUAUGAUGGUAAUGUUCGUUUAAAUAAAUUUCUUGAUGUCUACAAAUUAAGGAAACCUUUGUAUGGGUAAAGUUGACAUUUUACACUGGCAUUAUGGGUCUUGAAAUCGGUAUGUUUUAGAUUCACAUGCUGUGAUAUGCUCUAAUGUUAAAACUCAAACCUCUUCUGUAUGUUAAAUGGAUUGUCGUGGAUAUGCCUGGGAUGAUCAUUUUCUUCGUUUUCACUCAUCGUCUUUGUCAUUGUAGUUAUAAUUGAUUGUGGAGAGUGAAAACGCACUGUGAUGAAUGAAUGCAAAAGCUAUGUAAUUAAGACUACAUUUAUUAGGUUGGUGACCACAAAUAAUCGGAAGGAUAUUCACAAUAGUGUUAUUGAAGCUCUAUAUGGAAUAAGGAGACCAAACCUGUAUGUGAUAAGAGUUGUAUGAAUACCAAAUGAAUUGUCAGAGGAUAUGGUUACUUUAGAUUGCAAUUUAAGAAUGCUUGAGUUCUAAAAGCACAGAAGUGGGAUCAGUCUCUUGCUCAAGGGUAAACUCCUUCGUCAGUUAGUGAACUGUCCAUCAAAAGUAAAUAUUUAUGUGAUUGAGAGAAAUUUUGGAUUUUUGAUGAAAACAAAAAUCCUGUAUGCAUUUGCUUGCCCCCAAGGAGCUGAAGAUUCUCAAAUUGUUUGUAGACGUAAUAGUUCUUCUGAUAUCAUUUGGCUUGCUAAUCUUUCUUGCUAAAAAAUUUACCCGUUGUGUGGUCUUGAUGGUGGGUGAAAUUGAUGUGUGGUUUCAGAUGAAGAUGGCAGCAGAUAUGUGUGUGCCAUAUGACAUCGAGAAAAAGCAAAAGCCUUAAAGAGUUCAUCAACAUUUUCCAUUCAGAAGAAUCUGUUUUGUGGUUUUCAAUAUAAUUGAAGAAAUGAUGUUUGUACUGAUGCAGAUGCAGGAACUUUACACAUCUUAAGUUUACGAGAUAUAUAUAUAUUUUUUUGACUCUGUUAGAUAGCUGUCAGUUAGUUAACCAAUUUAUGUUACUCUUCCUUGGCUAGCCAAUUAAGAACUUAUGUUUGCUGCAUUGUAAAGCCUACAUCUGGAAGCCACAGCUGAUUUUAUUUGAAGGCAAUUUGUACUAGGCUAUAUGCGGAUUUCUAUCUUGAUUUCUGUAAGCUUGAAGGAGAUUUUUUUAUGCGUGAGAGCUUGAAAAUUAUACAUGUACAUGUUGAAACUAUUGGAUAUAUGUUAAGAAUCAAGCAUAAUUGUGUCAAGAUGAAACCAUAAUUUGGGUGCUGUUUUAUGAGUAAACUAUCUGCAAUUUGGGUGCAGUAAACCUAGGUUGAAUACCAGGACAUGGUAUAAAAGUGAAAUCACACAUUGAAUCUCGCAUAAAGAUUUUAAAGAUGCAAAUUCGAAUUGUACAUGAGAUGUUAUCUUGAUCGAAUUGCAGCGGCUUUGUUUUGGAUCCAGAAAACAAAAUUGUAGGCAUAGAGAAGUCUCUAUGGGAUGCUUAUAUUAAGGUGCAUAAUGGCCUCAUUGAGUUUUGUGCUGUUGUUCUACGUUGUUUGAGUUUUGUGCUGCGGUUCUUUGUUGCUGCUUUUGCUACCGAUUUUGGCUAUUUUCUGCCACUCUGUUAUUUGCUAUUUUUUACUACUUUCGCUGCUGAUUUUUGCUGUUUUCGCUGCUUUAGCUGUUGUUUUAUCUGCUGUUUUUUUUUACUGCUUUUAUUGUUAAUUUUUGCUGUUCUCUAUCGUGUUUUACCCACUGGUUGUCGCAUGUUUAUUAAUAUUGUUUGCUGCUGUUUGAUUUGCUGUUUUUUGCUGCUAAUUUUUUUUUCCUGUUUUCUGCGGUUAUUUGCUGCCGUUGCUGUUUUACUCGCCAGUUGAUGAUGUUUUGUGGUUCUCCUCCUCGAAUGCCUACAUUUUCCAGUGUGCAAGCAUAUCUGUUGAGAGUGGCUGAUGAAAUCACUAAACUGUUACAGUUGAUCUCAUGCUUCUCUAGAGAAGGAAUUAGACUUAUUUUGGUGAAGGGGUUUUUUCUGGUUUUUAUAUCAGUGUGUGCAUUUCUUCAAUCACGUAGCUUUGUGGCAUUACGAUCGAUAAUGGCAACUCCACAAUGAUGAUAAUGAUAAUUUUGUGAUUCAGACACGUUGUUAGGAAUUCUGUAUUGGUUUUUCUCUCGCCUUCGCUGUCUACAAUGAAGCAUAUAAUGGCUUUUAAUCUGCAACUGCUGCAAAAUGGACUCACUAGCUAGCAAAUAAUAAUAUAUAGUGCUGUUGUUAGAGUGCAAUUUAUGCACUAGUUUUGCAUUGUUUACUUCUCUUAAUAUCGAUGUUUUGCACUUAAUAAUAGUGAUUUACUUGUGUUUUACUUUUGUAGGUGCAAUUCUAUUGAUUAGUGAUAAAAUUGAGCUACAAGAUGAUGUUUAAGGAUGAUUGUUCUCUUGGAGAAAUUAUGAGCGGCAGAAGAACUUUGUUGAUAAGGCGUGGGCGCGUGCUGUCAACUGCGAACCUGCAGUUUUUAGUUUAACGUGUUUUGUAUUUUUGGUUAUUUUUGUAAUUACGAAUUUAAUAUUUCAGAUAUUAGUAUUUUAUUUUAAAUAGAAUUCUAGAGUAGAAGAGAGAGAGAGUAUUUAAGGGGGGAUUUGGAUGGGAGAAAAAGAAAGAAACCCUAGAUCUAAUUUUUCUCUUCUCUCUAUGAAGAGCUAAACCUAUUUUUCUGGUUGAAGGAUAAUGAAGCUUUGAUUCAUCACUACUGUGAGAUCUUUCUUGUGCUUUAAUUGUUUUAUUGCUUUUUGGGUAUUUGUUUAUUCUCUGAAUUAUUUUCAUGAUUAUGUUUGUUAAUUAGGUAAUUGGUCACUAUUUAAUUAUCAACUUAAUCUAUUGUCAAUUAAAGGACUCAUCGUAUGAAGAAUUUAAUGUUUGUGAUAAAUAACAUAGCAGAGAGUUGUGUUGUGAGAAUAAACAAUCUAAUUUAAAUGAAUCAUCAUAUGUGUUGAUUAGAAUUUGGGUCUCUCUGGUUUUUCAGGCUGUCAAUUGAUUAAAUCCUAUGAUCGUAUCUAGGGUUGUCUAUUGAUUAGGGAAAUAACCAAUGGUCGUACCUUGGUUAUCGACUAGUUAAGGAGAGAUUGGCUAUUAGAGGGUCUCAAUAGCUAUAACCGGUCUAUUCAUGAGUAAUAAUAAUCUAUAUUUGAAUCAAUGAUCAGUAGUCGAAUCAAGCUGAGUUAAUUCCUUCAACCAGAGCUUUCUCCAAUUUGAAUUACAACUUCAAUUUGCAUUCUUGUUAUUUUUAAUUUGAUUUUUAUUAUUGUCAACAAUUCCCCCAUUUUACGUUUUACGCUUCAAAAGGAUUUAAAUAAUUACCGAUCUCUGUGGACACGACCCUACUCAAUCACUAUACACAAUUUAUUUAGAGUAGGAAUUUAUUUUUGUUGGCUUCGACACCCAUCAAAUUUUGGCGCCGUUGCCGGGGAUUGGUGUCAUUUAUUUAAUCCUUUUUACGUUUUACUUGGUGUAUGGUUCGUUCUUCUCGUAGAGGUACACUUUCGUUUGAUCCUAAAAUUGAGAAGACAGCUCGCCAGUUGAGACAGCAGACGAAGCGAGCUAAGCAACGAUCCUCAUCACCUUUGCUUUCUGAAAUAGAUAGGGUGCCUGAUUUAGUUGAAUCAUCUAGUGAUUCAGAAGAACAAGUGAUGGAUAGACCUGCACCUGUAGAAAGAACUCUUAGAGAGUUAGCUGAACCAGACUUGAAUCAGCAACCACUCUGCAUUCAAUAUGUAGAUUUGGAGGUAAAUUUUGAAUUAAAGUCUGGUCUUAUUCAUUUAUUACCCAAGUUUCAUGGUUUUGCAGGUGAAGAUCCUCAUAAACAUCUUAAGGAGUUUCAUGUUGCGUGUUCAAGUAUGAGACCACAAGGCGUGACUGAAGAGCAGAUUAAGCUGCGUGCUUUUCCUUUCUCUUUAGAUGGACUAGCUAAAGAUUGGUUAUACUACUUGCCUCCUGGAUCGAUUACAACGUGGAAUGGUUUGAAGAAGCAGUUCCUCGAGAAGUACUUUCCUGCUUCAAGAGCUGCCAACAUCAGAAAAGAUAUUUGUGGGAUCAGACAACUUCCUGGGGAGACUUUGUAUGAGUAUUGGGAGCGAUUCAAACAAUUGUGUGCCAGCUGUCCUCAGCAUCAGAUUUCUGAUCAACUUCUUAUUCAAUAUUUUUACGAAGGAUUAUCAUUGAUGGAUAGGAGUAUGAUAGAUGCUGCUAGUGGAGGCGUGUUGGUGAACAAGACCCCUACUCAAGCAAGGGAGUUGAUCUCAAAUAUGGCUGCCAAUGCACAACAAUUUGGCAGCAGACAAGAUGCCACUUCAAGAACGGUGAAUGAGGUAAAUAUUUCUUCUGUUGAACAACGUUUAGAUAAACUUACUUCUCUUGUGGAAAAGUUUGUUGUAGGUAAUGUGCAACAGGUGAAGACUUGUGGCAUUUGUUACAAUAUGGGUCAUUCAACUGAUAUGUGUCCUACACUUCAAGAAGAACCCGUUGAACAAGCCAAUGCAGUUGGAGGAUUUCUAGGCAUGCCUCAGAGGAGGUAUGAUCCUUAUGUACAAACAUACAAUCCGAGAUGGAAGGAUCAUCCCAACUUCAGCUAUGGAGUUAGGCCGUCAGGAUUCCCACAACAGUAUCCACCAAGACAACCAACACCUCCACAAUCAAACUCCAAGUCAGGUAUAUCUCUUGAAGAAAUUGUUAAAUCACUUGCGACUAACACUCAACAAUUUCAGCAGGCAACUACAACAAGCAUUCAGAACUUGGAGAACCAAAUGAGUCAAUUGGCGACUACAGUGAGCCGUCUGGAGUCUCAAGUAUUAGGGAGAUUGGCUUCACAAUCUGAGGUGAAUCCAAAGAAAAACGUUAGUGCUGUCAUCCUUAGAAGUGGGAAGGAGUUGCAAGAGCCUAGUAAGAAAGUGACAGAGCAUGUAGAAGAUGAGCUUGAGAAGAAUGAAUUGAUGCCUCAAUCUCAAGAUGCACAACCCACCGGAGCGAAACCCCUACCUAUUGUGAUACCUCCUCCUUUUCCAAGCCGGUUUGCAAAAUCUAAGAAGGAGGAACAAGAGAAAGACAUCCUUGAGACAUUUCGCAAGGUUGAGGUAAAUAUUCCUUUAUUAGAUGCUAUAAAACAAAUACCUCGAUAUGCUAAAGUCCUUAAGGAACUGUGCACCUCCAAAAGAAAAUUAAGAGGAGAUGAAAAAGUUCACAUGGGGGAGAAUGUUUCAGCAGUUCUCCAAAAGAAACUACCUCCUAAGUGCAAGGAUCCAGGUAUGUUUACUAUCCCUUGUAAAAUUGGUAGUGUUAGAGUUGAAAAUGCUAUGUUAGAUCUAGGAGCUUCUAUUAAUGUCAUGCCUCGUUCCAUUUAUUCAUCUUUGAAUGUUGGUUCAUUAAAAGAAACUGGCGUGAUAAUUCAACUAGCUGAUAGGUCUAAUGCAUAUCCUGAUGGGGUAUUAGAAGAUGUCUUAGUACAAGUUAAUGAGUUGGUUUUUCCUGCUGAUUUUUAUGUACUUGAUAUGGAAGAUGAUAACUCCUCUAAUUCUGUCCCAAUUUUGCUAGGAAGACCUUUUCUUAAGACUGCUAGGACUAAAAUGGAUGUACAUAAAGGGACUCUCACUAUGGAGUUUGAUGGAGAGGUUAUAGAAUUCAAUAUGAAUGAUACCAUGAAAUAUCCUAGUGAGGAACAUUCGGUAUUUUCUGUGGAUGUUAUUAACCCUAUAGCGCAAGAAAUUUUUUACAAGGAAAAGACGAAGACAUUUCAUGAUAGAAUGAUUUUGAGAAAGGAGUUCUCUGUUGGUCAAAAAGUUCUUCUUUUUCAUUCUAAGUUUAAACUUUUUCCGGGUAAAUUACGUUCUUGCUGGGUUGGACCUUUUAUUGUUACUAAUGUUUUUCCUCAUGGUGCAGUUGAGAUUCGGAGUCCGACCUCUGACAAAGUUUUUAAGGUUAAUGGUCAUCGCUUAAAACCUUUUUAUGAAGGUUUUUCGGUGAAUAUUGUGGAGGAUGUGGCUCUCGAGAGUCCCAAUUAUGGAGAUUGAUGCAUAAAUGUGUCUAGCCAAAGACAUAAAACAAAUGCGCUUUUUGGGAGGCAACCCAAAUGAUUUAUUUAUUUUGGUUUUUGUUAUAUCUUCUUUUAAUUUUGAUUUAGAUUUUUUUUUAAAAUAAUGUGUUUGCUUAUUUUGGCCAGAAGAAAAUUUUUGAUAAGGCGUGCCCACGUCUUAACUAAAAAAUACUUCUAUAAUUUUUAAAGUAAAAUAGUUUUAAGGCGUGCCCACGUGCUUAUUAAAAAAAUACUUCUAAAAUUUUUGGUGUCUCAAAGUGUUUCAUCACUAAAAAAAAAAAAUCUUUUUUUUAUUUAAUUUAAUUUAUUUUUAAAAAAAAAAACGAAAAAAAGAGAUUUUCUUUUGUUCUUUCUUUUAUAUAUUUAUUUAUUUAUUUAUUAAAAAAAAAACCAAAAAUCGAAAAUCAUUGUUCACAAAUCCCUAAUUCAAAAAUUACUGUUGAUUAUCGUUUUACAGCAGCGCGCCUCAGCUCCAGCCUUCACCCCGCAACGCAAGCAGCAGCCAGCGCGAACCAGUCGCGCGCAACGCAACCCAGAUUCUCAACUCCAGCCGCACGCAACGUAGCGAGCAGCAGCAGACCAGCAGCGUAAACCAGCUCUCGCACGCAACACAACGCGAACGCAGCAGUGCGUAGAUCCAGCCCAGCAACGCAGCGCGAACCAGCAACGCGAACCACCAGCGCGCAACGCAAGCCCCUGCGCGCGCAGCACCAGCAUCCCGUGUCUCGCAGCCCAGCAGCGCGCAACGAAGUCCCACCAGCGCGCAACGCAGCGCAGCACCCGCAAAGCAAGCCUCACCAGCGCGCAACGCAAGCCCGCAACGCAGCAACGAGCACGCCCUGCAACGUAACCAGCUUACGCCCUGUAUUCCAGCAGGGUAAAUCGAAAUCUGUGAGUGCAAUUAUUGUAACAAUGCCGAAGAGGAAAGCAUCCACUUCCAAGUCAUCGAAAAAGACACCCAUCGCAAAGAAAUCUAAGAUUGCCGCUCCCACUACGGUUCCAUGGAACACAAUUUCAGAUUCACGCUAAGCCGUGAGACAAAGAUCGAAGCAUGGAAAAGGCAUGAGUAUUUUGUCACUUGCGGAAUCCAAUCUCGGAGGGUGCCUCGCAUUCGCGACUCAACAAGAGAAAGAGAGGUACAAAGAUAUUUCCACGCGCAAAAUACUUCCAGCUAAGUAUAUUCAUUACCCGACUCUUGAAAAAUUGAAUGUUAAGGAUAAUUUUGAUUCUUUGAUAGAUAAGAUUGGGUUGCGUAAAUUUGUUGAUGUUGAUUGUUUGGGUUAUGUUGAGUUGAUUAGGGAGUUUUAUGCUACUUUUCAAUUUACUAUGCCGAAUGAUUUUACUUUGUAUACCCCGGAUGUCAUUAAGUUUAGGUUAAUAGAACGAAAUUUUUCACACUCUAUCACGGAUUUUAACCUAGCUUUAGGAUUCAUUGAUGAUGAUUAUUCUAUUAGUGAUGAAUAUUUAGGAACAACUUGUGACUUUAGCGAAAAUUUUGAGCCUUAUGGUCUUUGGCGUAAUUUAUCUGUUGAUCACAAUGCCUAUGACCCGAGUAAAUCAAAGAGUUCUUUCUUACGUGAUCCUGUUUUGAAAUGUGUGCAUCGAUUCUUAGCAUAAUUUUUUAGGCAAGAAAGAUCACUCAGGAAUUUUCUCUAAAACUGAAUUUUAUUUUAUCUGGUGCAUGUUAAAUGAUGUGAAGCCUAAUUUAGGUUUUUGGUUAGCGGAUCAAUUUCAAAGUGUGCUUAAACGGUAUAGGACUUUAUUUCUUGGUCCAUACAUUACUAUGCUAGCUAUAAACCUAUGUGUGCUUGAUCCCGACAAUAAUGAUUUGCAUCCUGCUUGCAAAAAGGAAUUUUUGGAUAUGUCUGUGUUUGAAAGAACAGGUGUGGUCGAAUUCAAGGAGGGGAGAUUUCAGUUUAUUGAACCAGGACCCACUCAACUUCCGAAGAAGCUUUAUGCUAGGAGUGGUACUACCUCUGAUGACGAGUUUGACGACGACACUGCUGCCCCGUCAACUAUUCCUUCUACAUCCGCACCACCUUUGAGCAUUUAGUUAGAGAAAAUGGAGCACAAACUGAACAAGAUGGAGCAGAAUUUGGCCGCAUACUUCGAGAGUGUGGGAUUUACCCCACCAUUUCCGCCAAACCCAUAGACGUUAUGUGGAUCAAAGCUCACAAUUCAGAGAAGUUUCUUUUUGCCCUUAAUCUUUUAUCCUUACGCUUUAAUUUUUAUGUGAGCUUUGAUUAUCUUACAUUGGGGACAAUGUAAGUUCUUGGUGUGGGGGAGGGAUUUUUGCAUUAUUGAUGUCUGGAAUUAUUGUUUUCACUCUACUCAUCUAUUUUCACUCUACUCAUCAUUAAAUGAUUUUGGAGUUAGUAUGCUUCAUAUAUUAUUAAUUUUCUUUUCCUCUUUCUCUCACUACUCUUUUCCCAUCUAUCUCAAAUUAUUUACAUCUAUUUUUAUUCUAUCAUACUCUUUCAUCACUCACAUUUUAUCUUUCACUUUUCAUAUUACUACAUACAUCUUUCUCACUUCUUAUUAUUUUUACCUUUUCUUUUAUAUAUCACUCAUACCUUCUUCUUAUUCUACACCACUAUUGAUGGUUGAUUCAUUUGAAGAGUGUACAUGAUUUGAUGGCAAAUUUACCAACUUUGUGAGGAUUUGAGCCUAUGAGCAACCACUUUGCUCUAAUAUUUUUUGUUAUGUGAAUAUCAAUCUUAGUUUGUUUAUUCUAGAACUUGCUUUGUUAUGCAUGUUGAAGCUGCAUUACGGGAUUUUAUGCAUUAAAAUGAUAAGGGCAAACCCUUUUCCAUUUUUCUAUUCUCGCCUUUUUUUUUCUCUACACGAAGACCUUUAUUUGCUACCUUUGUUUGAGCCUUAACCAUUUUUCUUCUUUUGAGCCUCGAUUUAAGGAGAUUUUUGGACUCAUUGUGUGAAUAUAUUUUGUUGCUUUUUCUACCUUGUAUUAAAGUUUCUCAAUUAGAUCAACAAGCAUUAUGCUUGAAUUAAAUUGUGCAAGGUUAGUUUCUUUUGUUUGAUUCAAAAACAAAAAAAAAAAAAAACAAAAACAAAAAAAAACAAAAAACAAAAACAAAAAAAAACAAAAAAAAAGAAAAAGAAAAAUAAAAAAAAGAAAAGAAAAAAAAUAUGUUUACAUUCUUGGUGACUUGAGUAGAAAUAAGCAUUUUGAUAUCAUAAGUUCAUUCAAUGAGUUCAUUCUUCUCGUUUUGAUCUCGUUUUCUUUCGUAGACCUUUCUUUUUCAUUUCACCCAUUUAACCCCAUUACAACCCUUUUAAGACCCUUAGAUUUUUGCAUUUUAUUCAUGCUUUGUGGAUUGAGAUGUGAUAUAUGAGCAAGCUUAUGGUAAUAGCAUUCUUUGAUUUGAUUUGAGUGGAUAAAUGACACCCUAAACACUUUGAGUGCAAGGAGUGAAGUUAUUGAGAGGGCUAUUAAAUCUUGUUGCACUUGAAUUUUGAAUGGAUCUUCUUGGUGGUUGAAUGUUCUUAUUCUAUCUUAUGAAAUUCUAUGCUUUAAAAUCCUUGUCUCUCGAAUGUUGAUCGACUUAAUUUCUUGAGGUAUGCUUGCUUAAAAUUGUUUUUGGAUGAGUUGAGAUGAGAAUUGAGUGGAGAUUUGAGAUUAAUCUUGAGUUAUAUGCUUGAGGACAAGCAUCAUCUUGGUGUGGGAGAAUUUGUUAGAGUGCAAUUUAUGGACUAGUUUUGCAUUGUUUACUUCUCUUAAUAUCGAUGUUUUGCACUUAAUAAUAGUGAUUUACUUGUGUUUUACUUUUGUAGGUGCAAUUCUAUUGAUUAGUGAUAAAAUUGAGCUACAAGAUGAUGUUUAAGGAUGAUUGUUCUCUUGGAGAAAUUAUGAGCGGCAGAAGAACUUUGUUGAUAAGGCGUGGGCGCGUGCUGUCAACUGCGAACCUGCAGUUUUUAGUUUAACGUGUUUUGUAUUUUUGGUUAUUUUUGUAAUUACGAAUUUAAUAUUUCAGAUAUUAGUAUUUUAUUUUAAAUAGAAUUCUAGAGUAGAAGAGAGAGAGAGUAUUUAAGGGGGGAUUUGGAUGGGAGAAAAAGAAAGAAACCCUAGAUCUAAUUUUUCUCUUCUCUCUAUGAAGAGCUAAACCUAUUUUUCUGGUUGAAGGAUAAUGAAGCUUUGAUUCAUCACUACUGUGAGAUCUUUCUUGUGCUUUAAUUGUUUUAUUGCUUUUUGGGUAUUUGUUUAUUCUCUGAAUUAUUUUCAUGAUUAUGUUUGUUAAUUAGGUAAUUGGCCACUAUUUAAUUAUCAACUUAAUCUAUUGUCAAUUAAAGGAUUCAUCGUAUGAAGAAUUUAAUGUUUGUGACAAAUAACAUAGCAGAGAGUUGUGUUGUGAGAAUAAACAAUCUAAUUUAAAUGAAUCAUCAUAUGUGUUAAUUAGGAUUUGGGUCUCUCUGGUUUUUCAGGCUGUCAAUUGAUUAAAUCCUAUGAUCGUAUCUAGGGUUGUCUAUUGAUUAGGGAAAUAACCAACGGUCGUACCUUGGUUAUCGACUAGUUAAGGAGAGAUUAGCUAUUAGAGGGUCUCAAUAGCUAUAACCGGUCUAUUCACGAGUAAUAAUAAUCUAUAUUUGAAUCAAUGAUCAGUAGUCGAAUCAAGCUGAGUUAAUUCCUUCAACCAGAGCUUUCUCCAAUUUGAAUUACAACUUCAAUUUGCAUUCUUUUUAUUUUUAAUUUGAUUUUUAUUAUUGUCAAUAAUUCCCCAAUUUUACGUUUUACGCUUCAAAAGGAUUUAAAUAAUUACCGAUCUCUGUGGACACGACCCUGCUCAAUCACUAUACACAAUUUAUUUAGAGUAGGAAUUUAUUUUUGUUGGCUUCGACACCCAUCAGCUGUCAAAUUUAUAAAGAUUAUAUAUACACACACUUUCGUGUUCAAUGCACCGACACUAGAUGUAUAUUGGCAUUUAGAAAAGUUGGCGAUAACUAAUGACUUUCAAGAUUAAUUAAAUGACAAUAUUCAGUCUAUCAUAAAACAAGUUUUCAACAAGUGAAGAGGAGGUACUCUUUAUAAUUGGAUAAUUAAUGCAACCUUCAAUGUUUUCAACCAAAAAAAAAAUGAUAUUUGAUAUGUAUUCAACAUUAGGGAAAAACCUCCCAUAUCGAAGGUUUGCUUAAACGAUCAAAUAAAUUCACUUAGUUUCGUAAAUGGUUGUACAUAUCCUCUUUUUGACUAUUUAUUGGGUUAUGUUUGAGAGUUAGGACUAAGUGUGGGAUUAUACUAACUUUGAGAUUAAAUAUUAUUCUAUAUUUAGCAAUUUUCCUUGGAUUGGAUUAUGAGAGACUAAAUUCUAAGUUAGUUGUUAAAUAAAGGGGAUUGGCAAUACCAAUUUAUAAAUAGAUUUAAAUGGGAUUAGAAUAAGGGGAUAAAAUGUUCAUUUGUAAUAUUUCUUUCAUAUAUAACACCAUCUUUUAUUUAUUACUUCAAAUUUAAUAAAUGAAUUAAUUAUUUUAUUCAUGAUUUACUUGAAAUAUAUUUUUUAUUUUGUUUUUAUAUUCUAAUUAAAUUGGUACUUUAAUUUAAUAAUUUUUUACAUUAAUUGAUUGUACUAAAUUUAAUAAUCACCAAUGUGAUAUUAAAAUAUAAUUAUGAAAAUUAAUAAUACUAGUAAUUAAUUGAUUUUAUAUAUUAUUUGCUAAUUUUUUGAUAAAAUAAAAUAUAUAUCUAAAAUAUCUAAAUAAUCAAAAAGUUUUAUUAAUUUAUAUUUUUUAUUACAAUUAUGAUUACCCAUAAGUAAUUUACUGUAUAUUUAAUGUUCUUAUUAAUUAUAUUUAAAUUAAUCUUAAUUAUUAUUCUUAAAUAUUCAUAAAUAGUUUUUUAUUUAAAUAUAAUUUAAUAUUGUCUAAUCCAAUGUUGUACUAAACAUAAGACAGUAGUGUAUAAUCCAACAUAAUACUUAGUCCAAUUUAGUCUUGCAUGCCAAAUGUAAUCUUAUACACUUUGAUUACAACAAGCCAAUAAUUGACUUAAAUAAACUUCUAUAACAAUUAUAAGUUAAAAUUAAAAUAGUAUGAUAUAUAAAAUAAGAUAAAAUUUAUAAAUUAUUUUGAAUAUUAGAAAAAUGAUUUUAACAUUAUUAAUUUGUCAUAUUCUUUUACUACUAAUAAAAUCUGUUUGACAAAUUAAUAAUAUUAAAAUAAUUAUACCUAACAUUCACAAUAAUUUAUAAAAUUUAUAUAUUUUGUUAGCAAAUGUUUUAAUUAUGUCUAUAUUAAUAUAAAUCUUAAAGUCAAUUUUUGGAUUAAUAGAUUUUAGUAUAUAUAAUAAUAACUUAAUAUUAAAAAUAAUUUUCAUUACAUACGUUAUUCUAUUAAUUAUCUUAUUGUAAUAUUUUAUUUGUAUCAUAUGAUGUUUAUUAAUUAUUUUUUUAUCUUAUUACUAUAUUUAUAUUUAUUUGUGUUGUUGUAAUCAAAGGGUAUAGUAACUAAAAAUGUGUUUAUGUGACUAUUUAACCUAAAGGGUCUUUGUGACCAUUUAAGUAAACCUUGGAAAUGUGUGACAAUAGUCAUUCUAAUGACUUUCAAGAUUGAAAGUGAGUCGGAUUAUCAAAUUAUGAAGCAUUAAUACAUAAUGUUUUAUGGUUAUUUUAAAGUUGAAGUUGGUUUAUUCAUUAAACAAGCUUUUAACAAGAGGAGAAAGUUCCCUUUAGAAUUUAAUAAUUAAUACAACCUUCAAUAACAAAAAAGUCAUAUAAUAAGGAUGAUGAUUCUUGCUCACUUGGAUACAUAUAUAUAACCUAUGAUGUGGUAAGCAAGGUAUCAAUUAUGUAUUUCUUGUAUCUGAAAAAAUGAAUAAUCCUUUAACGAAGGUUAUCAUCAAUUGCAGGUUUCUAGUUUGGCUGCUUAGUUUUAGGACUACGAAUAUUACAAUAUCAUAAUUAAAGGAAAGAAUAUAUGCGGUAGUCUUUGCCUGAUCUACUUUCUUCUUCUUAAUUAACCACUUAAAAGGAAAGAAUAUUGUAUACGCAGCACACUAUAAUACUCUAAUUACCAAUUCUUUAUCUUAUAAUAUAAGUUCAUAGUGAUUAAUUUGCCCUUCUCCAGCAAAAAAACAAAUCCCAUUUCAGCACAUCUACAAGAGCCCUCAUUUCUCUUUGCUCCAGCCAAUUGAUAGCAGAAUCAUCACAGACACCUUGAGCUCCGUCAAUCAUCAUUGACAAUUGGUGACUAGUGGGAGCAUUACAAGGAUGGUACGACGAGUACAAACUGAUAGAUUUGUUUAUAUGAAUCGGCUGUAGUUUUUAUAUAUGGUUAAAUUAUGACAAUAAUCAAGAGAUAAUCAUGUACCUCAUUAGUUUCAUAAAUGUACAUACUAAUUUAUUCCCCUGCUUGCCAGAAUCAAACAUGUAGAAUAAGAUAAAUUUUAAGAUUUAAAAUUUUCAAUUCAUUAAAAAUCUAGUGGGAUAUUAAUCGGUAAAACCACUUAGGGGUAGUACAAGAGGUUUGUGGUGCUAACCAAUUUAUGUGAGUGGAGAAAGAAUUAGGCUUUUUUAAUAAAAAUUAAUAAUCAUAAUAAUAAAAGGACAUAAAUUUCAAGAUUUAAAACUUUAGACUUCAUUAGAAGUAAGAGGGGGAUCGUAAAAAAAUUGAAUGUAACUUAUCGGUAGUGGAAUGGAUUUUUUUUUUUUUUGGUUGCAGCUAUUUACACACCUUUGAACACAUGUUAGGGUGAGGGUAUUUCAGUAUUUUACCCACAUCUCAAUAAAAUAUUUUGAGGUGAUGCUACCACUAAACAACUCAUUAAACUCAUUUACUUAAUAAACACACUUCUAAAAUUUAAAAUGCACAAUUUUAUUUUACAAACCCAUUAAUACCUAAAAUACCCUUAUUAAGUUAAAUUAUCACAAUUUCUCUUAUCAUUUUCUUUUCCCAUCAUUUCUCCGUUUCUUCACUCUUUUCUUCUUCAUUUUUGGAGCUUUACCCAUAGCUUUUUUAUUCCAAAUUCUCAAACUUUUUAUUUUAUUUUUUAAUAGCUAUUUUUCCCGUUGAUAUUUCAUGCGUUUAUAUGAUUCAGCUAUAGUUUUAACUUUUAUAUAUGGUCAAGUUAUAACAGUAAUCAAGAGAUAAUCAUGUUCAUCAUAAGUUGCAUAAAUGUACAUACUAAUUUAUUCCUCUACUUGCUAGAACCAUACAUAUAAAAUGAGAUACAUUUUAAGGUUUAAUCUUAGGGUUGGCAAUAAGCUCCGGAUCCAGCCCAGAUCCGCAACAAUCCAGAAGAUCCAGAUCUGGAAAAAUACAGAUCCGCAUGCUAAAAAAUGCGAAUCCAGAUCUUAAAAAUCACAAUCCGUGCGGAUCCGGAUGUAAGUGCAUCCGGAAAACCGAAUAUCUGGAUCCACAAUUUUUUAUAAUUAAAUUAUUUAUGUAAUUAAAUUUCAAUUGAAAAAUAGAUAAAUUAUUUAUUUAAAUGUAUAUGCAUUAUUAACUCUCUAAUCUUCAUUAACUUUAAAAAAUAUGUUAAUAAACUAAUAAUAAUUAUAAUAAUUAGAGAAUAUUGUAAUAAAUCGGUUUACCUUACAUUUUUUUUAUGUUUGAUUUAUAUUGUGAAAUUAUUGUUUGUGAAUUUAUGGUGUCGUUGUUUGUUAUUUAUGUUGAAUUGAAGUCAAAUUGUUGAUUCUUACUUAUAAUUGAAUUUUAUUUAAUAUUCUUAUGUAAAUUAUUAAAUUAAAAUUAUAUUUAAAUUUAUUAUUAUGCAGAUCCGAAUAUCCGGAAUAUCCGUCCGCAAUCUGUGCGGAUGUUAUCCGCAUCCGGAUUCGUAUUUUUUUUUUGCGGAUCCGGAUGUCAAAAGUUUAAUCCGGAUCCGGAUGCACUAAGAUCCGGAUCCAGAUCCAAAUUUUGCCAUCCCUAGUUUAAAACUUUGCAAUUCGUUAAAAAUCUUGCGGGAUAUUAACCGAUAAAACCACUUAGGGAUAGUAUAAGAGGUUUAUGAUUUCUCAACCCAUUUAUGUGGGUGGAGAGAGAAUCAAGUGUUUUUUUAAAUAAAGAAUAAUUAAUAAUUAAUAAUCAAAUUAAUAAAAAUAAAUAAAUUGUAAGGGGGAUCGUAAAAGUUUUGUAUGUAACAUAUCGGUAGUGGAAAGAAUUUUUUUUGGAGAGGCUAUUUGGCUUGGAACAUAUAUUACAAUACUCUCUUCAUCCACUUCUCAAUAAAAUAUUUUAUUAAAAAAUUUUCCUUAAUUGAAUUAUUGUUUUAGCCAUAUAUUAUGUUCGUUUAUCUCCCUAAAGUUUUUAUUCUUUCACCCUUUUUUCUCUUUUCCUCUGUGUCUCCCCAAUUUUUUUCCAGUCCUAUGGGGUUCUUAUUAAAGCUUCUAUUGAGUAAAAUCUCUAUUAAAAUUGCUUAUAAAAAAAAAAAGAAAAAAAGAAUGGGUCUCUUUUAAAAUUUGUCUUUCCUUCCUUUACCCUUGAGUUACUAUUAGAUGUAUAAGCUCAAGAUGAGACUAGUAAUUGGAUUUCCAUUAAAAGUUUUAAUUUCAAAAAAUCAAAAGAUCACCAUACAAAUAUCAAAAGAUCACUAACUUAAUUAUACUGGUAAUAAUUAAGAUAAGUAAAAGACCUACUAUUUCUGUUUGAUGUUAUUAUGAUAAAGAAAAAAAAAAAUAGCAAGUUGCUGCAGUUGCAACAAUUGAGGAUAUGCUAAUAAAAGUGUUACAGAGAUAGAUUUAAUUGAUAAAAAUAAGAUUUUAAUAAAAAGUAUUGAGAGAAACAAUUAAUAAAAACUAAUGAUAUUUAUUAAGGGUAUAUUAUGAAUAUUUGUGGCCUUUUUUGAGGUAACUAAAUAAAUUUUAAGUUGUGAUAAUGUGUUUAUUACAUAAGUGGAUUUAUUCAGUAUUCUAGUGGAUUUAAAGAGUUUCAACUCUCAUAUUAUAAUAAAUUUUUAUAUUGCUACAAUUGCCCUAAUAUAGUGGACAAUAUUAUAUUGUACACAUAAGAAUACUCUAGCACGGUAGCACCCAAUUAAAAUUUUUAGUAAAACAUAUAAGAACUCUAAAUGUAAAGAGAAUUCCGUCAAGGUAUUGCAGUAGUAUUUAAUGCUCUUGGCUAGUGUAAACUAUUGUGCCACAUGUAGUAUUUCGAUCCUGACAAGUGCAUUACAAAUAAUGACUCUUAUUUCAGGUCUUUUAGGUACUUUAGAGAUAUAUUAGCUCUGGAGCUAGUAUUAGGUCAUAACGUGCUUCUUUUAAUGAAAGAUGUGGUUCAUUUUUCCCUACACCAAAGCAUUUUCUGUGGAAUAACCGUGUCAAAUGCUCAUUUAUCAAGGGCACGUGUGGUGUUGUCAGUAUGAUAUGCUAACCCACGUGCACUUAUGGAAAAUCAAAUGAGAAAAAUGAAUUAAAAAAUGCAAAAGCUAAUUAAUAAUGUUCGAGUUUGAGAUGAAGAAUAUUUAAUUUUAUGGAUAUAAAGAUAAGAAAGAUUUAAUGAGAACUAUCCUAAUAUUAAAAUACUAUUUAAAAUAAAUUUUAUUUGACGUAAUAGUAUGUCUCAUAAUAAGACUCGUAGUGGUCAGAAUCGUACAUGUAAAAUGAGAUAAAUUUUAAGGUUUAAAACUUUGCAAUUCAUUAAAAAAUCUAGUGCGAUAUUAAUUGGUAAAACCUCUUAGGGGUAGUACAAGAGGUUUAUAAUUCCCUAAUCCAUUUAUGUGGGUGGAGAGGGAAUUAAGAGUUUUUUAAUAAAGAAUUAAUAAAAAUUAAUAAUCUUGUUAAUAACUUAUUGGUAGUAGAAUGGAAUUUUAUUUGGAGAGGCAAUUUGGCUCAGAACAUAUAUUAAAAUGAGGAUAUUUGAACCCGCCACAAUACUCUCUACAUCCACUUUUCAAUAAAAAAUUUAUUACAAAAUUUUCCUUAAUUAAAUUACUAUUUUAGCCAAAUAUUACGUUCAUUUAUCUCCCUAAAGUUUUUAAUUUUUAACCCUUUUUUCUCUUUUCCUGUUUGUCUCCCCAAUUUGUUUCUAGUCCUAUGUGGUUCUUAUAUUUUAAAGCUUCUAGGAGUAAAAUCUCUACUAAAAUUGCUUAUCAAAAAAAAAAAUCUCUUUUAAAAUUUGCCUUUUCUUUACCCCCAAGUUAUUAUUAGAUGUAUAUGUUCACCGUGAAAGUUUAGAUCUCAAACCUUUUCUGUAUCUUAAAUGGAUUGUCGUGGAUAUGCCUAAGAUGAGCAUUUUCUUCCUCUUCACUUCAUCAUCUUUGAUAUAGUAAUUAUAAUUGAUUGAGGAGUGUUAAAACGCAUUGUGAUGAAUGAAUGCACAAGCUAUGUGAUUAAGACUGCAUUUAUCAGCUGGUGGGCGACCGCAAAUAUUAGGCAGGUUAUUCACAAUAGUGCUACUGAAGCUUUAUAUGGAAUAAGGAGACCAAACCUCUAUAUGAUAAGAGUUGUAUGAAUACCAAAUGAAUUGUAAGAGGAUAUGGUUAAUUUAGAUUGCAAUUUAAGAAAGCUUGAAUUCUAAGAGCACAGAAAUGGGAUCAGUCUUGCUCAAGUGUAAACUCCGUCAGUUAGGAAGCUGUCCAUCAAAUGUAAAUAUUUAUGUGAUUGAGAGAAAUUUUGGACUUUUGUUGAAAACAAAAAUCCUGUAUGCAUUUGCUUGCCCCCAAGGAUAUAUGUUGUGCAAGCAUAUAUGUUGAGACCGGCAGAUGAAAUCACUAAACUUUUACAGUUGAUCUGAGGCUCCUCUAAAGAAGGAUUUGGAUUUUGGAAUUAAUUUGGGGAAAGGGUUUUUUUUUGGGUAUAUGAGUGUAAGCGUUCCUUCAAUCACGUAGCUUUGUGCCAUUAACAUAAUGGCAAUUCCACAAUGGGGAUAAUGAUAAUUUUGUGAUUGGGAACUCUUUACUGGUUUUUCUUUCGCCAUCUGUGUCUAUGAUUAAGGUUGUUUAAAGUGUUAUGGCUUUUAAUCUACGACCAUUGUGAAAUGGACUCACUAGCUGGCAAAUAAUAAAACAUAGUGCUGUCAAAUUUUGUAAGGAUUAUGCAUACACACUCUUUCGUCUUCAAUGCCCUAAAACUGGGUAACUACAUGUAUGAUUUUCAUUCAGAAAAACUGGCAAGAACUAAUGACUUUGCAGAUUAAAAAAUAAGUAGGAUUAUCAGAUUAUGUAGCAUUGUUAUGUAAUGUCUUGUGGUUUUUUUAAGGUUAAAGUUGGUUUGGAAAUUAAUUAAAAGACGAUAUUCAUUCUAUCAUGACGAGUUUUUAACAAGAGGAGAAGGUUCCUUUUAUAAUUUACUAAUUUAUACAGCCUUUAAUAUUAAAACAAAAUUUUAUAUAUUAAGGACGAUGAUUCUUGCUCACUUAGUAAGAUAUGUACAUAACAUAGGUUUGUUAAGCAAGGAAUCAAUUAUGUAUUUCUUGUAUCUGAAAAAAUGAAUCAUCCUUUAACGAGGGUUAUCAUCAAUUGCAGGUUUCUAGUUUGGUUGCUUGGUUUGAGGACUAUGAAUAUUACAUUGUCAUAACUAAAGGAAAGAAUAUAUGCCAUGGCCUUUGGCUGGUCUACUUUUUUCUUUUCAAUUAACCUCUUGCGGGGAAAGAAUAUUGUAUAACACAGCACACUAUAAUUACCAAUUCUUUAUCUUAUAAUAUAAGUUCAUAGUGAUUAAUUUGUCCGUCUUCAGCCAAAAAAAAAAAAGUCCCAUUUCAGUACAAAUACAAGAGCUCUCAUUUUUCUUUGCUCCGGCCAUUUUAUAGCGGUGUCAUCACAGACACCUCAAGCUCUGCCGAAUCAUCAUAGACAAUUCGUGAUUGGUGGGAGCAUUACAAGAAAGGUACGACUACUUCAAACUGAUAGAUUUGUUUGUAUGAUUUAGCUAUAGUUUUAACUUUUAACAAUAAACAAGAGACAAUCAUGUACAUCGUUGGUUACAUAAAUGUAGAUGCUAAUUUAUUCUUGUACUUGCCAGAUCCAUACAUAUAAAAAUGAGAUAAAUUUUAAGGUUUAAAAAAUUUCAAUUCAUCAAAAAUCUAGUGCCAUAUUAAGCGGUAAAAUCACUUAGGGUUAGUACAAGAGGUUUAUGAUUCCCCGACCCGUUUAUAUGUAGGGGUGAGGAAGGUAUUAGGCAAUAAAGAAUUAGUAAAAAUUAAUAAACAUAUUAUAAAAAGAAAUAAAUUUCAAGAGGGAUCGUAAAAGAUUGUAUUUAACUUAUCGUUAGUGGAAUGGAAUCUUUUUGGAGAGGCUAUAUUUGGCUUGGAACAUAUAUUAGAACAAGGUUAUUUGAACCCACCGCACUCUCCAAAAUCCACUUCUCCAUAAAAAAUUUCAUUACAAAAUUUUUCUUAAUUAAAUUACUAUUUUAACCAAAUAUUAUGUUAAUUUAUCUCCCUAAAUCUUUUAUUUUUUUCACCCUUUUUUCUCUUUUCCUAUCCGUCUCCCCAAUUUUUUUUCUAGUCCUGUGUGGUUCUUAUACUUUAAAUAGUGGCUCUUAUUUCAGUUCCUCGUAGGCACUCUAGAGACACACGUUAGCUUCGAAGCUAGUAUUUGGUCAUCAUGUGCUUCUUUUAAUGAAACAUGUGGUUCAUUUUAUCCUUAUAUGAGAGCAUUUUGUGCGGAAUAACCAUGUCAAAUGCUCAUUUAUCAAGGACACGUGUUGUGUUCUCAGAACAUAGUAAAAAUAUGAUACGCUAACCCAUGUACAUUUAUGGAAAAUCAAAUGAAAACAAAGAACUAAAAAAAAGUACAACGGCUAAUUAAUAAUGUUUGAGUUUGAGAUGAUUAAUAUUUAAUUUUAUGGUUGUAAAGAUAAGAAUAAAAGUACGUCUAGUGAGGACUAUCCUCAUAUUAUAACACUAUUUAAAAUAAAUUUUGUUAUAAAAGAUUUUAUUCAAUUAGGUAUAUAUUUUAGGUACAAACUCAGCUAUUUGACAUAAUAGUAUGUCUCAUAAUAGGACUAACAUUUGGUCAAAUCAACCUAUUUCAAUAAGAUCCAUCGAAAUUAAUAUUUAAAAGAUUUAUCAUCUCAUUAUACAAUACACAACUUUGCCAUCUAGUAGAGAAUGAUUGGUUGGCACACCAUAGUUUACAUAAAUAUUUCUAAUAUUUGAAUCAUUUGUUAGGAAAUUUUAAUCCUACCAAUAUCUUGUAAGUAAACAUAUCAAAUAAAUAGUAAAUAGAUAAUAUAUAGAGAAUAAAACCAAUCAUACAACACAAUAAUUUACCCGAGAAAAAUUCCUAUACUAGAGAAAAACCACGGCCGCCAAAGAUGACGAAAGAAAAUCCACUAUGUAAAGAUCAUUACAAUCACUCUAGUAUUUUCUUCACUUACAAAACCCCAAUAACAAAUAAUCUCUCAUUCUAGAAACUGUCUACUUGUAUAGAACUAAUUAUUGCAAACAAGUGAAUCUAACCUUCUUAUAUAUUGUGAUUGUUUCAUAUAAGAGAAGUAUUUAUUUCCUUAUAUAGUUUGUAUUCCUCCUUUAAUAAAUUCUUUGGAAUUACUUAUUCCUUAAACAUGAACCCCCCAAACAAAAAAAUUACUAAAUAAAAAAAUUCUAGGAAAUAUUUUAAUUUAGGAUUUACAAAUCCUCAUUGAAAAAGGAGAUAUGUUUCUUUAAAAUCUCCACUUUGGCGAGUUUUUUAAUUAAACGACAAAAUAUGAUCCGCCAUACAUCUAUGCAACCAUGCCGUCUCCACCUUCUUUAGUCUACUAAAACCACACUGACAUUGGACUAAUGAGAAUCACUCCACCAUGAGUAAAAUCUUGUGCUCUAUCCAGCAGCCAUAAUUUUCUACAUCGAGAAUCAUCAUACUUCACAUUAUCCAGAGUACACAUGUUUGGCAUAUGUCGAUCACAUUUCCGAAAUUACCCACUCUCAUGUUUGGCUUCUUUGAGAGUCCUCAACGAUCAAGAUAAAAAGUCCACCACAUACCUUGCAUAAAUACUAAACUACAUGUUGUGUGCACAUCUUGUGGACCCAUUAGCAAUAACACAUCCUCUUCCACGACACACCAAUAGAUGACAUAAUUAGUAUCUCCUUCUAUUAAUUUACAGCUACUUUCCAAAUUGGCUAUAUUCUAACAAUCUCUUUUAAGAUGUUUUGAUUACCUACACUCCUCCAGGGGUUUCUACUAGUGGAAUAGGCCUGACAUUGCUCUUUGCUUUACUUGUAUAGACAGAUUGAAUCAAUAUGUUAUUGACUUGAGCUUCCCAAAAGCCAAAAUUAAUUAUUCCGUCAAACUUUUCUAUUUCUAUCUUCAUAAGUUUUGAAAACCUCCUUGCUGACGUAUUUGCUCUACAUUGCAGCCUUAGCUCUAUUAUCACCUGCUAAGAAAUAAUUAAUCUCACCUAAGAUUUGCAAGAAAAAAUAUGAAAUAAAUAGUAAAUAGAAAAUAGGUGGAGAAUAAAGCUAAUAAAAUAAUACAAAAAUUUACAUGAAAAAUUUCUAUAUUGGAGAAAAAUUAUAAUAGCUAAGGACGAUAAGAGAAAAUUUUAUUAUGUAAAUAUUAUUAUAAUUACUCUAGGGUUUUUCUCACACCUAAAACACCAAAAGCACCUAAUUUUAAUAGAACUACUUUUCUCUCACACUGAAAACUAUUUACUUAUAGAUAACUGAUUGUUGAAUUAUGCAGAGAAGUAAACUCAAUCUCUAUAUAUAUAUGUAGUGAUUAUUUCAUAUAGAAGUUGCAUUCUUUUCCUAAUAUGAUUUGUAUUCCUCCUUGAAUAAGGUAAGUUCUAAAGAGAAAAUUACUUAUUUCUUAAAUAUGAAUUAUCUUCAAUAAGAAAACUGAAAAGUGUAGAAAAUUCCUAAUUUAAGGCUUAAAAAUCUUAUUUGAAAAAAGAGACAUCUCCCAAUAUCCUCAAAUCCUCCUUACAAUGCCACCAAUCUCUUUUGUGACUAGCCCAGUUGAAACUUUUAAUGGAUGGGCUGUAAUUGCGAAUAUCCAAAUAAAACAAAUUUCCAUAGGUAUAUUGGUAGAUUGAAUGACAACUAACAACACAUGAUUUGAUUAACUUACUUCCAAAAAAAAAGAAAAAAAAGAUACAAUGGAUGAACAUUAGACUCUUGUGCCAACUCAUGGAAUUCAUCAAUAAGGCCUUGGCUGAUCCACCUCAUGACUGGUAGAGUUCAAACCCCCGCUAAAUAGUAAAAAAAUAUUUGGAUUAUUAAUUACUCUUUCUUAAGUCUAUUUAAACUUAACUUUGAGAAUUAUGAACGUCUACACUAUAAUUAAAACAAUACAAGCCCACCCGUUUGUAUUUAAAAUUUUGUUUGAAUUUAUUCACGAGCAACAAGAAUAGUAUAAAUGGAAAAAAAAACCAUCAAAUAAUAUCCCAUGACUCUGUUUCUUCAAUUUCAGGAGCAAUGGUGGAAUCAUAUUUUCCGAUUGAAAAACUUUUGGAAAAAUUAGGGAGCUUUGCUUAUGAAGAACUUUUAUUGUUCUGCGGUGUCAAAAAUGACUUACAAAAGUUAAAGGAGACGUUAACCACUGUCAAAAGUCUGGUUUUGGAUGCUGAGGAAAAGAAAAUCCAUAAUCACCGGUUAAGCGAUUGGCUGGGAAAACUUAAGGAUGCUUGUUAUGAUGCAGAAGAUGUGUUGGAUGAAUUUGAGGUGGAAGAUCUACGAAGGCAAGUCAUGAAGCAAAGAAGCAUCGGAAGAAAGUUUCGUAACUUUUUUGGAUGCUCAAAUCCGAUAGCUUUUCGUUUUAGAAUGGGUCAUCAAAUCAAGAAAAUUCGAGAGAGGUUUGAUGAGAUUGCAAAAUUGAGGGGUGAGUUUAAUCUCAUUGAACGACUUGACGAUCAUCGGCGAGUUGUGCACAAAGAAAGGGAAUCCACUCACUCGUUUGUGCUUUCAUCAGAUAUUAUUGGAAGAGAUAAAGAUAGAGAAAAGAUUAUUGAACUAUUGAUGCAAGCAAGUUCUGGCGAAAGUGAAACUCUGUCUGUUAGUCCUAUUGUGGGAAUUGGAGGUCUGGGCAAAACUGCUCUUGCACAGUUGGUGUUCAAUGACCAAAGGGUAGAAGAGCAUUUUGAGUUGAAAAUCUGGAUACGUGUUUUUGAGGAUUUUGGUGGGAGACAAAUUAUGAGAGAGAUUAUGGAGUCGAUCAUUGUACAAAUUAUGAGAAAGUGUGCGUUCCUAGGUGACUUGAAUACACAACAAUUGCAACGAAUCUUGCGAGAUCGUUUGAAUAGUAAGAGAUACUUGCUUGUUAUGGAUGAUGUAUGGAACGAAGAUCCUGAAGCAUGGCGUAAAUUAAAAAGCUUAUUGUUGGGAGGUGCUAACGGAAGCAAAAUUUUGGUAACCACACGUAGCAGGAAGGUUGCUUCAAUCAUGGGCACGAGGGGAGGUACUACUGGCUACAACUUACAAGGUCUACCAUUCGAGGAUUGCUUGUCUUUGUUUAUGAAAUGUGCAUUUAAAGAAGAGCGAGAUAAACAUCCAAACCUCAUAAAAAUCGGGGAAGAAAUUGUGAAAAAAUGUGGGGGAAUUCCUCUGGUAGUCAGAGCACUAGGAAGUCUAUUAUAUUGCUCAACGGAUGAACAUGAUUGGGAAUAUGUGAGGGAUAAUGAGAUAUGGCAGUUAGAGCAAAAGGAAAGUGGCAUUUUACCUGCUCUGAGGUUAAGCUACGAUCAAUUGCCGCCUCACCUGAAACAAUGUAUUGCUUAUUGUUCAAUCUUUCCCAAGGAUUAUCAAUUUUAUGGUGAGUCUUUGGUUCAAUUUUGGAUGGCUCAUGGUCUUCUCCAAUCCCAUAAUAAGAAUAAGGAGUUAGAAGAUAUUGGUAUGCGGUACUUGAAGGAAUUACUGUCAAGAUCUUUCUUCCAAGAUUUGAUUUUUGGGAUUUCAGGAAUGGAGACUCUCUCUUUCAAAAUGCAUGACCUUAUGCAUGAUCUUGCCCUGCUAGUGGCCAAAGAUGAAUUCCUAGUAGUGAACUCUGAUUGUCAAUCUAUUCCCAAAAGAGUCCGCCAUUUGUCAUUUGCUGCUGCUAAUGCAUCAAGGAAUGACUUUUCAAGCCUUUUAUCUGAUCUAGGUCGCUUGAG